GGCAUGCCAAUUUCAAAAAAAAUUAAAUUAUGUGGUUAUUAGCUGUAAUGAAGGGGGAUUGUAGGUCCAAUCAGGUGGAUCCAUGAAAGUUCAACAAAGUUCUGGUAUGGCGUAGAAAUUGGUUUGUGCAACUCAAGAGUCUUUCUGGUGAACGAUGAUGGGUUUUGAUUUAUAAAUGUUAUAAAUCUACUGUGCAUAGUAUUCUAGUAGAAUCAUCUAUAAGUUCUAGUUAUUGAAAUUGUCUACCUUGUUCAGUUUGAGUUAAGGGCACAUGUAAUAUGAAAAAUAGUUGUUGCAUCUUUUAGGUUACCUAACAUUUGAUCAAUCCUAUUAUGAGGGCUUCAAGAUGUCUAACAAUAUGUGGAAUGCCCAUGCUCCUCCCCAUUGUUUAUCUUAUAUAAUAAUUUGUUUUAGAUGCUAAUAUCUUUGUCGAUACCGGUAACAAUAUUACAAUAUCUGCGUUUAUUGGGUUUUACAUAGGUUCGACUGUUUGACAGUACACACUCUCUGAAGGCAUUUGGAAAUGGAGAUGUAUGGAUUGCUGUUGGGUGGAGUAGUGAUGUUCUUCCUGCUGUCAACGUAUGUCUAAUGUUGCAGUUGUUGUUCCCAAGUCUGGUGCUAGCUUAUGGGCUGAUCUUUGGGUAUACCCAUGCCUGCCAUUCUACUUCAAUAUUCACAUUGUUAUCUCCUUCAUAUUAGUGAUCAGUAAACACGAUAAUGUGACUAAUAAGUUCGUAUUCUCUUUAUAGGCAAUCCCUGCUGCCUCAAGACUUGAAACAAAACAAAUUGGAGGGCGAGUCAGAGGUGCAUUUCCAUUAAUCCAUCAAUGGAUAGAAUUCUGCUUGCAAACAGCGAGAGCAUUGCCUUUCAAGCAAGAGGUUAUCCCGAGCGCAUCUCCCUCUGCCCUUGAGAGUACUCUGGUUAAGUUGCCUGAAAACUUUGAAGGGUAAACCAAGUCUGGAUACUAACUUAAUUGCUGGAGUACCCCUGACGGAAAUUCUGGCAGAUGUGAGUUUUUGGAGCCAUUAUCUGAAGCUACAUUGUCGGAUUAUGAGUGGCUGGUUGCUAAUCUGCAAAAAUCCACUCUGUACUGAUCAACAAAGAUGCAACAUUACAUGUCAUCAUUGAUCUUUAGCUAAAGGUACAUUGAAAAGUUAAUGGCACUGCAUACCAGUCAUUAUAAUUGGGUCAGGGCAAUUGGGUCAGGGCAAUUGGGUCAGGGCAAUUAGGUCAGAGCAUAACUUCAUUAGGAAAAGAGGCUUCAGCUACGUUAAAUAUUACAGGAUGUACUGAGAUGGCUGAAGUUGUUGACGUUGUACGAGAAACGAAGAUGAGUGUUUGUUUGAACAAAGUUGUUGCCAAUCUUGCAGAGUUCGAGAAGAAAGAUCACGAAGCAAAUGCCACGAUUUCUUCAUCACUGUAGCCUCCAUAGUUGAAGUUUCCUCAUUUGAAGCUGUUUAUGCAUAUGCUUUUUUUCCCUUCUCAAGUACAGGAAAUUGAAGAAUUAACCAGAUGUGAAUAUGCUGAAAGAGGGAAGUUUUCUCCCUUGAAUGUGGCCUUGUGAUUUGUCUUGAAGGAAUAGGAUGAUCACUGGCAAGAACCCUAUCAAGGUAGAUUUUAUGAUGUUAACAUAUUAUUAAGCAUUUUUGUUACAUCAGCAAUGAUGCUUUCAUAGCAUGAAAGUGUUUAAAUUUAACUGAAUGAUCUUGAUUGAUCAAUUAUGAGUUUUAAUCGAGUAAAAACUAAAUACAUAAUCGUUAACAAUAUUGAAAUUGGGUAAAUAUGAUCUUGAUAUUGAUGAAUUUGAAAUCACAACCCACACAGGAAAUCACCCUCGCGUGGGGAUGGAAAUGUUUACUGCAGCGAUAUUGAAUAUGUCCACUGCUGGACUAAUUCUGAUUACCUAAUUGACUCAGGAUCGGCUGGCAAUAAUAACAGUUUAUUAACAAUGCACAGUCCGAGUACUUUUCCAGGAUCAGAUACGACGUGGUCUAAUGUUGAUAAUAAUAGAUUAUCAAAUGACAAAUCGUUGUUCUACUAUUGCAAGCCCCCAGAUUUAAGAAUCUUUUUCAGAAAUUAAAUACAUUCUGAGAGAUGCUGGUCUACUAUUGCAAGCCCCCAGAUUUAAGAAUCUUUUGACGGUAAUUUAUCACCUGUAACUGUGCCGGAAGAUUCAACUAGCACUGAAAAAGAUGAUAAAUUAAUUGAUAUGGAGAGUUUUCAUAUCACUUUUAAAUCAUCUUAUGUAAUUGUGAUGUUAGGAAGCAUUAGUGAUCUAUAUGUGAAUUAUUAUUGGCGCCAUUGGUGGUUUUAUCUUGUUAAAAUAUGGAUGAAUUCCAGUUACUAUUUUGUUGCAGACAAUCUUCUUCAAUUAACAUAUGGUUUAAAAUCAUUAUGUAAAUCAAUCUAUUAAUUUUCAAGAUAUUUAACUGAGUUAAAACUAAGUGCACUCAAUAAAUCUCUUUUCCUUUAAAAAACUGUUACGCUUUAUUUUAGUGCUUAAUAUUUAUUGAACUCCGAUACAGGGAAUUUGAAAUCAAACUCGUAACUACAUAUUAUCUAAUUGCAAGUUUCUAUCCAUAGCUGCUGAUUUGUAGUGAUUAUCUAAUUGACUGAGGUGACGACAAUUUUUUUUUUUUUAAAUUUUCAAUAGCACAAUGUGGAAUUCAAUAAUUAAAUUCUCCUUUUUAAUUUGUUUCCAGUUAAAUUAUUAAUUACUUAAACUCUGUUUUAAGUCUUUAAGUUUAUGUGUUUAUGCAGAAUUGGAUUCUUGAGCGUGUUGGACACGACCAACAAUGAAAUUGACAGUAAAAAAACAAUACAACGUGUGGACUCCGGUAGAUGCCAUACAAGUCUACAACUUUACAAAUAAUAAUUGAGUAAGCAACUUUGAUUCUCGGGGCCCUUCAAUGAAUUUCUAGCCCCGUUGACUCCGCCAACUAAAGUUUGUAAAAUAAAAAAAUACAUAGAAUUCCACUAAAUGCAAAACGCGUGGAAUUUAAUUUUCGGCCAUGUGGACCAAAACAUAAUUUAAUGAAAAAGGAAAAAAAAUGAUAAGAUUUCUAAAAUAUGUGAAAGAUGAUCCAUAUUUUACUGAAACGACUUAUUAAAUUUUUCAAAGAUUUAGAAUAUUUAGUCAUAAAUUACGUGCAUGUUAAUUUUUCCGCCAUUGACUAUCAUAUUCUAAACUUAAUAGUACAUUUCUUGUUGAAGGGUACUUAGUCUCUCUUCUCCUCUUAUAAAAAUUAUUGAUGGAUUUCUUGUUAUAGUUAAUAGUCUUUAAGAACGGAUAACUUUAUUGUUUUCGUGACCAAAUUAUGUCCGCCUAAGGUUGUGACUAUUAAUAAAAUUAAUAUUUUAAUGUUUAUGUUAAAAGAUAUAAGAUUUUAUGCGUUCAUUAAUUGUUAUUAGCUAAAGGAUGAAUUAUUUUUUCAACCCAAUCAGUUGAUGCAUCUGCAAGAGUUUUUUUCUUUAUUGACCAUAAUUAUGUUCCGGGUACAAUAAAUUGUCUUUGGUGCUUGGAAAAUAUGACUUCUUACUUCAAGUUUGAUAUGUCUCUCUCCAUAAACUUACUGGAAAUAUAUCCUCAUCUACUGUCAUUUAUCUAAUAUCAAUUGAAGAUCUCACUUUUUCAACUAUCACUUCCAAGUCUCAUUGUCACUUGGCCAUUCUUGGACCAUUCAAAACCAAUCAAGUGUUGAAAUAAUCAAAUAUAUGCAAAAUUAGAGUCACGAUUUUUUGGUCCCCCAAAUUCUAAUUAUAUAACUUCUAUAUAUUUCAUUGCCAGGUCACGAACUUGUUGGCACAUUUUCCAAAUUCCUCUUCCAUCAGCUCUCACACGUUAACUUAAGUGGAAAGUUUCCAAGUUGAUUGCUAGAAAGCAACGCAAAAUCAGACACACUUGAUCUGUCCCCUAAUUCUCUUUUCUACGUUGAAAAAGAAAAAAAAAAAAAUACAUAUAUAUAUAUAUAUAUAUAUCUAUGUAAAAAUAAAUAAUAAACUGAGUAAAAGUACAUUUGUUUAAUUAACAUCUGAUCGGGGCAUUUUUGGUGUAAGCCACAACUAAAAUCAAACAGCCCCUUAGCAUACUUCUUCCAUUUUAUCUGCUACUUUUGUGGAUCUUAUAGGGUGGGCAUGUGGACAGAAUUUAAAAGUUUUAAUAGGCUCAAAGAAGAAGAUGUGUUAAAUCUAAAGUUGUUGCACCUUCUGAUUAAAUAAAGUUGUACAAUUUCAUCAACUUGAAAGAAUUGACAUUAAUGAACUGGUCGCCUCUCCAUGUAUGAAGCCUUCUUAAAAGUUAAUUUUUAUUUCAGAAAAAAAAAGUUUAAGUUACAUAUAUUACAGUAAGAUUUUUUUGAGACCAAUUCCCUUCUUGAAAUAUAAUAGAAAAGUAUUAAUUUAAAAAUAAAAUGAAUAUGUAUUGAUUAUAUCCUGAUUUUCAUCGAUUAUAGUUAGAGAGUUUCACCAAAUCAAUUCCUUAUUCAAAUAAUACAGAAAAAAUAGUAAUUUAAUAGUAAAAUAAACAGGUGUUGAUUAUAUAUCCUAAGUUUCAUCGAUUAUGUGAUCAAAGUGGCAUUGUUGAUUUAUUUUUGUUCAAUGUUAAUUUUUAGGUUAUAUAAAUUUCAAGGAUUUAAAAUCUUUGGCCAUGAAUUACACGCUUGUUAAUUUUCCUGCCAUUGACUGUCAUAUUCUAGACUUAAUGAUACCUUUCUUGAUCAAGGGUAAUUACUCUCUCUUCUCCUCUUAUAAAUUCCUCUUCCAUUAACAUCACUAGGAGUAUGUUGAUCUCUCAGACGUUAACUUGAGUGGAGAGUUUCCAAAUUGAUUGUUACAAAACAACACAAAAACUAGACACACUUGAUCUGUCUAAUAAUUCUCUUUCGGUAAAAUUAAAUAAUUUUAGGGGAAUAUUCGGCCAACCUCUAUAAUUUCAGAGUGAUCAUUAAUUAAUUAAUCGAUACAAAUAUCUAAAGUGAUUAAAUGUGACUUGAAAUUUGAUCUCUAUCGAUUGGUUUACAAAUGGACGUACUUGUGCCUUUGUGGCGAUAAUCGAACAAGUACCCAUGAUUAUUAUUUUUUCCAAAAACUUUUUUACAACAAAUUCAUCUCGUCAAAAAUUCUAUGUUGCUAACUAACAAUAAUUGAGCACUUGGCCGCAUUGACUCCACGUCUCACCUCUUUCUAAAUUCUAAGUAAAAACAUGGAAAUGUAAUUUCCACAAAAUGCCAAAUGUGUGGAAUUUAAUUUUUUGCCUUGUGGAUCAAAAUACAAAUGAAAGAAACAGAAGAAAAAAAAGGCCCAAAGACUUCUAAAAGAUGAAGAAGUCUUUGUGCCUUUUUAUAAUGGUGAAUUUUUUAAAAGAAAAAAAAUAACAACAUUUUUAUGGUUUGUUUUGAUAAUCAUAUUUACAUAUACUCUCUAAUUUUCAAAAUGGACACAUAAAUCUUUUUUUUUUACAAAAUAUAUAUUAUUCAUAUUUUUUUUUUAUUUUUUUUUAUCAUAUUUUAUUUAUUAUAAAUGUUUAGAGCAAAUUUUUAGGUUGAAAUAUAAUAAAAAGGUAUAAUUGUUCUCUUAUUAAACACACAUACUUUUAUUAGUUUCUAUCCAUUUGUCAUCUCAAUCUCUCUCAAUUAUUCUUUAUUGCUAGCUCAAAACGCGUUGCUGUUGCAAAUUAUAGCAAAAUGACAAAUAUGGAAAAAAAGGGAAGAAAAUUAAUGCAUGAAAGACUUGGAGAAAACAACAAAAUAAGCCAACUAUGAGCUAGUUGGGUGUAUAAAUUGUUAGAUGUGUAUAUACAAAUAGCGUAGAGCCCUCUAGUUGGUUCCAGAGACAGAAAGAGCGUGUGUGUUUUUUCACAGUUAGAGAUAUAGUUAGAAUGGGUGGUUCAAAAUCAAAAAUGAUGAUAAUGUUUAUUAUGUUAUUAAUAAUAUUUAAAAGUGGGUGGAGUGAGGGAUGUUUGGAUCACGAGAGAUUUGCUUUUUUGAGACUCAAACAUUUCUUCAAUGAUCCUCUUAAUUCUCUUUACGACUGGGUAGAUGGUGAGGGAGCUACUGAUUGUUGUCAGUGGGAAAGGGUUGAGUGCAGCAACACCACAGGCCGAGUGAUAGCACUGGACCUUUCUUAUAUAUAUUCGGGAGAGUACAGCUGGUAUCUGAAUGCUUCUUUAUUUACUCCUUCCAACAACUUGAGUCACUUGAUUUAACUCAAAACAAAAUAGCCGGAUGUGUUGAGAAUGAAGGUACUUUGUUUAAUUUAAUUAAUUUACUUUCUCCCCCCUAAUUUAAGUUGAAUAUCAAGACCGAGCAAUUAUACGCAUAUUCAUUUAGUCGACAAUUUUGACUUUUUUUUAAAUGAUUAAUUUUGAAAUUACACCAGUAUCUAUGAUCUUUUUUAUUUUAUUUUAUUUGCAGGUAUAGAGAGGCUAUCAAGAUUGAACAACUUGAAGAUGCUUAAUUUAAGUGGAAACUCAUUCAAUAAUAGCAUUUUAUCAUCUCUAACUCAUCUUUCAUCAUUAAGAUCAUUAAAUUUAUUGUGGAAUAGAUUGGAAGGAAGUAUUGACGUUAAAGGUACAUAAUUAAAACUUCAAGCUCUUUCAUUAACUUGCUAAAAUAAGAUUCAAGGCUUUGAAUUCAAUUUUUUUAUGAUUAAUAUUAAAAAAACAGUUUUAAGCAAUUUAUAAAUACAAGUUUUAAUGUUUCUUGUAAUUUCAUCUUGUACUUUCAUAUGUCUUGAAUUUAAGAUUAAAAAAAAAACUCUAAUAGCGAACCAAACACCUCCACAACUUAUUAUUAUUUGUGGUGAGGUUUGAAACAUUCAACUCAAUUUGUACUUAUUACAGAAUUUGAUUCUUUGAGAGAUUUAGAGGAGCUAGACAUUGGCGGAACAAGAUUGACAAAUUUGUGGUCUCAAAAGGUACUACAAAUACCAUAAAAAAAUAUGCUAACUUUUACAAAUUAGUUAGAUUCUUUGCCAUUUGGUUUAUUAUUUUACAGGUUUGAGUAAGUUGAAGUCUCUUGGUUUAAGUGGUAUCAAACUCAAUCGUAGCAUCUUAUCUUCUCUGACUGUCUUUCUUCGUUAAGAGAAUUAUAUAAGUGAUACGGGAUUCAAAGGAACAUUCGAUGUUCGAGGUAAGCCUAAACCUUGCUUUCUCAUUUUAUAUAUGCCAACUAGAUUUGUGUAUCAUCGACAUAAUUUAAUAUUUAAUUUGAUAAGUCUGAAUGAAUUACAUGCUAAUUUAACACUUUUAUUUACUUUGUCAAUUAAUUAAUUAAUUAAUUAUACUAUUUGGCUUGGUUUGGACGAAAUUCUCAUGAUGUUUUAAUUUCUUUAAAUUAAUUAAUUAAUUAACUCUGUUUUUAAGUCUUAAGUCUGGGCGUGUUUGCAGAUUUGAUUCCUUCAACGACUUAGAAGUGUUGGAUAUGAGAUACAAUGAAAUCGACAAUCUUGUGGUUCCUCAAGGUAAACAAUUAAAAGGUACAGAUGUGGCCAAAUUUAUAAAUAAAUUGUUAAUUAAUUAAUUUUUUCGUAUUAUUAAUAAAGCUAAAUUCGUUUGCUCCUUCCUUCUAAUUCUAAACAGAGUUGCACAAUUUCACCAACUUGGAAUAUUUGACAUUGGAAUCUUUCCUCUCUCAUAUAAGCCUUCUGCAAAGCAUUGCAUCAAUAUUCCCUUCGUUAAAAAAUCUGUCGAUGUCUUUUUGUGAAGUCAAUGGUGUCGUACGCGGUCAAGGUAAAAGAAAAGCGUUGAUUGUGAACUCACUCAAUGGUGUCCUACGUGUUCAACAUUUUUAUUUAUUUUAUUGUUUAAUGUUUCUGCUAGGUUUUCCUCAUUUCAAGAGUUUGGAACAUUUUGACAUGAGGUUCGCGCGCAUUGCGCUCAACACCAGCUUUCUUCAAAUCAUCGGUGAAUCGAUGCCCUCUCUUAAGUACUUAUUACUGUCAUAUUCUAAUCUCUUGGCACUAACAGCAGCAGGAUUCUUCAUCAAGGUUAAUGAGAUGCUGCCACCCUCCCCUCUUAACCUAUAAUAUUAAUUUUCGAUUAAAUAUUUAAUUACACAAACCAAAUCACUUAUUAUAAAAGAACAAUACGCAUUCAUUAAUUUUUAUAUUGUAUUAAUAAUUGAUGAAUUUAAUAAAUUUUCAGGCCUCUGUUCGUUGGUGCACCUGCAAGAGUUGUACAUUGAUAAUAAUGAUUAAAGAGGUAGCUUGCCUUGGUGCUUGGCAAAUAUGACAUCCUCCGAAUAUUAGAUGUUUCUUCCAAUCAACUUACGGGAAGCAUCUCCUCAUCUCCCCUCGUUCAUUUGACAUCCAUUGAAAAGUUGAUCUUUCAAACAAUCACUUUUGGAUCCCAAUUUCACUUGAACCACUUUUCAAUCACUCACGACUCAAGCUUUCUAUGCUGACAACAAAAAUAAAAGCUGAAAUAACUGAGUCACAUUCUUUGACUGCCCCAAACUUCCAAUUAAAAUAUCUCUCAUUGUCUUCCGGUUACGAAGAUGGUGUCACAUUCCCCAAAUUCCUUUACCAUCAACAUGACCUGGAGUAUGUUGACCUCUCACAUAUAAACAUGAGCGGAGAAUUUUCCAAAUUGGUUGUUGGAAAACAACACAAACUUAGAAUAUAUUUUUUGGUUAAUGAUUCUCUUGCAGGACCUUUCCGGUUGCCAAUUCAUUCACACAAGCGGUUAAGACUGUUGGAUAUAUCCAACAACAACAUCAGAGGCCACAUUCCAGUAGAAAUUGGAGAUGUUUUACCGGGUUUAUUUUCUUUAAACAUUUUCAUGAAUGCUUUAGACGGUUGCAUUCCCUCUUCAUUUGGUAAUAUGAAAUUCCUCCAAUUUCUGGACUUAUCCAACAACCAAUUGACUGGUGAAAUCCUAAGCACUUGGCCGUGGGUUGCGUCAACUUAGAGUCUCUUGCGUUGUCAAACAACAACUUAGAAGGUCAUAUGUUCUCCAGAAACUUCAACCUGACAAACUUGAAAUGGUUACAAUUGGAAAGCAAUCACUUCGUAGGAGAGAUCCCACAAAGUUUGUCUAAAUGCUCCUCACUAAAAGGAUUGUAUCUUAACAAUAAUAGUCUUUCGGGUAAGAUUCCACGAUGGUUGGGUAAUCUCACAUGGUUACAAUAUAUUACAAUGCCCAAUAAUCAUCUUGAAGGUCCUAUUCCAGUGGAGUUUUGUCAGCUUGAAUGGCUUCAGAUUUUGGACAUUUCAGACAACAACAUAUCUGGAAGUUUACCAUCUUGUUUCCAUCUUCUCUCUAUCAAACAAGUUCAUCUUUCAAAAAAUAUGUUACAUGGACAGCUAAAAGAGGUACAUUUCUUUAAUUGCUCUUCCCUUGUGACAUUAGAUCUUAGUUAUAACCGCUUGAAUGGCAGCAUUCCGGAUUGGGUUGAUGGACUUUCUCGUUAAGCCACCUUAUCUUGGCUCACAAUAAUCUUAAAGGUGAAGUGCCAGUUCAAUUGUGCAAAUUGAACCAACUACAAUUGUUAGAUCUUUCUAAUAAUAAUCUUCAUGGUCCUAUUCCUCUUUGCUUUGAUAACACCACACUUCAUGAAAGUUACAGCAAUAGUUCUAGUCCUGAUGAGCAAUUUGAAAUAUAUAUUUUUAUGUCCGCCUAAGGUUGUGACUAUUAAUAAAUUAAUAUUUAAUGUUUAUGUAAAAAUAUAUAAGAUUUUAUGCGUUCAUUAAUUGUUAUUAGCUAAAGGAUGAAUUAUUUUUCAACCCAAUCAGUUGAUGCAUCUGCAAGAGUUUUUUCUUUUAUUGACCAUAAUUAUGUUCCGGGUACAAUAAAUUGUCUUUGGUGCUUGGAAAAUAUGACUUCUUACUUCAAGUUUGAUAUGUCUCUCUCCAUAAACUUACUGGAAAUAUAUCCUCAUCUACUGUCAUUUAUCUAAUAUCAAUUGAAGAUCUCACUUUUUCAAACUAUCACUUCCAAGUCUCAUUGUCACUUGGCCAUUCUUGGACCAUUCAAAACCAAUCAAGUGUUGAAAUAAUCAAAUAUAUGCAAAAUUAGAGUCACGAUUUUGGUCCCCCAAAUUCUAAUUAUAUAACUUCUAUAUAUUUCAUUGCCAGGUCACGAACUUGUUGGCACAUUUUCCAAAUUCCUCUUCCAUCAGCUCUCACACGUUAACUUAAGUGAAAGUUUCCAAGUUGAUUGCUAGAAAGCAACGCAAAAUCAGACACACUUGAUCUGUCCCCUAAUUCUCUUUUCUACGUUGAAAAAAGAAAAAAAAAAAUAAAAUACAUACAUACAUAUAUAUAUAUAUAUAUAUAUAUAUAUAUAUAUAUAUAUAUAUAUAUAUCUAUGUAAAAAUAAAUAAUAAACUGAGUAAAAAGUACAUUUGUUUAAUUAACAUCUGAUCGGGGCAUUUUUGGUGUAAGCCACAACUAAAAUCAAACAGCCCCUUAGCAUACUUCUUCCAUUUUAUCGGCUACUUUUGUGGAUCUUAUAGGGUGGGCAUGUGGACAGAAUUUAAAAGUUUUAAUAGGCUCAAAGAAGAAGAUGUGUUAAAUCUAAAGUUGUUGCACCUUCUGAUUAAAUAAAGUUGUACAAUUUCAUCAACUUGAAAGAAUUGACAUUAAUGAACUGGUCGCCUCUCCAUGUAUGAAGCCUUCUUAAAGUUAAUUUUUAUUUCAGAAAAAAAAGUUUAAGUUACAUAUAUUACAGUAAGAUUUUUUGAGACCAAUUCCCUUCUUGAAAUAAUAAUAGAAAAGUAUUAAUUUAAAAAAUAAAAUGAAUAUGUAUUGAUUAUAUCCUGAUUUUCAUCGAUUAUAGUUAGAGUUUCACCAAAUCAAUUCCCUUAUUCAAAUAAUACAGAAAAAAUAGUAAUUUAAUAGUAAAAUAAACAGGUGUUGAUUAUAUAUCCUAAGUUUCAUCGAUUAUGUGAUCAAAGUGGCAUUGUUGAUUUAUUUUUUGUUCAAUGUUAAUUUUUAGGUUAUAUAAAUUUCAAGGAUUUAAAAUCUUUGGGCCAUGAAUUACACGCUUGUUAAUUUUCCUGCCAUUGACUGUCAUAUUCUAGACUUAAUGAUACCUUUCUUGAUCAAGGGUAAUUACUCUCUCUUCUCCUCUUAUAAAUUCCUCUUCCAUUAACAUCACUAGGAGUAUGUUGAUCUCUCAGACGUUAACUUGAGUGGAGAGUUUCCAAAUUGAUUGUUACAAAACAACACAAAAACUAGACACACUUGAUCUGUCUAAUAAUUCUCUUUCGGUAAAAUUAAAUAAUUUUAGGGGAAUAUUCGGCCAACCUCUAUAAUUUCAUAGUGAUCAUUAAUUAAUUAAUCGAUACAAAUAUCUAAAGUGAUUAAAUGUGACUUGAAAUUUGAUCUCUAUCGAUUGGUUUACAAAUGGACGUACUUGUGCCUUUGUGGCGAUAAUCGAACAAGUACCCAUGAUUAUUAUUUUUUUCCAAAAACUUUUUUACAAACAAAUUCAUCUCGUCAAAAAUUCUAUGUUGCUAACUAAACAAUAAUUGAGCACUUGGCCGCAUUGACUCCACGUCUCCACCUCUUUCUAAAUUUCUAAGUAAAAACAUGGAAAUGUAAUUUCCACAAAAUGCCAAAUGUGUGGAAUUUAAUUUUUUGCCUUGUGGAUCAAAAUACAAAUGAAAGAAACAGAAGAAAAAAAAAGGCCCAAAGACUUCUAAAAGAUGAAGAAGUCUUUUGUGCCUUUUUAUAAUGGUGAAUUUUUUUAAAGAAAAAAAAAUAACAACAUUUUUAUGGUUUGUUUUGAUAAUGCAUAUUUACAUAUACUCUCUAAUUUCAAAAUGGACACAUAAAUCUUUUUUUUUUACAAAAUAUAUAUUAUUCAUAUUUUUUUUAUUUUUUUAUUAUCAUAUUUUUAUUUAUUAUAAAUGUUUAGAGCAAAUUUUUAGGUUUGAAAUAUAAUAAAAAGGUAUAAUUGUUUCUCUUAUUAAACACACAUUACUUUUUAUUAGUUUCUAUCCAUUUGUCAUCUCAAUCUCUCUCAAUUAUUCUUUAUUGCUAGCUCAAAACGCGUUUGCUGUUGCAAAUUAUAGCAAAAUGACAAAUAUGGAAAAAAAGGGAAGAAAAUUAAUGCAUGAAAGACUUGGAGAAAACAACAAAAUAAGCCAACUAUGAGCUAGUUGGGUGUAUAAAUUGUUAGAUGUGUUAUAUACAAAUAGCGUAGAGCCCUCUAGUUGGUUCCAGAGACAGAAAGAGCGUGUGUGUUUUUUCACAGUUAGAGAUAUAGUUAGAAUGGGUGGUUCAAAAUCAAAAAUGAUGAUAAUGUUUAUUAUGUUAUUAAUAAUAUUUAAAAGUGGGUGGAGUGAGGGAUGUUUGGAUCACGAGAGAUUUGCUUUUUUUGAGACUCAAACAUUUCUUCAAUGAUCCUCUUAAUUCUCUUUACGACUGGGUAGAUGGUGAGGGAGCUACUGAUUGUUGUCAGUGGGAAAGGGUUGAGUGCAGGCAACACCCACAGGCCGAGUGAUAGCACUGGGACCUUUUCUUAUAUAUAUUCGGGAGAGUACAGCUGGUAUCUGAAUGCUUCUUUAUUUACUCCCUUCCAACAACUUGAGUCACUUGAUUUAACUCAAAACAAAAAUAGCCGGAUGUGUUGAGAAUGAAGGUACUUUGUUUAAUUUAAUUAAUUUACUUUCUCCCCCCCUAAUUUAAGUUGAAUAUCAAGACCGAGCAAUUAUAUGCAUAUUCAUUUAGUCGACAAUUUUGACUUUUUUUUAAAUGAUUAAUUUUGAAAUUACACCAGUAUCUAUGAUCUUUUUUAUUUUAUUUUAUUUGCAGGUAUAGAGAGGCUAUCAAGAUUGAACAACUUGAAGAUGCUUAAUUUAAGUCGAAACUCAUUCAAUAAUAACAUUUUAUCAUCUCUAACUCAUCUUUCAUCAUUAAGAUCAUUAAAUUUAUUGUGGAAUAGAUUGGAAGGAAGUAUUGACGUUAAAGGUACAUAAUUAAAACUUCAAGCUCUUUCAUUAACUUGCUAAAAUAAGAUUCAAGGCUUUGAAUUCAAUUUUUUUUAUGAUUAAUAUUAAAAAAACAGUUUUAAGCAAUUUAUAAAUACAAGUUUUAAUGUUUCUUGUAAUUUCAUCUUGUACUUUCAUAUGUCUUGAAUUUAAGAUUAAAAAAAAAACUCUAAUAGCGAACCAAACACCUCCACAACUUAUUAUUAUUAUUUUAAUUUGUGGUGAGGUUUGAAACAUUCAACUCAAUUUGUACUUAUUACAGAAUUUGAUUCUUUGAGAGAUUUAGAGGAGCUAGACAUUGGCGGGAACAAGAUUGACAAAUUUGUGGUCUCAAAAGGUACUACAAAUACCAUAAAAAAUAUGCUAACUUUUACAAAUUAGUUAGAUUCUUUGCCAUUUGGUUUAUUAUUUUACAGGUUUGAGUAAGUUGAAGUCUCUUGGUUUAAGUGGUAUCAAACUCAAUCGUAGCAUCUUAUCUUCUCUUUCUUCGUUAAGAGAAUUAGAUAUAAGUCGUACGGGAUUCAAAGGAACAUUUGAUGUUCGAGGUAAGCCUAAACCUUGCUUUUCUCAUUUUAUAUAUGCCAACUAGAUUUGUGUAUCAUCGACAUAAUUUAAUAUUUUAAUUUGAUAAGUCUGAAUGAAUUACAUGCUAAUUUAAACACACUUUUAUUUACUUUGUCAAUUAAUUAAUUAAUUAAUUACUAUUUGGCUUGGUUUGGACGAAAUUCUCAUGAUGUUUUAAUUUCUUUAAAUUAAUUAAUUAAUUAACUCUGUUUUUAAGUCUUAAGUCUGGGCAUGUUUGCAGAAUUUGAUUCCUUCAAUAACUUAGAAAGUGUUGGACAUGAGUUGGAACGAAAUCGACAAUCUUGUGGUUCCUCACGGUAAACAAUUAAAAUGUUAUUCAAUUACAUUAUUUUUAAUUCAUUUGAUUAGGGAAGGCCAAAAAGGUAAAAAAAAUAAUAAUAAAGAAACAGAGAAUUUGUAUUAUUUAAAAAACAGAAUGUAAUAAAGAUUUGAUUCUGGUUCUUUAAUCUUUAAAGUGAUUGAAAAACAAUGUUGCUCUUUUCCCAAAGCAUCAAAUACGAAUUGAAUGCCAAUUAACUUAAUCAUUCAUUUCGUUUAGCUCUAAAUUUAGACAAUGAAUUUUUAUAUUAUUUCAAAAACAUGACGUAAUAGAAUUUUUUUAAAAAACAGAUUCUAAUAAAGAUUUGAUUCCAAUUCUUUAAUCUUUACAGUGAUUGAAAAAACGAUACUACUCUUUUCCCAAAGCAUAAAUACGAAUUGACUCCCAAUCAAAUUAAUCAUUUAUUUCGUUCAUCUCUGAAUUUAAAUAAUGAAUUUUGAUCUUCAAUCGUAUUAUAAUUACUAUUAAAGAACAGGUUACAGAGGUUUGAGGAAGUUGAAUCAUCUUGAUCUAUCGGAGUUGGAAUUAGAGAUGGAAGCAAGUUGUUACAGUCAAUGGGAUCAUUCCCAUCCCUCAACACUCUUUACCUUUCGUGGAAUAAUUUUAUCGAUACAGCGACCGCUACUCAAGGUAAGUAAAAGGUACAAAUGUGGCCAAAUUUAUAAAUAAAUUGUUAAUUAAUUAAUUUUUCCGUAUUAUUAAUUAAGCUAAAUUUGUUGCUCCUUCCUUCUAAAUCUAAACAGAGUUGCACAAUUUCACCAACUUGGAAUAUUUGACAUUGGACUUUUCCUCUCUCCAUAUAAGCCUUCUCCAAAGCAUUGCAUCAUUAUUCCCUUCGUUAAAAAAUCUGUCGAUAUCUCAUUGUGAAGUCAAUGGUGUCCUACGCGGUCAAGGUAAAAGAAAAUCGUUGAUUGUGAACUCACUCAAUGGUGUCCUACGUGUUCAACAUUUUUAUUUAUUUAUUGUUUAAUGUUUCUGCUAGGUUUUCCUCAUUUCAAGAGUUUGGAACAUUUGGAUAUGGAUUACACGCGCAUUGCACUCAACACCGGCUUUCUUCAAAUCAUCGGUGAAUCGAUGCCUUCUCUUAAGUACUUAUCACUGUCAAGGUUAAUCUAUAAAUCGAUGCCUUCUCUUGAUCAAGGUUAAUCAGAUGCUCCCACUCUCCCCUCUUAAUCUAUAAUAUUAAUUUUCAAUUCAAUAUUUAAUUACACAAACGAAUCACUUAUUAUAAAAGAAUAAUACGCAUUCAUUAAUUUUUAUAUUGUAUUAAUAAUUGAUGAAUUUAAUAACUUUUCAGGUCUCUGUUCGUUGGUGCAUCUGCAAGUGUUGAACAUUGCAGGCAAUGAUUUAAGAGGUAGCUUGCCUUGGUGCUUGGCAAAUAUGACAUCCCUCCGAAUAUUAGAUGUUUCUUCCAAUCAACUUACUGGAAGCAUCUCCUCAUCUCCCCUCGUUCAUUUGACAUCCAUUGAAGAGCUGAUGCUUUCAGACAAUCACUUCCAGAUCCCAAUUUCACUUGAACCAUUUUUCAAUCACUCACGACUCAAGAUUUUCCAUGCUUACAACAACGAAAUAAAUGCAGAAAUAACUGAGUCACAUUCUUUGACUGCCCCAAACUUCCAAUUAAAAUAUCUCUCAUUGUCUUCCGGUUACGGAGAUGGUGUCACAUUCCCCAAAUUCCUUUACCAUCAACAUGAUCUGGAGACUGUUGACCUCUCACAUAUAAACAUGAGCGGAGAAUUUCCAAAUUGGUUGUUGGAAAACAACACAAACUUAGAAUAUAUUUUUUUGGUUAAUGAUUCUCUUGCAGGACCUUUCCGGUUGCCAAUUCAUUCACACAAGCGGUUAAGACUGUUGGAUAUAUCCAACAACAACAUCAGAGGCCACAUUCCAGUAGAAAUUGGAGAUGUUUUACCGGGUUUAUUUUCUUUAAACAUUUUCAUGAAUGCUUUAGACGGUUGCAUUCCCUCUUCAUUUGGUAAUAUGAAAUUCCUCCAAUUUCUGGACUUAUCCAACAACCAAUUGACUGGUGAAAUCCCUAAGCACUUGGCCGUGGGUUGCGUCAACUUAGAGUCUCUUGCGUUGUCAAACAACAACUUAGAAGGUCAUAUGUUCUCCAGAAACUUCAACCUGACAAACUUGAAAUGGUUACAAUUGGAAAGCAAUCACUUCGUAGGAGAGAUCCCACAAAGUUUGUCUAAAUGCUCCUCACUAAAAGGAUUGUAUCUUAACAAUAAUAGUCUUUCGGGUAAGAUUCCACGAUGGUUGGGUAAUCUCACAUGGUUACAAUAUAUUACAAUGCCCAAUAAUCAUCUUGAAGGUCCUAUUCCAGUGGAGUUUUGUCAGCUUGAAUGGCUUCAGAUUUUGGACAUUUCAGACAACAACAUAUCUGGAAGUUUACCAUCUUGUUUCCAUCUUCUCUCUAUCAAACAAGUUCAUCUUUCAAAAAAUAUGUUACAUGGACAGCUAAAAAGAGGUACAUUCUUUAAUUGCUCUUCCCUUGUGACAUUAGAUCUUAGUUAUAACCGCUUGAAUGGCAGCAUUCCGGAUUGGGUUGAUGGGCUUUCUCGGUUAAGCCACCUUAUCUUGGCUCACAAUAAUCUUAAAGGUGAAGUGCCAGUUCAAUUGUGCAAAUUGAACCAACUACAAUUGUUAGAUCUUUCUAAUAAUAAUCUUCACGGUCCUAUUCCUCUUUGCUUUGAUAACACCACACUUCAUGAAAGUUACAGCAAUAGUUCUAGUCCUGAUGAGCAAUUUGAAAUAUAUGUUUUCAUCGAAGGCCCUCAGGGAGGUGUAGAAAAGAAAAUCCAUGAAAUUUUUGAGUUCACAACAAAGAACAUUGCGUACAUUUACCAAGGAAAAGUGCUUAGCCUCCUAUCAGGACUUGAUCUUUCUUGCAACAAGCUAAUCGGUAUUAUUCCUCCUCAAAUUGGAAAUUUGACAAGGAUUCAAACAUUGAAUCUAUCGCACAACAACUUGACAGGAUCGAUCCCAUCAACAUUUUCAAACUUGAAGCAUGUCGAAAGUUUGGAUCUUUCCAACAACAAAUUGAAUGGGAAAAUCCCUCAUCAACUAGUGGAGUUAAAGACAUUGGAGGUUUUCAGUGUGGCAUACAAUAACUUAUCAGGCGAAAUUCCAGAAUGGAAAGCACAAUUUGCAACCUUCAACGGGAGUAGCUAUGAAGGAAAUACUUUUCUUUGUGGACUGCUAUUGCCCAUUUGCAGAUCACCAGCAACUACGUCGGAGGGUUCAAUUGGCAAUGAACGAGAUGAUAAUUUAAUUGACAUGGACAAUUUCUUUAUCACAUUUACAACAUCGUACGAAAUUGUGAUAUUCGGAAUUGUUAUUGUUUUAUAUGUAAAUUCUUAUUGGCGACGUAGAUGGUUUUACUUUGUUGAAAUGUGGAUAACUUCAUGUUAUUAUUUUAUUGUAGACAAUCUUAUUACAACAAGAUAUUGUCAUUGAAAUUAAUUAGGAGUUUAAUUACGAUUCUUUAAGUUCUAAUCAAGUUUGCUUAGGAAAUAAAUUUAUUUUUAUUUUUUAUUAAAACUGUAGUAGUAUUUAGCUCUAUAUAGCUUCCAACUUCCAAGCACUUCACAUUUGUCUCUACACUUCCAAACCCAUAUCUAUCCACCAUAACUUAUACUUCCCUAUACUGUGCAGCAUACUUAAAUAAGAGAACCAUCUCCAAUGUUAAAACCAGCCACUCUAUAACAUUCAUUUAGAAUAGUUUUAUUAUCAUACACAAGAAAUGAAACACCUAGAUGCACUUGAUCGCCUAUUUUACUUUAAAAAAUAAUGAUUAUGGUGCUAUCAUCAUCUUCUUCACUAGCAACAUUAACACCAAAUCCAGCGAUGGACCCAGACAUUUUAUCAAGAAAGGUAUAUAUAUAAUAAAGUUGAAGCUUGACAAAAAAUUCAGGAAGAUUAAUGCCUCGCCACAACAAGGGGCACAACAACAUCAAAGUAGAGAUGAAGCAAUAUUUUCAAAUCUAAAACUCUCAAAUCCACCCACCAAAAUUUCAUAUCUCCUCAACAAUUUUAAGAACUAAAGAUAAUUAGGAUCUAACAUUAGUUUUUUAUAUAUUAGUUUCAUAAUUUACAAAUCAAUGAAGAUGAAGAUUAUGCUAAUGAAUUCAAAUUAUACCAUAGAUUCUCGAGAUGUUACCAAAAAUUUCUAAGCCAAUCCCACAUAUUUCAUAAUUUUAAGACUAGAAAAUUUCAUUAGUUAGAAGUUUCAUUACCUUCAAGUGGAAGAUGAAGAACAUUAUACAAUUGAUUCAGAUUAUAUCAUACAUACUCCAAAUGCAACUAGAAAUUAACAAGUUCAUGCGCACAGAUUUCAUAACAUUAUGAUUGGAAAGUUUCACAAAGAGAAAUUCUAAAUUCAAUCUCUUGCAUCAAGGUAGUUUGAUUGAUUUGAGUUACUUUCUCAUCAAGCUACUAAUAUAACAUUCAAGUCAGGGAGAAAGUAAAUUAAAACUGGGAAGAAACAACAGUAAAAAUUUGUUGCUAAACAUGAUGUGUAUUUUUUUUUAAGGCAAUUUGGAAACACAGUUGUUACUACAGAUAUUCUCCUCAACUUAGAGAUAAAUACAAAUAUUAAAAUGCAUAUGAUCGCACAUAUUACUUGGAGCUUAGUAAGAUUUCAUUAAGAGAAGCAAUCAAACCACUUAUCAAUUGUUGCAAUCGUUCUAUAAGCUAAAAUAGCAAUAUAAUACAAGAAAAAGAACAUAUAGAUACUUGGCAAGAGUUCAUUAAGAAGUCGCAUCACAUUCGGGUGAGUUUGCUUCUGAUAUCUUGCUAGCUGGGGCUUUUUCUUGUCUUUCUACGUAUGCCGAGGGAAACCAACCAGCUUGGCCCUUGCAUUCACCUUCCGACCAUCCAGUAGGAGCCACCUUGAGAAGUUAUAACUAAAAGUCUAAAACAAUGAAUUAAACAAAAGUUGACCGUUCAAAGACCUAAGGGGAAAACUAAUUCUUUUACGUAGGAGGAGUGAAUUAGUUGUGAUCACUGAAAUAACAGCAUAACUAUGGAAGCAUAACAAGAUAUAAAUUCACACGUCUAUAAGGGUAAACUGGGUGGUUUAGAACUGAGCUAGCAACCCUACUAUAUUCUGAUUUGCACAUCAAUGUAAAAGGGAAUAUAUGGUAGGAAGAAAGAAAACCAACCAUCAGUUGUUAACUCAUUGCUUUUCAAUCAAAAUUUUAAGAACAAAAUGCCAUGUGCUUUGAACAUCAAAUAAGUAUAAGCAUUAGUUCUAAAUUCCACAUAUCAUAAGUUAGAAGGACAAGUCAAUAGCAUAGUAGAAAAAUCUAUGUGUUGUUAUUUAGAGGGGAAAGUACCUGGCGAACCACAACAUAAUCAUCAAUUGAAAGACUUAGCUCUCCAUUUGCUUGAGCAUCAAAUGGAUGUAUAACCUGCAAGAUAAUGGGAUAAAUAGAACUUAAUCUUAAAAAAAGCAUAACAAAAGCAGCAACAGUAGCAGCAGCGUUCAUUGUAACCACUAUGAUCAUGGCCAAUAAAGAUAUAUUACAAACAAAAUUCCAUUUUUACUACGACAUUAAUAUGUACUAUAUGAUAUCAUGACGAUUGGGUUACCAAGAGCUAUCAAAGUCCAAUAAAUUCUGUAUAACUUUAGGUAGUUAUUCAAAUUAUGGAUCAGAUUUUAAAUCCGAAAUUUUGACUGCUCUCCACAAAACAUGGCCUAUGCACAAGAAAGUCAUAGAUAAUGAGGAUUACAAGUGUCUGACAUCUUUUGAGUGAUGGAUUUAACAUGAGAGCUUAUGGUCAGUCAAUUUCCUCUGCCUAGCAAUAUAAGCUUUCUCGGCCAGAUUUAUCAUCAAAUACAUAGAUUGGCCCCAAGUCACAUCCAAAUAAACAUAGUUUUUCUAGGUAAACCAAGUAAGGAGAAUCAUAAUUCAGACAUAAUCAUAAAAAGGCCCAUCUAACUUAAGAGAAAAUCUCAAAAAGAGGGAUGUUGAGCUAUCAGUCUUGUAUCUAUAAGCAAUAUCAAGACUUUACAUCACCUACUACAUCGUGAGUGGCUACACAACUUUCAGUGGUUUGUCUUUCUUUGGCAUGCCUAACUCAGCUUUGAUGUUGCUGAGAUAUUGAUAGUAAAGACACAUGAUACUUCUAGCCCAUGCAUUCUAUCUAGCUCAUCCGACAACUAUCUCUUUUUUAAUUCAUUAGUGUUUGCUAAACCUCAUGCUUAAAAGUCCUAUUCUCCUAAACAAAGCUUCCUAAGAAUGACUUCCUCAGCACCACAUUUGGACACUUUUAGAGCAAUUUUAUUUGGGGGAAAAGAAUUUUCAAGGUGUUAACUAAUAAAUUUUAAAAAAUAAUUACAAUUUGUCCUACAAUUAUAUGACAAUUUAUCUGGGAUGAAAGGAUACAGACAGACAUCUUCCACUUUCAAGACUAAUCACUACUUCCGUAGAUGUUUUGCAAUAAUACAAAUACUUGACCAGAUGGUAGAAAAAAAUUUUAUUGCUCCAAAAUUAAAAUAAGAAUGCAAUAUGUUAAGCAAAAGACUGUGCAACAUCAAAUUAAUUGAUAAGUUUGUAAUUCAGUAAAUUAACAACUUUCAUGGUAAAAUACAACAAAUUUCUUUUCAAAAAAAAAAAAAAAAAUUAAAAGACGGCAUUCAAUUUUUUGGGCAUCUUAUUUCUUAAGAUUUUCCAGGAGGAGGGCACUAGAGGGACUUUCACCUAUGCAAGAGAGCAGAAGCCUUACUUUCGCUAUAAAGUAGACGUCAUUCUGAUUAAUAUGCGUUUGCAAAUCAGCUCCAUUUGAAUCAGUAUUCUGAUAGACACAUGAGGCAUUUACAUCCAUUUCCAAAGUCACAUGUUGCGAGGAGGACUCAUUUGAUUGCUCCUCUAGGAUCAUCUAAUUCAAGUAGCAAGGGUUGGAAGAGAAUAAAAAGUCACAAUUAUUCUUUUGCAUAAGUGAGACGAAAAUGAUAAAUGCAAUAUUAUCAGCAGUAAACAAGAAGAGAACACUCCAAGGAAUAGAUAGAUGCAGACAAGCAAGUUAAAAUGCACAGUUCCAAACCUCCGCAUACAACUUCUCUAAAAUAGCAAUAACGUGUUGAUGAUAUGUUUUCUCAGCAUCUACCUGCAAAGGCCUGAGACCAGGAAAACAACAAUAAAACCACUAGCUAAAGGAGAAAGUAAAGAAAGAAAUACACUUGACAUAAAUCUUGACAAGAAGCACAAUUUAAGACAUAACAAACCCCAAUCAGAUUGUUUAGAACUACCAUUCGUUAUUUCGUUAUUGUAGCAUUUCGAACAAGUGUUGACUUAAUUCAACAUUGUUGGAAAGAUAGGCUUUUAGAAGCGGAAGAAAGCCACUCAAACCAAAGUGAUUGUCCUUGUAUUGAUCAAGGGAUGUAAACAUAUUACAUUUGCAGGAUGAGUUUUAAUCACUCCCCUGAUUUAUUUGGGUUGCAGUAAAACUAAGCGAGCAACUGUUUGACUUUCAAGCAACAUCUAAAUCAGCUAUUAAAAUUCAAAUAAAAUUAUAAUAGAAUAAUAACAGGCCAUCUUGCAUAAAAAAUUAAGUUUAAUUUGUGAAUUUUUUUCUAUAGACAUGUUAGUUCCUGCUAUUGAAAUGUUAAAAGCAUUGAAAAAUUAUUCAAUAAAUUAUGCAAACAUUAAAAUAGAGGACAUAUUAAAAAGUUUCUAAUUACAAUGUUAAGAUUUCCUAUAUUUUAGCAUUUGCAUAUUUUAAUUUAUUUAAAAGUUACGUCAAUCAACUUUGGGCGUGAAGAUUUUAGCUUCUACGAGACUUGAUUGGAAUAUGCAUAAGGAAGAGUGUUAAAAUAUGAUGCAUCCAACGAAAGACAAACCACGUGUAGUCUUUUAAUUAAGCCAAAGUAGCAGCUCAAACAAAUGACACUUGGACCAACAUGCAAUCAUGAAGUGGCCGGUAAAAGGACAAAUGCAACUUUGGCUUAAAUAAAAAAUAACAUGUGACUUGACUUUUGCUGGACAUGCAUCAUGUUAUUACAAGACAACAGAAAUCAGUAUGAUAGUACUAAAAGUUGACAAUAACAUGAAGAUAAGAGGCAGAAUGUCAACACCUGCAUAGGCACACACAAGAAAGUAUUAACAUAUAUACCAUAGCAAAAAGUCUUUGAUAUGUCAUCUGUUGCUGCUGUGAUUCAACUGACAGCAUGGCAGCUGUCGCUUCUCUACCAAGAGCCAUUAUUGUAGAUUUAAGCUCGGUCAAUCUUGCUUCUGCAUUUCGAAGCUUCACAGCACUCUCUGCUGAUAUAUCAGAUUUCCUUAUCUUUGAUCGGUGCCUAAAUACUUCAGCUGCCUGGUGAAAAUAUUCAAUAUAAAUCUAACAUAAUUCUCAUCUUGCCUUAUACAUGCAUAUGUUACCUCAAAGCUUGCCUGGGCUUCAACUUCAUGUCGAAGUUUGUCAUAACGAUGAGUCAGGUGUCGAGCAUCUUCCAAAGGUGCUCCGUUGAUUAACGCCCGUAGUGGCUCAGAUACCUACAUGUCCAAAAACCUGUAACAUAGUUAGAAAAAUGAAAAGAAAGAGCGAAACCUCAAUUAAAAAGUUCCUCCAACAUAAUCAUGGAAUUUGGGCCUACUUCAAGGAUAUAUAUAAGGAUAAUUUAUGCAAUUUUGGGUCUUAGGAUGAUUCAUAUUAGGUUAGUGUUCUUCUCUUCUGUAUUUAAGGUUAAAAUAGAAAUAAACCUAUGCAAAUAUCUAAAUUAGGGCUGUAAGACUUCCACAUGCAUCCUUCAGUCUCAUGGAUUUGAUUUUACUAUAGAUGCAAGUGUCUUUAUCGAAAAUGCUUGGAGUCAAUUGAGAGAACUCACAGCCAAUAACUUGUCACAUGCUAGUCUUUGCUAGUGAUGCAAGAAGUCACAAGGUCUCUUCAACAUUUGAACCAAUAAAAUUAUUAAGUCAUGGAUGUCACUAGCAAUGAUUUCAAUAUAAAACAUUAAAUAUUUCAAGUUGUAACUUUAAAAUGGAUUCUUUUAUUCAAUAUCUUAGAACUAAGUUUCCUUAUGAGAAGAUAAUAGUUUCAGUAGUAAUUUACAUGAAAUUUUCUAUAUUUGAAUUAUUUUCUAGUUAGGGAUGAACUAACCUGAUCAUGAAGAAUCCCAAGCAAAGUUUUCCUCUCAUUUUCCAUCAAAUCAUGUGAAGUGCCAAAUUGAAGAGCAGCUCUUGCAGCGCAAGAAUUGUCACUUUGAUUCUCCACUCCAUACUUGCAACAAUCUUCAGCCAACUUUCUCACUACAAUAUUUGAAUACAAAAAUAUUGUACACAAGAACCAGUCAAGAAAAUAAAAAAAAAAUCAAAUAUUAUAACGAGAGCAAGAGCAAACAAACAACCUAUUUCCAUUUGUUUCAAGCUUACUGCAACAAACCCUUCAACGCCACGGACAAUAUUCCUCUGAAAAUUCUGUGCUACAGAGCAUAUAUUCCAAAUUAUUGUUCAGAUAAAACCAUAGAAACCAUCAUAAUUAUCAACAUACAUUAAGCUCCGUUUGGUAAAUACUUGCAACUUCAGUCUAGAAAAUACAGUUGUUUGUACCAUAUUUGACAAAAUUAUUAUUUAAAAAUCAUAACUAAUUACCAAAAGCCACAAUAAAUCAAUAUCAAACAGAGUCUUAUUAUUAGCUAAAGGAGGAUGGUGCCUUAGCUGCCCUGGUGGAAUUGUAUAGAUUUUAAAGUUGUUGGUGACACUCAAUUUCAGCUUCAUGAACCGCAAUAUUUUCAAUACCAAGAUGGAGCAGAUGCUUCAAUGCUGCCUGUACAAAUCAUAAAAAACUAAUAAAAAUAAAUAAAAUCGAGAAAUUUCACUAACUAAAAGUCUAAAUAUAAUUUUUGAAAAAAGAAAAGAAACGGACUUGCUGCUGCUUGGCGACUUGUUCUCGGUGCUUGAUUGCCUGUUUCUUGAUAGCUUCCAUACUGUUUCUUUCAAAAAGCAACGACGGCUCAGCUCAUGGAGGUGGAAAAAAAAAGUAUGAUCGAGAAAAAUAAAAAGGCAUGAAUAAUUUUUGACAAAAAGCGAAAAAUAAAAAGGCAUGAAUAAUGAAUAAUUUUUGACAAAAAGCUCUUUCCAGAAAAUAAAAAAAGAAAAAAGAAAAAAGAAAAUUAUAAGUUUGAAAGGAGUAGAUGAUAGUGGAAGUGUGCGGUGUGGCUGCCAGCUACUUGAAUUGUAUUGUCGGGUAAGGUAAUAGUAGAGAAUUUUUUUUUUUGAAGAAAAAUGGGUAAUUUUUAAAAACCUCCCCUGAGGUUUGGGCUUGUUGUAAGUAGAUGGCGAGAAUCCAUUUAUUUGUAAAAAACCCCCUACGUUUUUGCUCCGCUUGGUUGCCGUUUGGGCAAUUGUGGGCAUUGUUGACAUUUCGCAAUAAAACAAAUCUUUUGCAACUUUCGUUUCCUUGAGAACAAUAGCUAGAUUUCUCAAUCUGUUUCAUCCAACACUUCAAAAAUUUCAACUUUUAUGAGUUAUUGCAUUCUCUGGCAAAGUAGACUUCUUCUAAUUUUAUCACAGUGCUUUCAGGAACAAGAAUGGGAUCCAUUAACAUCCCCUCAAAUUUUACAGCUUCCUUACAGCUAUACACUGCUGUAACACGAAGUUUAAUGAUUCCAUCGCCAAAUAGUCCCCAAAAUCUAUUCUUCCCCAUAUUGAACAACUUAAGUUCACAACACUUGCAUUCUAAAGGCUUCCCACUAACAUCUAAUAUCUCAAGACUCAACGUUGCUUUACAAUAAUUGUUAUUACUACCAAACAAACAUGAAGAAACCCCGAUUAUCGGAUAAAUCAACCCAAAAUGAACAAGAGAAGAACCCAAAACAAGUGAAUCGCUAGAGCAAAACCCCCAACCCAUAUCCCUAAUCCCACACUCAAAAAAACCCAAUUUCUCUCCAAAGUCAUUGACACUAGCAUCACUACUAGACUCUAAUUCCAAUCCUAGAUUACAUUUAAUGUUAACCCAACUAAAAUGAAUGUUCUUACUACAAUACGCAUCGUUUACACUCUCAAACAACGCGCUGAACUUACUCUUAAACGAUCCCACAUUGGUCAAACACUCAUCACUCACAUCGACAUCCAAGAAUUCACUCAAAAACUUCAUAGACUCGACAAUUGGAGAAAACAAAACCACUAAACUCAACUUUAUACAAGCAUACCCAUCGAGAAUCUUACCGUCAUUAACCGAAUCACAACAAAUCACCGGGUCCCACGCGCAGUCGUGAACGAGCUUACGCAUGGACGGGGCAACAUUUAACCCCCGCGGCAAAAACGACGAAGCUUUGGAAAAAUUGUGUUUUAGAGCUGGGUUGAGGAGUAGAGAUUGGAGAGAUUGGAAGGUGGAAUCGGGACGGUCAAAGGAUAGAGAGAGAGAAGGGAAGGGGAUCUUUAAAAGAGAAGUGGGGAGAGGGAGGAGAAGAAGGAUUUGAAAGAGAAAAGAGAGGAACGGAGAGGCGGGAAUGAGAUUAAGGUUUUCACUGCAACUAAAAGAGUAAUCAUGUAUGGCUCUUGGUCUUGGAGAUGAAGGAGAGGAUUCAGGUCGAUUAAGAGGACUAUACGCUGCAUUUUGGUGUAGUCUGCCGCCAUUGGUAGAAGUUUCGAAGUGGGUUUCUGUUUAGAUCCGAGUUUGACGAAGAAACGUGGUGGUUGCGCUUGGGACAAUAUUGUUUUUGCACUGGUCAAUGUAGAAAUUAAACGACGGUAGGGUGUUUUUUUAUAAAUAAAUGAAUUCUCGCCAUUUAUAACAAGCCGAAACCUCAAAAGAAGAUUUUAAAAAUUACCCGAAGAUUCGAAAAAUAGUAGAGAAUUUUUUAAAAAGCUAGAACAGAGCAUGCUAGACUUUUGUGGACCAAAUUCAAAAGCCGAAGGGCACGGCCCAAAAGCUUUUGAAUACAAUAACUUACUAGAAAGCUCCAUUUUUUGUUGGCUACAGUAAAAGUAUGUUGUUUUAUGCUUCUUAUAUGUUACGCUUGCAUCAGCCUCAAUCACUUCUUAAUCGCUUGCUUUAACUGCAUCGCUCUCUGUGUACUCUUCUACACAUGUAACGGUUAUGCGGUUGUAGUUCACGGCUGAGGCUACGUGUUGGUUUGACGCGGCAGUUACGUUACGACAUUACGAGUCUGUUAAACAUUCGGUGAUAGAGCAUUAUUAGUUAUUUUAAGGGGACAAAUAAGAUUGGUUGCAAUAAACCCACUAAUUUUAUAAAAUUCGAGUAAUAUAGAAUAAAAUAAAAAAAUAAAUACAAAAUUGGCUUUUAUUUUUUAUGGUUGACUGUAUUUUGUGUUCUCUUCCGGCACUACUACAAUUGUUCCCUAUAUAUCAGUCACACCCAUAUAUCAUCAAUACAAGAAAUGAAAUCUAAUGUCACCUAUUUAGUUAAAGAAUUACUCAUGAAAAAAUUUUACCAUUUUACUUUGAGGAUCCAUAUUUUGAACUGCAAGCUAAUGUUCAUCAAGAAUCACUAAUGUUCAUAAAAAACAGAGCAUGGCCGUUGAGUAGAAAAACUAUUUUUGGACAAAUUAUUUUUGUUGAUAGAAGAAUUUCUUAAGGGGCUCAUAAGGCCAAUGAUGUUUCUACUGCUGGUGGUUUGAUUCGCGAUUAUUCGGGUCGUUGGUUGACUGGUUUUGGGUUGAUGCUUGGUUCCUGUUCUGUUACAAUGGCUGAGCUUAGAGGCAUUUAUCAGGGGCUUAUCUUGGCUUGGAAUUUUGGCAUUCGGUGGCUGCAUGUGGAAACUGAUAGCUUAUGUGCAACUCAAAUGUUGGCUAACCAGGUGGAGACUACUAAUGAAUAUGCGUCCCUCAUUUUUGCCAUCAAGGAGUAUCUCCAGAAAAAGGAUUGGCAGGUUUCUAUUUCUCAUGUGUACAGAGAGGCAAACUCGGCUGCUGAUUUUAUGGCGAACCUUGCUUGUUCUUUGCCUCUUGGGCUUAUGGUGUACCCUAGUCCCCCGCUCGGGUUUUCAUCCAUUCUUUUGUAUGAUUCUUACGGGGUUGCGACUCCGCGUUCGGUUGUUUUUUAGCUCUUAAUUGAGCCCCAAUUGAUCAAAAAAAAAAUAUUAUGAAUAACAAUGUAGAACACACCCACAUAUCAUCAACACAAUUGACUUUAAGGAUCCAUGCUUUGAAUUGCCACCUAAUGUUCAUCAAGAACAGAGUAUGCCUUGUGAGUAGAAAAUUUUAUGAUUUUGGUCCGAAAUAAAAAGAAAUUAAAUUAGAUGAGAAUCUGCCACUUUCUCAUAAAGAAAGGCAUACGGAGCAUACCAUGGUACCAUACAAUACAAAGAGUCUCUAUUCUCUGGUUUUUCAAACUCUGAAGGGGCCAAUAUUCCCGAAUUCCCCCUUGAAAAUUCUGAUUACGACAUUAUUCAAUUCUUGACACAAUCAAAGUAGCGACAAAGUUAAGAAAAAUAUGAGUCCUAAGUAAUGGCUAGGUAGGGUUCUUGAGAGCAAAAUUGUCCUAAGCAUUAUAUGCAUACAUGGUGUGGUACAUAGAGCACGUUGAAUUCCACACUAUAACACAAACCCAGAAAGACAAGUAAUAACUCAACUGAUAUAAAGACAAAAAGAAGAUAAAAUGAUAUAGAAAAAAGAAUUUCAAAGAGACAGCAACAUACGAUAGACUGAAGCCACUUGAUCUGCUCACUGAUUGCAGCCUUAAACUUACAAAUAGUUACUGUACGCUAGUGCUCUAAGAAGUGAAAAUGAUAAGAGACCUGAUUCCCUUUUGACUUCCAUUUACUGUCAAACAUUCUAGUAAUACAAAAAAUUGUUUAGAUAUCUUGCUAUAAAUAUAGUCGUUUGACUGUCAUAAUAAAGUCACAAAUAACCAUUCAUAUUGAUCCACUGUCACACAGCAUGCUUUAUGCAUACAACAUCUGCAUGUAUACCAACUCCUAACCUUAUCAAUACAUUUGGCAAAAACUUAAGAAGAAAACUAUUUCUCCAUCUCUUUUUUGAAAUUUCACAAUAAACCAGCACAUUGUGAAAGCUAUGUUCUAAUCUUAUGAUAAAUGCUCUAGACUCCAAAAGGAUUUUAUAUAUGAGAGUUUGUUGCAGCAGAUAUAUUGACUUAUCAAGUAUGAAUCAUUGUCUGGAUGAACUAUCUUUAAAUAAAAGAAUAUUAGAACCACUGUAGAAUAUCUUUACGCUGCUGGUUCUAACAGGAAUCUGCAUGUGGCAACAAUUGCUAGAUCCACAAUUCCCCAACUUGAAAUACAUAGUUGCACACCGUGAGAUAGUGCUGCAAUCUACUGAGAUCUAACUUAUUUGAUACUUUAAGCUACUAAUGUUUGCAUAUUUCUACAUGUUAAAUUGACACUACCAUCUAUAAUCACCCCAAAACGACAAAUGAUAAGCAGCUUUUGGCCACUUAUUAAUUACUAGCAUCCACAACACAAUUAUAAAUAAGAGAUCAUGGGUUUACUUGUUGCAACUACUUAAUGAUCUGCAUUUGAGACCCUGACGCAAGGUUUAAAUAGUGACUGCUUAGAACCCUUGUAGUUGGAUCUUGACCUCUCCCAUUGUAGCCAAGAUUGGCUACUCUGGUAAUGAAUCAACACUCUCCUGCUUAUUUUUUUGUUUUUAAAAAAUAACGAAAUCAUAAAAUAAAUAAACACGUGUUUGGUUUUGGGCAUUUUCUUUUGUUCAUUUAAUAUCAUCUGGCUCCCUGAUUUUUGACUAAUUAACAACGGAAUCCUGUUAGUUUCUAAAUUGAAAUAAUAAAAGGUCUUGAGAUUAUUUACUCCAUUUAGCACUGUAGACUUAGAGUAUAUUGAAAAAGCUUUGUCAAAUAGUAGUAAUAGGGGCAUAAUAAAUAAGUUUUUCAGAAUUUACAUAAUGUACUUUGCUCUAGGAAGAUUGCCCUCUUAUCACUCAAGUUAGGUUUUGCCUUAGAGUUGAGGUAAAUCAUUAAAAUAAAUUAUAGCUAUCACAAAUUCGUUAGGAGAAUUUCAAUUUUUUUUCCAUUAAAUGGCUAUGAUGCAAAAUUACCUCAGCUUAUAUUGCAACACUAAUACUUCAAAUCCUAACAAUAAAAUUGAUGACAAUGGUUUUUAUGUAUAGUAAUUUUCACUCUUUUGUUUGAUCUAAAAGUAGUUCUUAAAAUGACAAUGAUGACUUAUUUAGAAGAAAUGGCAAACUUAUAGUUUGUAAUAUUGUUUGCACAAACAAUAAAGACUAAUUUGAUAAUAAUGAAGUGUUAAUUACUAUUUAACAUUUUUAAUUAAUUUUUAAAUUUAAAAAAAAAUGAAGGCCGAAACUUGUGCAUUAAAUUUUAAUUAAAAGUUGAUUGCUUCGAAGGUUGGAUCGUGACAAAUUGACAAUUGAAAAAAGAAGUAGGGAAUAUAUAUUCUGAUGAAAGGGACAAGAUUAAGCAAGGGGACAAUAUUGUCUAUUGGACCUACAAAUGGGGGCAAAGAUAUAUAUAUUCCAAAAUUUCUUAUUUGUGGAUUGGCCACCACGUGUAACUAAUAUAAAAAGAGAAAAUUUGGCAUGGUUUUAACCGAUAUAAGGGUCCGUUUGGGAUUGAGGUGCUGUAGCUUUUAAGCUAUAGCUGCUGUGGAAAAAAAAAACUGUAAGUAUUAAAUAAAAGUUAAUAAUAUAUAGUAAAUAUAAAUUUUAAAUAAUAAUUUUGAUGAAAUUAUUAAAGAUAUAAUAGAUUUUCUAUUAUACAAAUGAAAAUUCAUAUCAACAUAGCUUAAAAGUUACAGCAGUUAGUGUUUACCAAACACUUUAGUGCUGUAGCUUUUAAGCUACAGCUGCCCAACCUCAAUCCCAAACGCACCCUAAGAAGAGAAAAUUUUGAGUGUAUAAGAAGAGAAAAUUUUGAGUGCACAACAAGAACAAAGCAAAACCCAUGAAAAUUCACCUUUCAUGUGGGUUGGAUUGGAUAAAAUCAAUAUCUUGAAUCAAACAAAAUGUUUGGUACUUGAAGGUUUUUUUAACAUUUUCAUUUUUUUUUCCAUUUAUGAAGUCCAUUUUUUUUUUAAUUUUGAUUUUUUUGAAUGAUUUUGCAGGUGUUGAUAUAAGGUCAUCAAAAGUUUGUGAACUUGGGGUGUUGAAUUAUAAGGCGAAGCGUGUGUUUUAUCCAUUUGAAGCAAGUAAAUUUCGCUGUCGGUAUGAUUACUAUUGGGCUUCUAUCUUCAAGGUAUUCAUACAUUUUCCCCUGUACUAUAAGCUUCUUAGUGGCGGUCUUGUGAGCGGAAGUGAGCAGUGUGGCUGACAGCUUCUUGAAAAUUAUAAGUUUGAACAGAGCAUGUUAGACUUUUGUUGACCAAAUUCGAAAGCCAAAUGGCACAGCUCAGAAGCUUUUGAAUUGAAUAACUUACUAGAAAGCUCCAAUUUUUUGUUGGCUAUAGUAAAAAGAGGUUGUUUUAUUCUUCUUAUACUUUACACUUGCAUCAGCUUAAAUCACUUCUUAAACGCUUUGCUUUAACUCCACCGCUUCGUACUGUUCUAUAUAUGUAUCGGGUAUGCGGUUGUAGUUCACUGCUGAGACUACGUGUUUGUUUAACGUGGAAGUUACGUUACGAGUCUGUUAAAACAUUCGGUGAUUAAAGUAUUAUCAGUUAUUUCAAAGGGACAAAUAAGAUUAGCUACAACACACACUAGUUUUAUAAAAUUCGAAUGAGAUGGAAUAAAAUAAAUAAGUAAAUUGACUUUUAAUUUAGUGCUUGAAUAUAUUUUGUAUUCUCUUUGGGCACUGCUGUAAUUGUUCCUUAUCACACCCAUAUGUUAUAGACACAAGAAAUGAAAUUUAAGAUCACCUGUUUAAUUAAAGAAUCACUCAUGAAAAAAUUUUGCCAUUUUGAUUUGAGGAUCCACAUUUUGAACAACCAACUUAUGUUCAUUAAGAACAAAGCAUUGCCUGUGAGUAGAAAAAUGAUUUUUGAACAAAUUAUUUUUUGUUUAUAGAAGAAUUUCUCAAGGGACUAUUAAAAUUACUAAUAAAAAUGUCAGACACACCCAUGUACCAUCGACAAAAUUAACUAUGAGGAUCCAUGUUUUGAACUGCCACCGAAUGUUCAUCAAGAACAUAGUAUAACUUGUGACAAGAAAAUUUUUUGAUUUUGGCCUGGAACAAAAUGAAAUUAAAUUGAAGGAGAAUCUACUACUUUCUCAUUAAGAAAGGCAGACGGGGCAUACCAUGGUACCAUACAAUACAAAAAGUUUCUGUUCUCUGGCUUUUCAAACUCUGAAGGGGGCAAUAUUCCCCAAUUGCCUUGUGAAAAUUCUGAUUACGACAUUAUUCAUCGCUUGAUACAUAAGUAAAAGUAGUGAUAAAAUUAGAAAAAAUAUGACUUAUAAGUAAUUACUUGGCAGGGCUCUUGAGAGCAACAUUGUGCUAGGCUUUAUAUGCAUACAUUGUGUGGUACAUUCUACACUAUAACACAAACCCAGAAAGACAAGUAAUAUCUCAACUUAUAUAAAGACAAAAAGAAGAUAAAACGAUACAGAACAAAAAAUUUCAAAGAGACAGCAACAUACAAUAGACUGAAGCCAGUUGAUCUGCUCGUUGAUUGCAGCCUUAAACUUGCAAAUGUUUACUGUAGCCUGGUGCUCUAAGAAGUGAAAGUGAUGCAAACCUUGAUUCCCUGUUUACUUCCAUUUACUGUCAAACAUUCUAUUCAUACGAAAAAAAUUGUUUAGAUAUCUUGCCGUAAAUAUAGCCAUUUGAUUGUCUUAACAAAGCCACACACAACCAUUCAUAUUGAUCCACUGCCCUUGAUCUUGAACAGAUCAAUACAAUACGCACAACUUAUGAUUGAAUCCAGAAACAAUCAAAUCUUUAGCAAGAAAAAUUAAUCAGAAUCAAGAAACAAGUUCAAUGAAUAUAAACCUAUAAUUGGAACAAACACAGCCAAAGAACCCAAGAAUGACACAACCUACACCACGGGAGAAGUUUUCCAGUGAGAUUUUAUUGAUGAUCAAAGAAGAAUCUUUUUACAAAGCUAACAAAAGAGAUUUCAGAGAAUAAGCUAUGACUCUCUCUCUUCAAUCUCUCUCUAGUUUGUUCACAGUGAUGACCCCAAUCUGCUUCGUUAGCCAGCUUCAUAACUGCGUUAGUGACAAACUAGCAAACCCAGAUUGAGCAGAUUACCGACACGUGGAUAACGGCUAUUAAGAACUUAGUUAAAGAACUGCUCACAUAUUCGUCAUGCGUGUUACUUAAAUGAUGGCCAAAACGACUUCAACCAGAUGCCGUUUUGAAGCUUGUGAAUUAUAAUUGAAAACACGUGCUUGUCUCGUGACACUUACAUACAACAACAAGCCCAAAACACUGCCGUUUCACUUUGUUGAGUUUGCCAUCUCUAAGCUUCACAACUAGCAACGGAGAAGAUGAUAAUUAAAUUGACAUGGAGAGUUUUUAUAUCACUUUUACAACAUUCUAUAUAAUUGUGAUAUUGGGAAUCGUCGGUGUUGUAUAUGUGAACUCUCGUUGGCGACACUGGUAGUUUUAUUUUUGUUGAAAUAUGGAUGACAUUUCGUUACUAUUUUAUUGUACACAACAUUUUGUUACUAUUAACAUGUUAGUUUCAUUAGCCACUAGGCCUUUGGCUGAGUCGUUCGGGUGUCUGCCCUCCAACUUGGAGGGCAGCAAUUUGAACCCCCACAAGCGCAAUGUUGGGUAUUUCUUUCUUUAAUCUCUCGAAUAUUAGUGAAUGUUAAAAUCUAGGCAGAACUCCAUAAGUAUUGAUGUAAGUUGGUUUCAGUAAUAGUUUAAUUUGUAAAUAUCAGUUAUAAUCUCAUGUAAGAUGAGUUGUAAUUUGAGCAAUAGUCUCAUAGAAUAAUAAUAAUAAUAAACAUGUUAGCUUCAUUACAUUUUUCUUCAUUAAAAUUCUCAAGUAUUAGUCAGGUUUGCUAAAGUAAUAAAAUUUUGCCAUUAAAAUUGUAGUAGUAUUUCUGAGCACCUCACAUUUUCAAUGAUUUUUCAUAAAUCAAUUAAUCUGUCGUACCGAUAUCAGGUUUAGUUUUUCAUACUAAACAAUCAAGAAAGCAAACAUACAAAUUCACAGUUUAGAGGGGUAAACUAGGUAGGUGGUUUAGAUUUUAGAACUAGGCUAGCUACCCCACUAAAUUCCAAUUUGUAUAGUGAACUACAAGAAAUUGAGAAAACAGUGUAUUUAUAGUUUAAUUGAAUCGUGAGAAAGCAAUGUAGUCAUAGCUCAAUCUGAGAUGAUCACGGAGAGGCAUAUUCUUUUCAAGUUAAUUUGAUCAAUUUAUAAGAGAUGAAGUGGAUUGAAGUUAAAAGUUUAAAUAACAAAUCCUUGUUCUUGAGUUUUACGACGUCGUUACUCCUUCAAGAGGCAGAUUAUUUAUGCAAGUGAAUGCAGAAACGCAAUGCAUCAUCCACGGGGAUGGUACACCAAAAGGCGGGAUCAUAGUCUAUGCCCGCAGAUUAACAAUUUCGCUCAUAUAGAAAAUUAAUUUUUUAUAUAUACUAAUCAAUACUAAAUUGAUUAUGUUUUGUAUGUUUAUAUGCGAAUCAACACUAAAUUAUAUUAAAUGAAGAAAUAAUUCAAUUUUUUCUAAUUUAAUUUAGAAAAUAAAAUUAUUAACAUUAAUAUUCCCAAAAAAAAUUAUUUUCCAUUAGUAUUCAAAGUCUUCACUUAUGGAAAAUGUGUUUUACAUGAAUAUUAGUUACCGUGUAAAUUUGAAUGAUAGUGAAAAAUAAUUUUUUAAUUAUUGUAAAAAUAAUUAACCAUAUCAAAUCCCUUACGUAAAUAAUUUUUAUUUUUCAAAAAGGUAGAAAGAUGGUUAAUGCACAAGCAAAUUUUAAGCCCCUCUCUUCUUGGCCUAAGAUUCAAACUCAGAUGACUAGUUAAAAAAACCUAUGUGAAAAUCAUUCGGCCAGGUCUGCGGGGCAAAAAUACAAGAUCCUUAAUUUCAUAAUAUAUAUGAAUUAAUGUCAUUUACUUGAAUUAUCCAAAUUCAUCAGAGGUUAUCGAAUUUUCCUGACAUGUAGCAGAUGAAGUUGUUGCUUCCUUCUUGGCAUUAUUUCAGCUCUGGUUGUUGGUCCCGAUGAGCUUUAGUCUUAUUUUAAUUUUAUUUAAACUCAUCAUAAGAUUCGUGAAGCACCUAACUGACUUAACUGACUGUGCAGAAAUGUCACAUAGCAUAUUUAACCGUUUUAACAGUAAUUUUGAACGGUCUUCGCAGUUAUCAUCUACAAACUCGUUCGUGUUGGUCCACUAGGUGAAGUUUUUGAAAUAAUAAUAAGCUCCCAUUCUUGAUUUUAAAAAAUGUGCUUAUAAUAAUUUUAGAAUAAUGGCUUAUUUAUAGAACAACUUAUGAUUUCCCAUUAGCAUUAUUAUUGAAGUGGGGUGGGUAACGGUUCACUCAAUUCGUCGGGAAUAAAAAAUUACCAUCCAAGGCAGAAUUGUGGAAAAUUAAAGCGAAAUGAGAAAUAUGGAAAUGAAGGAAGAAAGUUAAGGCAUGAAAGACUUCCAGUUGAAAUUGAUAAUCAUGUUUCUAUUUUGGUAACUAAUCAAAUGGGAAACUGAACCAUAAACAAACAUUAAAACGUGUGGACUCCGCUAGCUGCCUUACAAGCCUACAAUAAUAACUGAGUACCUUUGAUUCAUCCUUCUAUGAAUUUCUAGCCGUAUUGACUCCACCGAAAUUUCCACAAAAAAAAUAAAAAAAGAAUUUCCACAAAAUGCAAAAUGCAUGGCACUUAAUUUUUGGCCCCGUGAUCACUAAGAUACAAUCCUUCUAGGGAAGAGCAAUCAGGCAAAUUUUUUUAAAUCUCUCCGACAAAGUGAUUACCAUCUAAUCGCAACAUUGAAUAAAAAUAAAAAUUUUAAUGGGAGUUUGACCUUAGAUUUAGAAAAUGAAUUUUCACUUUCUUCAAUUAUUAAACAGAUUACAGACAUUUGAGGAAUUUGAAAACACUUUAUCCAUCGAAAGUUAAAAUUAGAGAUGGAAGCUAGGUGCUUCAACUAAUGGGAUCAUUAAUUCCCCUCCCUCAAAUGUGUAGUUGUUCCUCUUUCCACAGCAUAAGCCUUAUAGUUAGAGUUUCUUUUAAAAAAAAUGUUAAACAAUUUCGGUUGAGCAUGGUUUUGGUAGUUGAAUAGACACCUCCGCCGUACCUCAAACAAAACUGUCAUUAUUCGUGUCAUGAAACAUGUUUCGGCCGUCAAAGUCAUGAGUAGGAGUGGGCAUGGGUUGGUUUGGGUUAGGUUUUAAGUCAAUUCAAACCAAAUCAUAAAAAUUUGGGUUAAACCCAAACUAACCCAAAUAUUUUUAACCCAACCCAAACCAACCUAUUUCCUUCUGGUAUCAGAGCCAAGGGGAGGAAAGUGUUUUAUUGUUUUGAGUUUUUGUGUUCUAAAAUCUUGUGUUUUAUUUUGCCACCAGAAAGUAUCCCAUGUUUAUAUCUUGUUAAUCCUACAUUACCUAAAAUUGUUGAGACUGAUGCAUCUGAUUUAGGUUAUGGAGGCAUAUUAAAGCAAAAGGAAAAUGAUAAUGAAUAGAUAGUACAAUAUGUUUCUGCACACUGAAAUUUUGUAAUGCAUAAAACAAUGGAAAGGAUUUCUUUUUUGAUAGUAGAAUAAUUUUUCUGACAAUCAUUCCAGUGUGCAGAAACAUAUUGUACUAUCUGUUCAUUAUCAUUUUCCUUUUGCUUUAAUAUGCCUCCAUAACCUAAAUCAGAUGCAUCAGUCUCAACAAUUUUAGGUAAUGUAGGAUUAGCAAGAUAUAAACAUGGGAUACUUUUUACAGAAUUCUUUAUUAAUCUAACAACUUUUGUAUGUUCAUCUGUCCAAGGAGUAGGUUUCUUUUUUAAUCUGUCAUGCAAAGGCUUAGACAUUCUAUUAAUAUUAGGGCAGAAGUCAAGAACAUAAUUCAAACUGCCAAGAAAUCUCUGUAAUUGGGUUUUGUCAAGAAUUUUAUCAGGAAAUUUAUCGGCAAACAAAAGAGAUCUCUCGAUUGGAGUGAUUGUUCCUUUAGUAAUAUGAUGACCAAGGAAUCUGACUUUUGUUUGAAAUAAAGAAACUUUAGAACUGGAAAUUGCCAAUCCAGCCUUUUUGGUGGCAAAAUAAAAAGUCUUUAAAUGUUUGAAAUGUUGAUCGAUAGAAUUUGAAAAUAUUAAUACGUCAUCAAUAUAAACAAUGCAAAAAUCAGAAUAAGGAUUAUAAAUAUCAUUAAUAAUUUUUUGAAAUUCUGAGGGUGCAUUCUUUAAACCAAAGGGCAUAACAGUCCACUCAUACUGUCCAAAUGGAACAGUAAAAGCAGUUUUGUAACGGUCAUUAGGAUGAAUUUGAAUUUGCCAAAAACCAGAUUUCAUGUCAAAUUUUGAGAAAAUAAGAGCAGAACAUAAUUUUUGAAGCAAAUCCUUUUUAUUAGGUAUGGGAUACCUAAUCCAUUUUAAAGCUUUGUUUAAAGGUUUGUAAUUUAUUACAAGUCUUGGUAUGCCUCUCUCAAGUUCAGAAUUUUUGUUCACAUAAAAAGCAGCACAAGACCACGGGGAUCUAGAUUUUACAAUAAGUCCUUUGGACUCUAAAUCCUUGAUUUCAUUUUUACAAUGUUGUUCCAAUUCCAUGUUCAUUUGGAUUGGACGGGCUUUAGUGGGGAUCUGUCUUUCAUCAAAAGAAUUUUCAUAGGGUAGAUCUACCACGUGUUGUUUUCUGUUCCAAAAUGCAGAAGGUAGAUCAGCACAAAUUUCUUUUUCAAUGAGAAUUUUGAAAUCAGAAAUUUUUCUUUUAAUGAAAUCACUUUGUAAUUGGCUUUCAAUUCUUUGUAGGUUCAAAUCUUUUUGUAAAAACAUUAGAUCACACUGUUUUGAUUUAAGUAAAUUAUUUAUCCUGUUUUGAUAAACAGAACAGGCUUUAACAAUAUUCAAAUUUCUUGUUUUAGGCUUUUCAAUAAAAGGGAAAACAAGUUUCUUGUUUUUUGCUUUGAAGGAUAUACUAUCAUAAUUGACAGUAUAUGGAGUUAUAAGAUUUAUAAAAGGAGUUCCCAAAAUGAUGGCAUGAUGAAUAUCAUUUGUGAGAACAAAAGAAGUUUUAAAAUCAAAACCAUUAUUAUGGAUUGAGGCUUCAACCUUAGAACUGACAUUCAGUUUUGAAUUAUUAGCGGCAGAAAGUCUUUCUUUUGUCUUUUCAUGAAAUCUUUUGGGGACGAUGUCUUCUCUAAUGCAAUUUAAAUCGGCGCCAGUAUCAAAAAGGGCAAUGGCGUCCAUUGCAAAAUCAUCAGAAAAGAUUAAAGUGACUUUAAUCAAAUACUUUCUUGUGGUGAUUUGCUUUAAAACAAAUAGAAAAUCAUUGGGUACAGACUCGAUGUUUUCUACUUUAAUAUCAUCACCAUCAUCAGGAUUAGAUUCAUUGUCUGAAUUAUCCUGCAAUUGUUUUUGUAAAAGAAGUUGGAUAGUAUCAGAAUCACUUUUUUGUUUUUCUUUUAAAUCUCUGAUUUCACAUUUGAUUUCUUUUAUCUCUUUCUGAAGAUCUUGGAUAUUAGGAACCGUCUUCUUUUUUUUCUUUUUAUCCAAAAUUUGAGUAAGAUCAUAAGAAUUCUUUUUAACAAUUGGGACUUUAGAAGUCUCAGCUUUAUUAAAAUCCAAAGUUUUCAAAAGUUUAUCAAGAUAUUCUUUUUGAAGAUUCGGAUCAGAAAUAUGCUUUACAAGUUCAAGAAAAGUUUCUUGGUCUUUAGUCAAAACAUUGAUUUUCUUUAAAAAUGAAUCAGAUUCAGAUUCACUGCUGCUAGAUGCAGAGUCAUCUGAGUCAAUUAGCUCAUCAACUUGAUUAGGGUCACUGUCUCCCGACAUGGAAGACUCAGAAUCAGAAGACUCGAUUAGAAGAGGGGCUAAUUUGGAAAGGAUCUCUUCAUCGAGGUCAAGCUCAUGAAGCUUUUUGUUCAUUCUGCAAUAUUUUGCAGUAUGACCUUUUAUGCCACACUUAUGACAUAUAGCUUCUUUGUAAUUGAAAGGAGUCUUUGGUUUGGCUUUAAACUCUUUUUUAGAGAAUUUGGGUUUCUUAUAAGGCCUCGAAGGUUUCUUAUAAGGAAGUUCUCUAAAAUUACGAAAAGGUUUCCUAAAAUGUUUAGAUUUGUAAUGUUUCCUGCGAGGUUUAGUAGAACACUCACAAUUACAAUCUUUGGAGAUAGAAGUUUUAAAGGGGUCAUAAUUGAAUUGUUUACAGAAACCGCCUAAUUCUUGUUUAGACUUCUUAAGCUCCCACUUAAGUCGUUUCUGUAGUUUCAAAUCUUGACAAAUCUUUAAACCUUCCUUAUUGACAAAACUGACAAGUUCGCCAUAAGUGAGCUCAUCAUAAGGAAUACGGUUAUCAUAAAGGGCUUUAAUAGAAUUUCUUACCUUUUCACCUAGAAGGGUAGGUAAUCCAGCAAAAAAUUUUUCUUUCCAAGUAGUAUGAUUUGCAUCAUCCCUUAGAAAUAGUCUGGUAAGAAAUGAGGUUUUGUAGCUCUGAAAUUCACUAAGUUUCCUACAUCUUAAAUUAUGUAGUAACUCAGCGUUUUUAUCACGAAAGUGUGAAGGGUCACCAAUGAAAUGGAGGGAAAUGGUUAAAAUUAGAGUAGCAACAGCAUCCUGAAUAGGGUUGUUGAACUCAUCAAAAAUAGGGGCUCCAUUUUCAUCGACUUGAAUGGAAUUUAGAAUGUCUAAUUGUUGCUGACUAGUGAGAAGAUGAUCCCACCAACCUUUGAGUUGACCAGUAAAACCGGCAAUGAGGAUUUCUGAUAUGGCACGAUCAGAAGUUCCUGCUUGGGUUUUAUAGGCAUUGGCUGCCAUUGUCAUUUGUUGCAACAAUCCUAGGAUAUUGUAUUCGGACAUACCGUCAAUAUUCCACUCAUAGACUGAAGAUGCAUUAUAUCGGGAUUGAUUUAAUGCACUUGGUCUAUUAUCUAUCGCUAGAUCCGGUGGAGUCUUGACAGUGGGAAGGGCUAAUUCCCAAUGAAUUUUGUUUGCCUUAGGAGUGGGUUCCUCUUGGAAAGCAUCAACGUCCGAAGAGGCUAUAGAAGUUUGGUCAUCUUGUUCUAAUACUCCAAUCUUGCUAGAUUGGGGAGUAUCAGGGGCUAUCUGAAUUUUGCUAGAUGAGGAAGAAGCAGCUUCUAUCCUAUCUAGUUGUUCUCUAAUGGCUUUAGCAAAAUCUGAUUUUGACUCUUGAACAAGCUUUUGGCUAGUUUUCGAAACCUGAAAAGGUUUGAAAAUAGGUUUCUUAAGCUUUUUGUCAGAAUCCGAUUUUGUUGGAAUAGGAGAGAUUGAUGGAACAGUAAUGGUUGACUUCUGGAUUUGGUUUUCUAUCCUAGUCAACUGUUUUCCAAUUGUAUUUAAGUUAGUAUUACAGAAAUUAUUCUGUUGGAUAAUACUACUUAAAUUUGCCUCGGAAUCAUUUGGUUUUGGGAUUUUGUAAGGUGAAGCUCGGAUUUGGACAGGAGGUUCACCGUGAUCAACGGUUAUACUCCGAAGAGGUGGGUGUUCAGACUCUAUAGUUCUAUCACUAUCAAGAAGUUUCCAUUCAGGGACUUUCUUCCUAAUAGUAAUAGGGUUUGACUCUUUAAAAUGAUAAGAGAUGUUGUUAUCGGAAGAAUAUAUCUCAAACCAAUCAAAAAACAAUAUAUGAAUUUUAUGAAAAUUCACAAAUUCAUAGUAAGUUUGUUGGAUUUCUUUUCUUUGGUUUAAAAAGUGUUGAAAAACCAAAGUCUUUUUUCUUUGUUUAAAUCAGAAUAAAAAUCAUUAUGCAGAAAAGUUUUAUCUAAUUCAAAUUCUUUUUCAAUGACAUUAAUGACAUUUUCUGUAACAGCAGAAAAUGUAGGGGAAGUUGGAGGAGAAGGUUCCUUCUCUUCCUGACUUUGUAAAUGUUGAUUACUAGUGUAGAUUGGAUGAGGAACACUAGUGGUGUAAUCAACUGAUCGAAUGGAGGUACCUGUAGCUAAACCAACCUAUUUGGAUUUGGGUUUGGUUUGAAUUUUAUAAUUAAAAUAUUUUUUAUUUUAAUAAAUUUAACUAUAUCAAAUUAUAAUAAUUAUUAAUUAAUAUUAAUUAUUAAAUUAAUAUUAAAAUACGAAAAAAUGUAGUGGAUAAAAAUUAUGAAUAAUGGAUUUUACAAUAACUUUGUUCUUAAAUAUUAACCAUAUUACAACAUAAAUUCUAACAAUGUCAAUACAAAUUAAAGUAAGAUAAGAUAUCUCAACUCAAGCAUCAAAGCAAUCCAUCAAAAUUAAAUUAUUUAAUUUUAUAAAUUUAAAUCUUCCGAGAAAUAAAUCUAAAAUUUAUUGUAAUUAGAAAAAGCGCCAAAAUUUUAAACGCAGUAAGAAAAAUUAGACAUGAAAUCUAAUUAGGUUUAAAUUUAAUUAAAAAAUAACAAUAGAAUCAUAUUUUAUUUGAUAAAAUCUUAAAAUCAAUUGCAUUUUUAAUUUUAGUAAGUUACAAUACAAAUAGGAUUAUAAAAUUAUAUUACAGGAUUUCAUAAAAAUAUUGUUUGAGUAAUUUAUUAAAGGACUCACCUACGUUGCCACAGUUGUAGCUUACCACGCUUUUUGUCUUUUUCCAGUAAAAUCGUAGGAUGCUUUCAAAUUUAAUCUAACGGCUGCAAUUAAUUAUUAGAUAAUUUAAUCAGCCAUUGGCAACCUUUACAACCGGUUAUAUUCUCUCGUUACAUUUAUCGGCUACCAAACAAUCCCCAAGAAAAUGACGAAGUGAGUAACUAAUACACACACCGCAGAGAAAGAUGACAGGAGAAGAGAUGACGGUAGGCCCACCGGCACAAAGGUUCUUCGAUUGCUCUAUUUCUUCGGCGCCGGAUUUAUCUACACAGCUACAAUCGACAAGUGGCGGGAACUCGAGCGGAAGUCAUUGAAAAAGAAACAGCAAGAGAGCAAUCUAUGGACUGAUGAUAACUCAGCAACUACGGUAAAGAAAGCCGUCAAAUGAUCUUUUUAUUUGACUUUUGAUGGAUUUUCAAGAGUUUUGGUAAUAAAAUGUCUCUUAAUUUUUCAUUUCAAUGGCCUAUUGUUUGAGUUAUUAUUAUGCAUAAUUGUUGGAAGAGUUAGGGUUUUACUAUUGGAUUUUGGAAUUUGUAUUUUGGCUUUGAUAUGUUAUUGUUGUGAUGUCGGUCAAGAAAUUUUUGACAACACUCUCCUCGAGUUUGAUACUAUAGCUAAUGAAUUUUUAUGGCAGAUAUAUAUUUUUCUUUGAAAAAAAAAAACACUUUACAACUGGUUAUGCAUUCAUUUAGGAGCUGUUAACUGAGCGUGAGUUCCAUAAUUUUCCAACCAGUGGUUAGGGUUUCACAGAAAAAUGUCGACAUUGAUCUUUAGGCAGCACUUAAGACUGAAAUUGGUUAUAGAGGAUCGAAUUUGGGGAACUAGAAAUUUCUGAUCAUUAAUAAUUGAAAAUGGCCUCUCACUUGUAGGCAGUUGUUGGAUGUAAUGUAUCCAGUUUCUGAAAUCGAAAGUAGAGUGAGUUCUUAAGUUAGAUGUACCUACAUGCAUUAAGGUUCGAAGAUGUGGAAUAGGCCAAUUGUUUGAUGUCAGCUUUGUUGCACAUGUUCUGAAAUUGAUCAUUUAAGAUGGCUUGGAAGCACUCCGUGAUGUGACUAAGAAGAUUCGAGGAAGUAUUAAAUAUGUUGAAAGUUCACAAUUAAUACAAGGUAAGUUCAAUGAGAUCACCCAGCAAGUUGAAAUCAACAGUCAAAAGAGCCUAAAGUGUGAUAUUUUUCUCUUGGAUUGUUUUUUUAUUUUCCAUUUCAAAGCUGAUAGUGUAAAUAUUUUGUUUGCAAAAGUUUCUAAAAAGUACUUGAGUCAAGAUGGUUAGGUAUUUCGUAACUUCCUUUUUACUCUUAACUAGAUUCAUAGAGAGUUAUAACAUUAACAUAAUUUUUUCUUUUAAAAGUGAUCAAUUAGACACUGAUGAGAUAUCUCACUUUUGAAUCAUUUAGCUUUAUGUAAUUUCAUUACUAUUAUAUGCCCCCAGGAAUUGUUGAAGUAUAUAUAUCUUGGCAUUUCUUCACUGACUGAAUUAUCUUUCAUAAUAUUCCAGCUUCAAAUGGGUACACUGCAGAGCCGAUUGGAUGCAGAAUUCCUUCUAGCUCAUAUGUGCUCUGUAAAAUUCAAAGACUGAAUAGUGGUUAUGGCAACUCUUUUUAGAUGAUCUAAGGUAUAAUGCCCAAUUAUUGCUUUUGCUUUAUCUGUUUUACCUUGCAACAUUUUGAAAUUUAUGAGAAGCAUAAAAUUACUGAGCCAAAAUUGAGGAUCUGAACUUUCGUAAAAAUAUUCGUAUUUUUAAAUUAUAAAAUAUUGCAUUUGAUGCUUUAGGUGGAACUUAGUUCACUACAGAAAGGAAAAUUAUGUUGGGCAUAACCAGAUGCUUUUCAAGAGAAAAUUUCACUGAUAUUUUUCUGAGGAUUUUACUUGGCCAUCUUAUUUCAAGCUGCUUGAAUUUUUUCUUUAUAUCAUCUUGGUUGUAUACUAUAACUCGUUGAAUUUGCUAGCACUUUUGCUAGUUGGUUAUUCUAUAUGUGAUUAUGGUGGUAAAGUUUGGAAGCUCAAAAAGUAAUGGAACUUAGGAAGAGUAUGACAUAGAAUGCUGGAUAGAAUUAAAAUAAUCAUUCUUCAGGCAUCCAAAGAUGAUGUAUUCAAAAUAGCUAGUUUUGACUUUUGAGGCCGUAUAAAUAACUAUUAUCUCACAUGGUUACAUUAUGAUAGGUAGGCACUAGCUUAAUAACUCCAAUUAACUUGAAGUUGUUACCUGAUUUAUUAUGACAGUGUGCAUUACGAUAAGUAUCCUUGCAUAUUAAGAUUUUCCUUCCAGAUCUUUGCGGUACUUUUUGAUCUUUUCCGACAUGAUAUGCGAUUAUGGGAAGCAUAUGCCAUCACCUUACAGGUAUUCUCUUAAUUUUUAGAUAGUGCUCAAGAUGACAUUCAAGUUGGCUAUUAUUGGGUGCAAGAUUUACCAUGCUCUUAUUUUGCUUUUUUAGUCUAACCCGAUAUUUGCUUAAUACCAUGAUCUGCUUCAAGCCUUGGAUGAAAAACUUUCAUUUUUUGUAUAUUCUGCAAUGAGAUGAGGGUAGUUUUUCUGAUGAUAUUUGGCAGUAAAUUGGGACUAACUAAAGUAAUUUUCUUAAUGGCAUGUCUACUUCUCAGAUGAAUGACCGUCUGUUCAGACUCCAAGGUGAUGAAUUAACAACCACCGAUCUAUUCUGGGUGAAGAUGAUGACGUUGACACCAAGCCAGUGGAAUGACUAGGACUUCCCUUUUGUUACAAUAAAUUGCGUUCAUUAGACACACGCAGUUAAUUAGUGUAGAUAAAGGAGGUCUAUGCACUAUAGACUGUUUUGUAUUUCGAGAGUCCUUUUUUUGUUUCUUUCAUUCUCCAUUCUUUUGAAAUUAUGUACAAUGGUUAUAUUGUCUGUAUUAUUACGGAUUUAUGAUGGGAGUAUCCCAAGUUUAUGGAAUAAUUAUAAAUAAGGACUUUAAAUUUUUGUUGAAAGAAGUUGAGUGAGAGAAAAGAAGCUAAAGCAGUAAGCAUUUGUUAUACUUCAUUCGAUUGUAUCUAAAUUACAAAGGUUGGUGGCCUUAUUUAUAGUGAAGUUCCCACAGGCCACUUGCACUCAAAACAUUCGAAAUAUGCAAACAUAUUGAUAUAUAAACAUACAGAAUUAAUAUUCUGAAACCUUGUAAGUAAUGCAAAUAAAAGUGAGGUUGGGGCAGCCAAUAUUUACAUCAUGUAUUAAUAGAAAUAAAAUCAAUUAUUUCCAAAUAAAUUCACUUAGUUCAAAGCACGGGCUUCGGUUAAGUUGAACAAGCAAGCCAAUUUUUGUUGUUACUUCAUGAUUGUAGUAAGCUGUGGGUAGUGGAUUGUGUUCCCUAUAAAAAAACAAACAGAAGCAUAAGUUUCUCUCAAUUAAGGCACCUGAAAUGUAUUUCCAUGUCUACUAACCUGGUCAUUCCUCCAUGAACUAAACCCUUCUGAGGAUCUUGAAUAGAUUUAUAGAGAUCUCAGAUAAUUUCCUCAUGGUGUGCCUAAGUAAAGACAAGUCUUAUGUACUUGAUUACUUCUGGCCAAUCCAUCGAGGCCACCACCUGUCUCAGUCAAUUCAAUCUUUUAAUAGAGUGAAUUACUAGAAUAAAAUUUAUUAAAGUUGAUAUAAAAUCUAAAUUAAAAAAAUCAGAUAAGAGAAUGAUCCAAAAUCCAAAAAAUCAGAUAUUUAAGGAGUGGACUUGUGACCCUCUAUAGAAUCCAUGGAAGAGUAACUAAGGGAAAAACAUUAGAGGUACUUUUGGCGAUACUAUUAGUAUUCUUGUGCUGAUCAUAAUCUUGGGGGUAGAUCUAGACUAAUUAGCUAUUCAUUGAACAUUCCAUUUCUCCACAAUUACAUGCAAAAGUGCACCUUGCAGUUGCAGCCUAGACCAUAGAAAUAUAGAAUUCCAAUUAUCAACAUCUAAAGCUACUGUAGUGACUUGCAACCAUGAGAUGAUAUAUACAUAUGCUGAGAUUCAAAUAUUUGAGAAGUUUAAACAUCCUGAUGAAAAAUAGACUAGUUCACAGCUACUUUGGGGAAGUUGAUUUCUAAUAGCAGUAGAAAAUACAAGUUUUUUUAAACAUACCUACUCCAGUAAACUCAAUUAACCAAAACAAAACUCAAAGCAUGAAAAAGAGGGAUUUUAACUAACCUAAUCAUUAUCAUUGAUAUUUUAACAUAUUGAUCUUCACAUGGAGUUAACAAACACAAGACUUAGUGCCUAGUACAUAUGUCUGGGGUUGCACAGUCUGUUCGACAAAUUUAUUGAAACUAUAUCCAUGCUCCUUCUCCAAUAAAUAAAUAUCCUCUUGCUUCUUCCAUCCUACUCUAAUUCUUCCUGGAAAGCAUUCUCCCCUUCUCUAAUUCUUCCGAAAAAACAUAACCGACAAUCCUAAACUAAUUACCACCGUUAAAUCUUUCAAACAAAAUUUACAAUUUCUUAUCAGUAGUUUCCUGCCGCAUCCGAUCGAACGGCUCAUCAACGAAUCAAACAGACUUCUUUCCACCCUUUUUCCAUAUAAUUACAUUUGCCUAAUUCCUAAAGUUUCGGCUCCGCCCAAUGUCGGCCGCAAUUGGCUGCCACAGCGAUAUGUUCAUCUUCAACUUCUCUGCUGCGAUUUCAAAUUUACUUCAGCCUCGUACCACCACACUUCCACUGGCAAUUAAUUUCAUUAUCCGAUUUUACUAUGUGUGGAAUAGAUUUGAGCAAUUUAUGAGUUUUCGCUACGAUUUCGACGAUGUCCUCUCAACACUAAUUUGAUCACCUAAUUUUAACUGUUUUGGGUUAUUUAUUUUUUAUUAUAUUUAUAUACAGUCUCUGCAGGCAACCGACUACUUUACUUAUAUGUGGAACUCAUCUGAGUCAUUAGAUGAAGGCCCUCGAGAUCCUACGGUGAUUAUAUAUGAGGACAAAAUGUGUUGUACGUUGCAACUGUUGCAACGUAGGAGGAUCCUUUAUUAAAAUGUUAAUUUAAUCUUUUAACUCAAGUUGAGACCGUAAAAAAUUGUUAUAUAAUAGUGUACUGUACAACCAAUUGCAUAUGUAUUUAUCCUGUGCAGCACUUCUAUUAUUAUUAUAUAAUAAUAAUUAGUAGUAGUAUAAUUACUAUAUAAUAAUAAUUAUUAAUAGUAUAAUUAUUAUAUAAUAAUAAUUUUAAUAAAAAAUUAUUAUUAAAAUAUUAAUUUAGCCUUUUAUUUUGUUUAAUUUACUUUUCAUUAAUAUGUUAUCUUGAAUUUGUUCAUGACCCAUGGGUAAACUAUACCCAAACUAUUAUAAAAUAAUUUUUUUCAUAAAAAUUCAAAUUUAACCCAUUUCAUGAUUUAUCCAACUCAAACCAUUUAAUUUAAUAGUAGAUAAAGGCCCAAUUUAACCCAUUUCAUUUAAUUUAAUAGUGGAGAUUCGGUAGGGUUUUAUUUCCUUCUCUUUGCUGUCAAACGAAAUUAUGUUACUCGAGUCUUAAUUUGUGUCUCAGUAAUUAAUCUGAUGUGACUAUUAUAACAAGCUGCCACAUCGAUUGAUGGCCAAGUAAUUGGAUAUUUAAUAUUACUCAAUUAAUAAAUUAACAAUAUAUUUGAGUUUUUAAGCUUUUUUCGGGUCAGAUCAUUAAUAACACAGAUUUUGCUGUAAUCUCAGGUUGUGUAAUUGAGUGCAUAAGAAAAAAACAAAACAAAAAACUAUUCAAAAAAAUUAAUUUCAUAUAAUAAAAUUAUACUUUUGUUAUAAUUUAACUUAGUAGUUAUUUUAAUUUUUUCAACAUACACAUAUAUACACAUAAUAAAAUUAAUUUCAUAUAAUAAAAUUAUACUUUUGUUAUAAUUUAACUUAGUUAGGACUCUGUUUUCUAGAAACAGAGUCCUAACUAAAUUAAUUGACUGUACAGUACAUUUCAACAUAGCAUAUUUAACCGUUAACCGUCUUCUGAGUUAUCAUCAACAAAUUCAUUCAUAUUUCUCCAGUCUUACGGACGAUAUCAUAUGUUUAAUAAUGAAUGAAUAGUCUUGGAUCAGUGUUUUGCAGCAAAUUCACAUCAUAGUUUUGAUUCUUUAGAUAUGAAUUCAUCACAUUACCGAAAAGAAUACGCGCUAAAAAAUGAUUCCAAGACUAUUUGACUACCAAAAGCUGCUGUCAGAGUGCACUGAAAGUUUCCGUAGGAUACUUUGCGGUUGUUUAUUAUGUUAUGAUGGGCAUAUAAUUCUCAAAUUUUGACUCCUCUCAGCGAAAAAUAUAUCAAAGUUUAGAUUAUGUGUUCGAGCUUUAAUAAAUGCCUGAGUUAAUAAUAAUAACAACAAUAAUAAUAAACUAAAAAGCAAAAUUACUAUUGAAUGAUCGGAAAAAAAAAAAAAAUUGAAAAUGUGUGAACUCCAAUAACCACCCCACAAAUUUAGUGGCGAAUUUUGGAGAGGGCAAGGCUGGGCUUCUCAGAAAAAAAAUGACGAGUAGAAUUGUGGAAAAUUAAAGCAAAAUGACAAGUAUGGAAAGGAAGGCUGAAAGUAAGGCAUGACGAAAGUCUUUGAGAAGGCUGAAGACUACCAAAGAAGACAACUGAAAGCUAGCUGGGGCGUGAGUGUAUAAAUUGUUAGAUGUGUUUGUUAUAAAUAACAUAGAGCCCUUUUGUUAUUUAUAGUUAUAGAGAAAGAGAGAAUGUGUGUUUUUUAAUAGUUAGAGAUAUAGCUAGAAUGGGUGGUUCAAAAUCCAAAAUGGUGACAAUGUUAGUUCUUAUAUUAAUAAUAUUAGGAAGAAGGGGGGGGGGGGGGGGGGUGUGGAGUGAGGGAUGUUUGGAGCAUGAGGAAUUUGCUCAUUUCUGGCUUAAACAUUUCUUCAAUUCCCCUUAUAGACUUCAAAACUGGGUAGAUGAACAAAGGGAAAGGGUUGAGUGCAGCAACUCCACAGGCCGAGUGGUACAACUACACCUUAGUCUUACUAGGAAUAUCGAUCUGGGAGUGUGGUAUCUGAAUGCUUCUCUAUUUACUUCCUUUCAACAACUUGGUAACAAAAUAGCCGGCUGCAUGCGUUGAGAAUGAAGGUCCUUCAUUUAAUUUAAUUUACUUAAUUUCUCCCUCCUAAUUAAUGUCUAUAACCAUUGGGAGGAACAAGGGAUUUUAUUAACUCAAAUAUAUGUAAUGGAGGAGCUCAUUCUUUGGUUUUACUUGCAGGUCUAGAAGCAGGUGUCAUCUAACAGCUGCUUUGAUAAUUUCCCACCCCUUCAUCUUUGAUGGAAAGAUGAAAUAAAAACAAAAUGGUGAAAAUGGUAUUGGUACCUGAGGCUAUGUAAUCUAAUUCAACAACUGCACCAUCAAAACGAUUACAUAAGUCCCAGAAGAAUCAAACAUUAGUUUGCAAAAUAUCAAUUGCUGGAGGUUAGAUUCUAACUUCCGCUCUUGAUUUUUAUGGGCAUGUUGUAUUGUACUUGCAUACGAAAAUCAUAUUUUAGUUUACUUACACUCAACGCUUGGAUUAAAGUUUUAGGUGGGGAAAAUUGAAGGAGACUAAAAUGACUCAAAAAAAUAGUUGAAUGAGUGAGGGUUUUGUCUUCAUUUAAGGAGCUCUUUAUAAAUUUUAGGAUUUUUUUUCCCUGAGAAAAUUUAUGCCAACUUAUUCUUUGCUUCUUUUCUGAAGGGACAAAUGCAACUAAAAGUGUAUUCUUGAAUUCUCCAGGAUAAGAGACAUAUGUUUAAUUAGAUUCUCGAGCCUUCAAAACAAUAUAAAAUUUUAGAUUGAUAAAAUUUUAUAUAUCUGAGCAUGAUGGUGUUUGACAUGACUUAAAACUGUUUAAUUUACUCUCACAUACAAGAAUGCCUAGUUAUAUUGUAGCUCAGAGUCUGAGGUUAAUUCAUAAAGAAAUGAUUUAAUUUGUUUAUUUAAGAUUAUCCCAAAAAAUAAAAAUAAAAUUUAAAUAUAUGUAAUUUAAUUUGAAAAAAGUUAUGAAAUUAAUUAUUUAGGGUCAUGGAUCCACUCUUAGUAAUAAAUACAAUUUAAUAAAUUCUUUUUAUUUUUAUUUUAUUGCCCAAAAGAUUAAUUAUAUAAAUUAUAAUUAUUUUCCCAUUAAUUUUAUUAUGGAUUAAGUACUUAAUGUGCCAAAACUUAACUUAUCUACAAUAAGUCAAAAUACCAUUUUACCAUAAUUUAUGCAAAGAUAUUAAGAAUUCAUGUGCCAAACUCCCAUGUUUGUCUACAAUAAAUCAAAAUUUCAAAACAUAAAAUAUGGAUCAAAUUAAAUAAAAAAUAAUUUAAUUUAUAUAAUUAAAAAUAGAAUUUGAUUAAAUCAUAUUUUUCUACUCAGAGUUUUACCUCACCCUAACUAUUAGUAUUUAGCUAAACAUAUUUGAAAUAAAUGAAAUUAUUAAAAUUAAAAAAUACAUAAUUAAAAAAAUGGUAUUUGAAAAUUAGAAAUAAAACUAAUUUUAUUUAUUGAAAAUGUAUUACAAAGAGAGAUGAGAAGAAGAAUUUGAGGGGAAAGAAGAGAAGAAAAUGUGUGGAGAGGUGUGUGAAAUUAUAUUGUAAAGAUGUUACACAAACAAAUGAAUAAAAAAAAACUAAAUGAAAAUUACACAAAUUAAAAAGAAAAUGAAAAUUAAAUAAACAAGAUAAAUGUGCAAGAAAAAAAUGCACAAUAAAAAUAAAUAAACUGAAAAGUAAUUAACUAAAAUUAAAAUAACUAAAUAGGCGGUAAACAAAGUAAAUGCCAAAAAUAAAAUAAGUGCGAAAAUUAAAUUACAGAAAUUAAAAGAAGAAAGAAAGAAAAAAUAAUUAUCUCAAAGUGUAAACUCUUUUUCUUUUUCUUUUCAAAUUUUAAAUAUUACCAGCCAAUUAAGUGAUUAAUUCAAAUUAUUAGGCUUUAAUAGUAAUUUUUAAAAUCAAUAUUCAGUUUAUUGAGUCCAAAUAAGGUCCAAAGAAGUUCAAGUUGUUGGUCUAAAAUUAAGAAUUUUGGGAAAUAUUGGCAACGGACCUAUUCAAAAAGUUCUAUAAUUUUAUGGUCAAACUGCAAUUAUGAGAAGAAUGAUCCAAAAAUUAGAAUUUUUGGGGUGAGUGAGAUUUAGAAAAUUUUGUGGAUAUAACAUAAUUUAAGAAAGAAAAAGGAGGUAAAUGAAAAUUUAUACAAAAAGUAAAAAAAGAAAGAAAAAAGAAAACAAAAUAAAUACCUCUCCCGGCAACGGCGGUAAAAACUUAACACGACUUUAAAGUAUUUAAUUUACUCUUAAGUAUAAGAGUAGCUAGUUAUAUUAUAUCGCGAGAAGUCCGAGAUCGAUCUACAGAAAAAUGAUUUAAUUUAUUUAUUUAAGUUUAUCUAAAAAAUAAAAUUAAAAUUAAAUACAUGCAAUUUAAUUUGAGAAAAACUAUGAAAUUGAAGUAGUUAGGAUUAUGGAUCUACUCCUAGUAAUAAAUGUAAUUUAAUAAAUUUUUUAAUUUUAUUUUAUUGACCAAAAGAUUAAUUGUAUAAAUUACAAUUAUUUUCCCAUUAAUUUUAUUAUGGAUUAAGUACUUAAUGUGCAAAAGCUUAACUUGUCUACAAUAAGUCAAAAUACUAUUUUACCAUACUUUAUACUAAGAUAUUAACAAUUCAUUGUGCCAAACUCCCAUGUUUGUCUACAAUAAAUUAAAAUUUCAAAAUAUAAAAUAUAGAUAAAAUUAAAUAAAAAAUAAUUUAAUUUAUAUAAUUAAAAAUAGAAUUUGAUUAAAUCAUAUUUUUCUACUCAGAGUUUUACCUCACCCUAACUAUUAGUAUUUAGCUAAACAUAUUUGAAGUAAAUGAAAUUAUUAAAAUUGAAAAAUACAUAAUUAAAAAAAUGGUAUUUGAAAAUUAGAAAUAAAACUAAUUUUAUUUAUUGAAAAUAUACUACAAAAAGAGAUGAGAAGAAAAAGUUGAGGGGAAUGAAGAGAAAAUAAGGUGUGGAGAGGUGUGUUCCUCCCCCCACCUCUCUAUUUAUACUAAUACGUGAUUAAUCCACACAACACAAAUAAAUAAAACUAAUUACAUCUUAGGCAUACAUUUGUCCUACUAACAAAACAUAAACCUAAGUUAAUCCACUUAAGCACAUCCAACACAUUUCACUAAAAAUUACCACACCUAACAUGAUAAAAACUUAUAAUUUCACAAUUACCACUUUUACUUUUACAACAAAAGCCGCGAAUCUUCUCGACAAUGACCUAAUUUCUCGGACUUUCGGAAUCUAAAAGUUUAAAUAAUAUUAAAUUUAUCUAAUAUAAAUAAAUGUAUUAAAUAAAAUAAUGUUUCAUUUUAUAUUUACCCUCCUUUUAUUAAAUUUCCUAUAAUUAUAUUUAAUAAAAUAAAUAAUAUUAUAUAUUUAAAUAAUAUUAGUUAUAUUUAACUAAAUUAAAGCAAAAUGACAAGUAUGGAAAGGAAGGCUGAAAGUAAGGCAUGACAUAAGGCUUUGAGAAGGCUGAAGACUACCAAAGAAGACAACUGAAAGCUAGCUGGGGCGUGAGUGUAUAAAUUGUUAGAUGUGUUUGUUAUAAAUAACAUAGAGCCCUUUUGUUAUUUAUAAUCAUAGAGAAAGAGAGAAUGUGUGUUUUUUAAUAGUUAGAGAUAUAGCUAGAAUGGGUGGCUCAAAAUCCAAAAUGGUGACAAUGUUAGUUCUCGUAUUGAUAAUAUUGGGGGGGGGGGGGGGGGGGGGAGGUCGAGUGAGGGAUGUUUGGAGCAUGAGAAAUUUGAUCUUUUGCGGCUUAAACAUUUCUUCAAUUCCCCUUAUACACUUCAAAACUGGGUAGGUGAACAAAGGGAAAGGGUUGAGUGCAGCAACUCCACAUGCCAAGUGGUACAACUACACCUUGGCCUUACUAGGAAUAUCGAUCUGGGAGAGUGGUAUCUGAAUGCUUCUCUAUUUACUUCCUUUCAACAACUUGGUAACAAAAUAGCCGGCUGCAUGCGUUGAGAAUGAAGGUCCUUCAUUUAAUUUAAUUUACUUAAUUCCUCCCUCCCAAUUAAUGUCUAAUGGAGCUCAUUCUUUGGUUUUACUUGCAGGUCUAGAAGCAGGUGUCAUCUAACAGCUGCUUUGAUAAUUUCCCACCGCUUCAUCUUUGAUGAAAAGAUGAAAUAAAAACAAAAUGGUGAAAAUGGUAUUGGUACCUGAGGCUAUGUAAUCUAAUUCAAAAACUGCACCAUCAAAACGAUUACAUAAGUCCCAGAAGAAUCAAACAUUAGUUUGCAAAAUAUCAAUUGCUGGAGGUUUGAUUCUAACUUCUGCUCUUCAUUUUUAUGGGCAUAUUGUGUUGUACUUGUUGGAGAAUUAACAAAUAAAACACACACAAAAACACACUAUUUUAUUUCUUCAACAACACUUCUCACUAAUUACAAUUCUUAUUUUUCACUCUCUACACCUGAGAGAUUUUGCUACUUCACUUGAUAUUUAAACCAAAGGGGAGAGGGGGUAUUUAUACAUGAAACAAACUAAUCACAACCAUUCAUUUAUUCAAUUAAUACACAAAUCCUCACCAUCCAUUAAAACCUACCACACCUAACACACCUAACACAAAUAAUUCAAACCUCACCAACCAUACCUACUCAUGGAACCUUCCAUGAGUUGGGCUUGAUUUAUUCAUCUUGGAUCAAGUUUAUGAUCCAACACCUCCCCUUAAACUUGAUCCUGUGACACCAAGCAAACUUCUGAAUCUUACAAAGUCUUCUUGCUUGAGUGGCUUAGUGAAGAUAUCAGCUGCUUGAUCUUGUGAUUUUACAUACUUGAUUUGCACUUCUUUUCUUGCAAUACACUCUCUUAUGAAAUGAUAAUGAGUGUCUAUGUGUUUACUUCGAUCAUGAAAGACUGGAUUCUUGGAUAGGGCAAUUGCUGAUUUGUUAUCAACACAAAUCUCGGUUGGCUCUUCUUGUGCCAAACUCAACUCCUUCAGUAAAUUUCUGAGCCAAAUUGCAUGACAAACACUUGAUGUGCCAGCUACAUAUUCAGCUUCACAGGUGGAUAGCGUGACAAUUGGUUGCUUCUUUGACAUCCAUGUGAAAGCAGUAUCUCCCAUGAAGAACACAAAUCUCGUGGUGCUCUUUCGAUCAUCUACAUCUCCACCCCAAUCGCUAUCGCUAUAUCCAACAAGCUUGUAGUCAUUAGAAAAUGAGUAUAGCAAGCCGAAAUUAGUUGUACCUUUGAUGUAGCGAAGGAUUCUUUUUGCAGCUUUAAAAUGGGUAGUCUUUGGAUUCUCCAUAUAUCGGCUCACAAAUCCAACAGCAUAAAGGAUAUCUGGUCUUAUGCAUGUCAAAUAACGUAGGCUUCCAACCAAACUUUUAAAGAAUGUUGGAUAUAUAUCUUCGCCUUCAUCAUGUUUGGAUAACUUGACUCCGCAUUCCACUGGCGUGCUUAUAGGCUUACAAUCAUUCAUCUUGAACUUCUUGAGAAUCUCCUUUGCAUAGCUUUCUUGGGAGAUAAAUAUGCCUUCUUCCUUUUGCUUGACCUCAAUGCCGAGGUAAUAUGCCAUCAGUCCGAUGUCAGUCAUCUCGAACUCUUUGAUCAUCACUCUCUUGAACUCUUCAAACAAGCUUGGAUUACUUCCAGUGAAGAUGAGAUCAUCCACAUACAGGCACACAAUCAAAAUAUCUCCAUCUUUUUCUUUGACGUAGAGAGCAUGUUCAUAUGGGCAUUUGGUGAAGCAUUUCUCUUGAAAAUACUUGUCAAUUCUGCUAUUCCAUGCCCUUGGUGCUUGCUUUAACCCGUAAAGAGCUUUCUUCAAUCUCAAAACUUUGUCCUCAUGUCCUUUCACCACAUAGCCUAAUGGUUGUUCGAUGUAAACUUCUUCUUCAAGGAAUCCAUUCAAGAAAGCAGACUUCACAUCCAUUUGAAAAAUCUUCCAUUUGUUCUGAGCAGCCAAAGAAAUAAUAAGUCUAAUAGUUUCAAGUCGAGCUACAGGAGCAAAUAUCUCGUCAUAGUCUAUGCCAGCCUUUUGACUAUAGCCUUUUGCAACUAGCCUCGCCUUGUGCCUUUCAAUUUCUCCCUUCGCAUUUUUUUUUGUUUUAUACACCCAUUUGACACCGAUCGCCUAGUGACCUUUUGGAAGAGUAGUAAGCUCCCAAGUAUCAUUCUUCACAAUGGCUUUGAUUUCUUCAUCCAUUGCAAUUCUCCACUUCUCAUCUAGUGCAGCUUCUUGGAAGUUGACUGGCUCACAAUCAGCAAAGAGGCAAAAGAGAGUGAGAUUAUCAUGUCUCUCAGUUACCUCAUAGAGAUCUUGAAGACUCCUUGUACGUUCUUCGGUUCUUUCAUUUAAGAAAGACGGCGGUGAAUCUCCGCAUGUGGUUGAUAAUGGUGAGAUAGGUGGAGUAGCAGGCUCUUGUUGUUCGUCUACUUGUUUUAACUGUGUAUGAUCAUCUUCUUCAAUGGGAAAGAAGUUGAAGUCAUCCACACCAGAGCCAAAAUCCCAUUCUCCUUCUUCAUCAAAAACUACAUCUCGACUGAUCACGAUCUUCCCGUUGUUUGGAUUGUAAAGCUUGUAUCCUUUGGAGUUGUUGUCGUAGCCGAUGAAGAUGAACUUCUCACUUUUGUCAUCCAGCUUGGCUUUACUUUCGUCUGGUAUAUGUACAUGGGCAAUGCUUCCGAAAACUCUUAGAUGGGUGAUGCCGGGUUUUCUUCCACUCCAAGCUUCUUAUGGCGUCUUGCCCCACACGCUUCUUGUUGGAGAUCGAUUGGAUAAGUAGACUGCACAUGCAACUACUUCAGCCCAAAAUUCUUUAGGUAGCCUCUUACUCUUAAGCAUGCUUCUAAAAUUCUUUAGGUAGCCCAAAAUUCUUUACCAGAUAUCCUUUAUGCUGUUGGAUUUGUGAGCCGAUAUAUGGAGAAUCCAAAGACUACCCAUUUUAAAGCUGUAAAAAGAAUCCUUCGCUACAUCAAAGGUACAACUAAUUUCGGCUUGCUAUACUCAUUUUCUAAUGACUACAAGCUUGUUGGAUAUAGCGAUAGCGAUUGGGGUGGAGAUGUAGAUGAUCGAAAGAGCACCACGGGAUUUGUGUUCUUCAUGGGAGAUAUUGCUUUCACAUGGAUGUCAAAGAAGCAACCAAUUGUCAUGCUAUCCACCUGUGAAGCUGAAUAUGUAGCUGGCACAUCAAGUGUUUGUCAUGCAAUUUGGCUCAGAAAUUUACUGAAGGAGUUGAGUUUGGCACAAGAAGAGCCAACCGAGAUUUGUGUUGAUAACAAAUCAGCAAUUGCCCUAUCCAAGAAUCCAGUCUUUCAUGAUCGAAGUAAACACAUAGACACUCGCUAUCAUUUCAUAAGAGAGUGUAUUGCAAGAAAAGAAGUGCAAAUCAAGUAUGUAAAAUCACAAGAUCAAGCAGCUGAUAUCUUCAGUAAGCCACUCAAGCAAGAAGACUUUGUAAGAUUCAGAAGUUUGCUUGGUGUCACAGGAUCAAGUUUAAGGGGAGGUGUUGGAUCAUAAACUUGAUCCAAGAUGAAUAAAUCAAGCCCAACUCAUAGAAGGUUCCAUGAGUAGGUAUGGUUGGUGAGGUUUGAAUUAUUUGUGUUAGGUGUGUUAGGUGUGGUUGGUGAAGUAGGUGAGUGGUAGGUUUUAAUAUAAUCUUUUAAGUGAAUAUCAUAGCCUUUUUCUAAAAGUUGACCUAAACUAAGAAUGUUGCUUUUCAUAUUGGGCACAUAGUAAACAUUCGAAAUUAUUUGGUGGCUACCAUCUUUUGCACGAAAAAGAAUGUUACCUCUACCCUUCACUAGUACUUUUGAAUCAUCUCCAAAAGCGACAUUGUCAUUCACAAAUUCACUUAGUUGCACGAACAUGCUUCUGUUUCCACUCAUAUGAUUGCUAGCACCUGUGUCAAGAUACCAUGUAUUUUCUUGACCUGCACUUGUGUCAUUGCGUGCUAGUAAAAGUGUGCCAUCUUCACCAUUUUUCUCUUCAGCAUAGUUCACUCUCUCCUCAAUUCUGGUGCUUGGAGCUCUGCAUUCUGAAGCAUAAUGCCCAAACUUUUGACAAUUAUAGCAUUGUACUUUGGAUUUGUCAUACCUCGAUCUUGGAUUGCCUCUGCCUCGUCCUCUGGUUGAGCUUUCUCCUUUGUCAUAAUUGGAGUUGUUGUUGUUGAAAUUCCAACCUCGUCCAUGACCACGACCUCUACCUCGUCCUCGACCUCUACCUCGGACAUAGUGCAUUCUCUCGUUGUCGGAGCUUUCUUCUCUUUUCUUUGGAUUGACUUCCAUCUUGAGAAGUUAUUCUUUGAUUCCUUGCUUCUUCUUUUUUUUCUUCAUAGGCUUGCAACCUUCCUUGAAGUUGCUCGAUCGUCAUAUCCUCCAAAUCUCUUGUUUCUUCAAUUGCACAACAAUAUGUUCAAACUUCGACUCUACUGAUCGAAGUAUCUUUUCAAUGAUCCUUACCUCUUUUAACUCCUCGCCAUUUCUUUUUAAUUCAUUGGAAAUGGUUACAACCCGAGUAAAGUAGUCAGAAAUUGACGCCGACGCCUUCAUGUGUAAAGACUCAAAUUCUCCUCGUAAUGUUUGGAGACGAACCUUCUUAACUUGCUCCGCUCCUUUGUAAGAGGUCUCUAGUUUCUCCCAUGCUUCUUUUGAGGAGGUUGUACCAGCAAUCUUUUCAAAAGCAUCUUCAUCUAAUGAUUGAAAGAUGAGAUACUUUGCUUUAUUCUCUUUCUUUUUCAAGUCUUUUAAAUUCUCCUUCUGCGCCGCAGUUAAAGUGGCUUCAUUUUCUGGCACAAUAAAGCCUUUUUCCACGACAUCCCAUACGUCAUGUGCGCCCAAUAGAGCCUUCAUUUUAAUACUCCAAUUGUCAAACUUACUUCCCUUUAAUUGUGGAACUUGAAAUGACAUCAUACCACCGUUUGCCAUAACUCAAAAAUUGAGUGAGAAUUUGGAGAUUCUGAAAGCACAGAUGGAUCCGGCACGUCGAAAAACCUUGGGAAGGACUCGAGUCAACUUUCGGUCAACGGUCAACGCUGGUCAACGGUCAACGUCGGUCAACGGUCAACGUCGGUCAACGGUCAACACCGGCUUGGUAGUCUUGGUUCGGUCCGGAUUGGUUCAGCUCGAGUUGGCUCGGUUCGACUUGAUGCGGUUCAAAUCGGCUCGGCUUGGUUCAGUUCGGCUCAGUUUGGUUCAACUCGGUGAGUCGACUCAGCUUUAGGUUAGAAAACUUUCGGCGGCAAGUGUGGGAGCGUCCGGUCUCAGAUCAGGAUGAUUUGUGCGGCGUCACGUUCCUCUCGUCGAGAUCUUCGAUUUGAUAUGCUAUAUGACCAUAUAUAACAUCACGUACUAGCUCUGAUACCACUUUGUUGGAGAAUUAACAAAUAAAACACACACAAAAACACACUAUUUUAUUUCUUCAACAACACUUCUCACCAAUUACAACUCUUAUUUUUCACUCUCUACACCUGAGAGAUUUUGCUACUUCACUUGAUAUUUAAACCAAAGGGGAGAGGGGGUAUUUAUACAUGAAACAAACUAAUCACAACCAUUCAUUUAUUCAAUUAAUACACAAAUCCUCACCAUCCAUUAAAACCUACCACUCACCUACUUCACCAACCACACCUAACACACCUAACACAAAUAAUUCAAACCUCACCAACCAUACCUACUCAUGGAACAUUCCAUGAGUUGGGCUUGAUUUAUUCAUCUUGGAUCAAGUUUAUGAUCCAACAGUACUUGCAUCCGAAAAUCAUAUUUUAGUUUACUUACACUCAACGCUUGGAUUUAAGUUUUAGGGGGGGGAUUGAAGAAGACUAAAAUGACACAAAAGAGUUGAGCGAGUGCAGGUUUUGUCUUCAUUUAAGGAGCUCUUUGUAAAUUUUAGGAUUUGUUUCCUGAGAAAAUUUAUGCCAACUCAUUCUUUGCUUCUUUUCUGAACGGACAGAUGCAACCGAAAGUAUAUUCUUGAAUUCUUUAGGAUGAGAGACAUACGUUUAGAUUCAUCGAGCCUUUAAAACAAUAUCAAAUUUUAGAUUGCUGAAAUUUUAUAUAUCUGAGUAUGAUGGUGUUCCAAUUAUAAGCUCCAGGGUGCAACUUCACUAAGUUUUAGAAUACCUUCCUAUAGAAUUGAGAAAUCUCCAUUGGCAUAAAUAUCCUUUGAAAAUAUUGCCAUCAGAUUUUGAAUUGGAGAACCUGAUUGAACUCAGCUUGCCUUGUAGUAAGGUUAAGCAAUUUUGGAAAAGAGAAAAUGUAUAAUGUAUUACUAUUACCAAAGUAUCUAUUUUUCUUUCUUUAAGUAUUUAUAAUGAAGGCUGAUUCAUAGGAAGGCUGUAAAACGGUAAUCAACGAAGGUAAAGGGGUUAGACACUUUUACACUAGAACUUAAGAAAUAAGAGCAUUUACGAAAAAAGGAGAGAAACACUCAUAGGUGUUCCACUGCCUAAGAGAUCAUGAGAGAGCCACGAGAUCAGUGGCCAAGUUUCCCAAAAAGUAAACCUAAAUUUCUGACUUGAGCGUAGGAGGAUUUUUCCGGCGUGCUCUGACCAGUUUUUGUGUGCGCAGGAGUCUGCUAAGUCAUACGAGUCAUAGCUCUGCUCGGUUAGAAGAGUUACGUGAAGUAUCCUACGUUGGUCGUGAGUUCGGGCGUUGAGGAGAGAUCCUGGUUGCAGACAAGCAGACACCAGAAUCUCGCAUCAACAGUGAAGAUGAUUCAAUAUUAAGCAUGUCAUAUAAUCUGGAAGUGGAUAUUGGACCAAUUUGAUGAUGAAUUUCUUUCAAUCUCAAUCUUUUUCUUUUUAGCAACAUGACUAGUCAUUGUGCAAAUUUAAACUCUGACAAUGAUUUCUCAAUCGGUUUCUAAAAUGAUGACCAUGCAUGUAUAUGUGUGUGUGUGUAGAGAGAGAGAGAGAGAUCACACGUGCGUGAUUUCCUUUUGCCAAUAGGAUAUGCAGAGAGCUUGAUCUUACCCAAUAGCAAAACAAACUUCCUAACAAGUGAAGGUAUAGUAUAAAUACUUAUACUUUCAUGUUAUUUUGUUCAUCAGUAGCUUGAUUAUUUUAUAUGCGUCUUUGUUUUUAAUUUUCUUUCCUUAUAAUCGCUAUUAUCUUUGAACUGGUCAUGAUUUGCCUAUAAGAUUUCUCAUGUUGUUUUGAGGUGCAAUGGAUUUUGAAUUUAGUGACGAGCAGUGGAAGCCAGAAGGCAAAUUAUGAAAAUGGAUAAAGAUCUAUAAUUAGUUGUUAUGGGAUGUCACAUAUCAUAUUGAUGGUAACAUUAUAUAUGUGUACAUAUAAUUAAUGGGGUUGGCUCACGAGCCCAUUAAUAAUCGUAUAUUAGCUUAUAUACUUCAAACAAUGUACUAUGAAGCAAUUUCACAAAUACUUGUUAGCUUAUGUUGAGCUUUAUUGAAUCAGUAGUUCACAGUUCAAUAAAAUGCAGGUUUGCUAUUUGAAGUACAUGGUUAUGGUGCGUACAUUCUUCAUAAGGCUAACUACUAAUUUAUCAUUGAAACUUGAAAAAUGUGACAGAGAGAUGUAGAUAACAGCCGCAAAACACUGAGAUUGAAAAUCAGGGCUGCUAAAUUCUACUAAAAGCCCUUAAAAUAGACAGCGAUCACCCUGAAAUGUAUAUACUGAAACUAAGAAAUAUUAAUCGCAAAGUUAUGCAUUAAUAGAACUAUUGACUACUUAUCUUUAGCAUAAGGUAUAUUUUUAACUACAGCUUUCUACUUUGUUCUAAGAACUAGGCAAAAAUGGUGUAUCUUCAAUCCAAUCAACAUGUAUACCACUUAUCUUCCUCUUCACUUCUGUCUAUUUUGAUUUGCACUUCAUAUCCUGCACUUGCUGCUUAGAAAUAGUCUUAUUCUGGACAUUGAAAGUAGAAAAAGUGCUUGAAACAAUCAUUGGCAUAGCCCGAGAUUCCAUUGAAUCGUGGACUCCAAGCUUUCAUAGUUCUAUAAAGAAAAUGACAAAACUUCAUACAACUGGCAUUCUGCUUUUAACAUUUGCACAACCUGAGCGAGUUAGCAAGCCCCUUGUUGCGUUCCCAUUGAAUAGACCUACUUUUGUUAUCCACAGAAGAUCCACCACUCAAAAUGUUUAUCACCAGGCUAUUCUUAAACUGAGCCUAAACUGAGUAGAAACUUCUGCACAUCUCUCAGCAUUUACAUGAAGAAAUCGACAACUAUCGUCAUCUCUCAGCACAUCUCUCAGCAUUCUACAAAGUUGCAUUUCACUAAGCAAUCUAUCCUCUCCAUUCCUAACAAAGUGACAUUGAUUCCCUUAUUUGUAAUCGCCUAACUUGGGUUUUGGGAAUAGCGUGGUCUUAAAAUUACCACCCAAUACUUUGUUCAGUGCCACUGGCAUCCACAACCUCUAGCCCUGUUAGCUGAAUCAUAUUCAAUGGGACAGUGAGGCAGCAUUUCACUAACAUAUUCAAUUUGACUACUUAUAUUGACGCAAAUAUUAGAAUUUGAAAUCACUUCUUUUCUUGGAAUAUUAUAUUAAAAUGACCCCAAAUGAAAGUUCUUGAAUGGAAAUGAUUUUUAUUUAAUUUUCCAACAGAUUCAAGAAAAUCCAGAGAACACAAAAUUUACACAGUAAUAUGAUUAAGAGCUGAGAACGUACAUGUAGUAAAUGUCUAUCAAAAAACACCCAAGGGUUUCUUUAAAAUUAGAAACUAGUAAAUAAAAAGAAAGAAUCAUUUUACAUUUUUAGCAACUUUGGGGUGAGUGAGUGAGUGAGAAAUUGAAACCCUAAAGUGAUGACAACAGUAAGAUUCAGUAUGAAGUGAAACCCCAAUUUGAAAUGUAGGCAUGAGUUGCUGAGUCAGUAGAUGAAGCUAUAAAUAGGCAUUCGGUUUCCUUCUUUUCGGUUUGGAGGGCCAUGGAAUAGUGUAUUGGAGUGGGCUCCAAGUAAUAGCCUCUAUCACUAGAACGACAAAUCUAUAAAAUGUGAUACAUGGGGAAGGAUUGGGCAUUAUAUUCUUAGAUUAGCGCCUUAUUUAGGGUGUAUAUUAAGCAGAUUAUAUAUUACAUGGAGAUGGAGUUUAUGAAAUAGAUUAAAAAGAAAAGGAAAUUUUGGUGCCUAAAGUUUGCCACUUGGAAUAUUUCGGUGUCUAAAAAUUCACUCACCACUUAUUUCAUGUUUGAUUAUAUGUUGAAAAGAUAUUAAAAUAGUAUAAUGCUAUUAAGGCUUAACGUAGAUUUUUUAUUAGUAGAGUGUAGAAUUUUUAAGAAAUAAAUUAUUAAAUUAUUAUAACUAACAUAUUAUUUUAAAGUUGUGUUAUGAAAAAAAUGAAAUAAAAAUGUACAGUAAAUAAGAAUAUUUUAAAACUUUUAUCUUUUUAAAAUUAGUUUUUAACAUAAGGUGAACUAUUUUUUCUUUAAAAUCACAUAUUCUAGUUAAAAUCAAAUAUGUAUUUAUAUGAAGCUUGUAAAUUUUUUUUUUUAGUACUGAUAUUUGAAUAUUAUCAAUAAAAAAAAGGGUAAUGUUCAUGCUGCAUUAUUUUUGUAGCACACAAAAGGACAACAAAGUUUAUGUUAUAAUACUAUCGCUUCUGUUAUGAUAAUAAUUUUUUGUGGCCAAAUAUCUUUUUUUUUUAAGUAAAAAAAAGUGGACAAAAUACAAAUCAGUUUUUAAUCCUCAAUCUCUCCCAAAAUAUAAAUUCGUAGGUCCAUGGGUUGUUAAAACUAUAGCUGACAAAAAGUUACUAACAAAAACAGAAUGUCCAUUUUAUAACUUUCUUAAAAAACUUUCCUUAACUUUUUUAAAAAGUUACCAACAAAAAGUUAUUUCUAAUUUUUAUUUUGUUAUAAUUUUUAUAACAAAAUUCGUAGUUAACUAAACUCUUCUUAUUCCCUUUCUCAACUACCCUAACCCUGUUCCCCAUGUCCCCACUAAACCACGCUCAAUUAAGGCCAUCAGAUUCUCCCGGGCCCACAUUAAUCCAACUGCUCACAGAGACCGACAGCCUCUCUAUCUCCAUUUCAAGCUCCCUCUUCAACUGGCUUCUGCUACCGUCCUACUCUUUCUCGGCUUCGGAGUCCGUAUUUGCUCGGCCUGUCCCACGAAACUCCCUCUCACUCCAAUUGUCGCCCCACAAGACCAAUUGCUUAAUCAAGACACCGAACAAGAAGAGGAUGAGAAGUUGAAACAAGAAUUUGAGAAUUGGAAAUAAAAAACGUACGCAUUGACCGUGCCUUUGAGAGUCGUUUCUCUUCAGAACUCAGUGCCUCAAUCUUGGGUUAAGGAUUUUAUGCGAAGUCAGGGAAAGAGAUUGAAGUUUCAGAUGAAUUUGUGUGCUAGCAUUGAUGGGAUCUUUAACAAUUUAUCUGUGCCCUUUAACAAAGUUAAGGCUAAGUCAGCUUCUUAUAUGGCUGCUGAUUUGGUUAGUGUUGGUGAUUCAUGGCUUAGUUUUGCCAUUAAAAAGAGAUUGAUUGAGCCAAUAGCUGGAGCUGAAGACCAAGAUUGGUUCAAAUGCUUAAGUCACAAAUGGAAGGUAACAUCUUUGUCUUUGAUCCUCGAGGUAAAAUAUGGGCGGCACCAUACAGGUGGGGCACAACGGUGAUAGCCUACAAGAAAAGUAAAUUUCGAAAGCAUAAUUUGGCUCCGAUUGAGGUAAUAAUUUUCUUUAAACUCAUUUAGUUUUAUAUCAAACAAAAUCAAGACUGCCUUUCUCUUCAAUAUUUUUUAUGAUAAUAUCUUUAGAAGCAUCUCAUUGACGGGUAACAAUGGCAUCCCUGAAAGAGUCUAUAAACUCAAUGAUAUUAUCUUCUACAAAUGGUUCAUUAAACUUUGUCGUUGUGCUCAAAUGUACACUCAGAGCAAUGAGAAGUUAUGCCACUUUAGCAUGUAGUGAUGGCACUUAAUAAGUGAGUUGCUAGGAUGUGAACUAGAAAAAUUAAAUAUUGUCUCCUUGGGUAUGCUAGCUCGUAAGUCAGGGUUAAUAUCAGAGCUUAAGAUAGUAUAACCGUGAGAACCUAUUGACUGCCAAUUAAAAUAUCCAUUAAAAUGUCUAGGGAGUUAUGAAGGUGGAGGUAACUUCCAAUUUCUAAGGCCACAGAGUAGACAUCAUCCAGGAUCCUAGGAAAGUCCAGUUAACCUCCUGCUCGAUGCAAUUAAUAAAUUUGGUCAAUGCCACUGAAACUUGCUAACUGACGUCACAAUGCGACAUGAGCACUUCAAAAUGGGACAGACGGUCAGUGGCACUAAAUUUUUCUUGCCUAAGAUUGAGCAAUUGGUCUAACUACUAAUCCCCCAGAUUUAAGAAUCUUUUGAUGAUAAUUUAUCACCUGCAGCUGUGCCGGAAGAUUCAAGUAGCACUGAAAAAUAUGAUAAUUUAAUUGAUAUGGACAGUUUCCAUAUCACUUUUAAAUCAUCUUAUGUAAUUGUAAUGUUAGGAAGCAUUAGUGAUCUAAAAGUGAACUAUUAUUGGUGUCAUUGGUGGUUUUAUCUUGUUAAAAUAUGGAUGACUUCCUGUUACUAUUUUAUUGUAGACAAUCUUAUUCAAUUAACAUAAGGUUUAAAACCAUUAUGUUUUAUGUAAAUCAAUCUAUUAAUUUUCAUGAUAUUUAACUGAGUUAAAACCAAGUGCACUCAAUAAAUGUCUUUUCCUUUAAAAAAACUACUACGCUUUGAUUUUAGUGCUUAAUAUUUCGUAACUACAGAUUAUCUAAUUGCGAGUUGCUGUCCAUAGCUGCUAAUUUGUAGUGAUUAUCUAAUUGACUGAGGUGACAAUAAUUCUUUUAUUUUCAAUAGCACAAUGUGGAAUUCAAUAAUUAAAUUCUCCUAUUUAAUUUGUUUCAAGUUAAAUUAUUAAUUACUUAAACUCUGUUUUAAGUCUUUAAUUUUAUGUGUUUAUGCAGAAUUGGAUUCUUGAGCGUGUUGGACACGACCAACAAUGAAAUUGAUAGUAAACAAACAUUACAACGUGUGGACUCCGGUAAGCACCAAUGAAUGUCUAGCCCCGUUGACUCCGCCAACUAAAGUUUUGUAAAAUUAAAAAAAAAAAUACAUAGAAUUCCACCAAAUGCAAAACGCGUGAAAUUUAAUUUUCGACCGUGUGGACCAAAACAUAAUUUAACAAAAAAGGAAAAAAUGAUAAGAUUUUUAAAAUGUGUGGAAGGUGAUCCAUAUUUUACUGAAACGACUUGUUAAAUUUUUCAAGGAUUUAGAAUAUUUGGUCAUAAAUUACGUGCAUGUUAAUUUUUCCGCCAUUGACUAUCAUAUUCUAGACUUAAUGGUACCUUUCUUGAUGAAGGGUACUUAGUCUCUCUUCUCCUCUUAUAAAAAUUAUAUUAAUUGAUUUCUUGUUAUAGUUAAUAGUCUUUAAGAACGGAUAGAUUUAUUGUUUUCAUGACCAAAUUAUGCAUGCCUAAGGUUGUAACUACUAAUAAAAUUAAUAUUUAAUGUUUAUGUUAAAAGAUAUAAGUUUUUAUGCAUUCAUUAAUUGUUAUUAGCUAAAGGAUGAAAUAUUUUUUCCCAAUCAGUUGAUGCAUCUGCAAGAGUUUUUUUUUUUCUUUUAUUGACCAUAAUUAUAUUCCGGGUACAAUAAAUUGUCUUUGGUGCUUGGAAAAUAUGACACCUCUCUGUCAACUUACUGGAAAUAUCUCCUCAUCUACUCUCAUUUAUCUAAUAUGAAUUGAAGAUCUCAUAUUUCCAAACUAUGACUUCCAAAUCUCAUUAUCAUUUGAGCAUUCAAAACUAAUCAAGUGUGGAAAUAAUCAAAUAUAUGCAAAAAUCGAGUCACAAUCUUUGGCCCCUCAAAAUUCUAAUUAUAUAACUUCUAUAUAUCUCAUACAUUUUCCAAAUUCCUCUUCCAUGAACAUCACUAGGAGUAUGUUCAUCUCUCACACAUUAACUUGAGUGAAGAGUUUCCAAAUUGAUUAUUAGAAAACAAUACAAAAGCUAGACACGUUUGAUCUGUCUAAUAAUUCUCUUUCGGUAAAAUUAAUUAAUUUUAGGGGAAUUCAGCCAACCUCUGUAAUUUCAGAGUGAUCAUUAAUUAAUUAAACAAUACAAAUAUCUAAAGUGAUUAGAUGUUUGCCGACAAUACAAGUUCAUGGCUUGAAAUUUGAUCUCUAUCAAUUGGUUUACAAAUGGACUCACUUGUGCCUUUGUGGUGAUAAUUGAACCAGAGAUGUGAAGCUGUAAGGAUUUGGCUGUAGUCAAUUGUUAUAAAGACAUAAAGACAACUUCCCAUGAUUAUUAUUUUUUUCCAAGAACUAUUUUACAACAAAUUCAUCUCGCCAAAAAUUCUAUUUUGCUAACUAACAAUAAUUGAGCACUUGACCGCAUUGACUCCACGUCUCCAGCUACUUUCUAAGUAAAAACAUGGAAAUGUAAUCUCCACAAAAUGCCAAACGUGUGGAAUUUAAUUUUUGGCCUUGUGGACCAAAAUGCAAAUGAAAGAAAAAGAGGGAAAAAAACAAGGCUCAAAGACUUCUAAAAGAUGUAAAAGUCUUUGGGCUUUUUUAUAAUGGUGGAUUUUUUAAAAGGAAAAAAUAACAACACUUCUAUGGUUUGUUUUAAUAAUCACAUUUACAUAUAUUCUCUAAUUUUCAAAAUGGACACAUAAAUCUUUUUUUUUCUACAAAUGUAUAUUAUUCGUAUUUUUUAUUAUUUUUAAUAUCAUAUUGUUAUUUAUUAUAAAUGUUUAAAGUAAAUUUUUAGGUUGAAAUAUAAUAAAAAGGUAUAAUCGUUCUCAUAUUAAACACCCAUACUUUUAGUUUCUAUCCAUUUGUCAUUUCAAUCUCCCUCAAUUAUUCUUUAUUGCUAGCUCAAAACGCAUCGCUGUUGAAAAUUAUAGCAAAAUGACAAAUAUGGAAAAAAAGGGAAGAAAAUUAAUGCAUGAAAGACUUGGAGAAAACAACCAAAUAAGUCAACUAUAAGCAAGCUGGGUGUAUAAAUUGUUAGAUGUGUUAUAAACAAAUACGUAUAAUGUUAAAGAUAUAGUUAGAAUGGGUGGUUCAAAAUCAAAAAUGGUGAUAAUGUUUGUUCUGCUCUUAAUAAUAUUUGAAGGUGGGUGGAGUGAGGGAUGUUUGAAUCAUGAGAGAUUUGCUCUUUUGCAACUUAAACUUUUCUUCACUGAUCCUCAUAAUUAUCUUCUCGAUUGGGUAGAUGAUGAGGGAGCUACUGAUUGUUGUCAGUGGGAAAGGGUUGAGUGCAGCAACACCACAGGUCGAGUGAUAAAACUUGACCUUGCUUUUACAAGGAAUAAUUAUUUGGAAGAGUACAGAGACUUUGUACACAAUCCGGGAGAGUAUCUGAAUGCUUCUUUGUUUACUCCCUUUCAACAACUUGAGUCACUUGAUUUAACUAACAACAACAUAGCCGGUUGUGUUGAGAAUGAAGGUGCUUCGUUUAAUUUAAUUAAUUUACUUUCUCCCCCCUAAUUUAAGUUGACUAUCAAGACCGAGCAAUUAGACGCAUAUUCAUUUAGUCGACAAUUUUCACUUUUUUUAAAUGAUUAAUUUUGAAAUUACACCAGUAUCUAUAAUCAUUUUUUUAUUUUACUUGCAGGUAUAGAGAGGCUAUCAAGAUUGAACAACUUGAAGAUGCUUAAUUUAAGUGAUAACUCGUUCAACAAUAGCAUUUUAUCAUCUCUAACCCGUCUUUCAUCAUUAAGAUCAUUAAAAUUAUCUGACAAUAGAUUGAAAGGAAGUAUUGACUUUAAAGGUACAUAAUUAAAACUUCAUCCCUUCUCCAAGCUCUUUCAUUAACUUGCUAAAAUAAGAUUCAAGGCUUUGAAUUCAAUUUUUUUAUGAUUAGUAUUAAAAAAAACAGUUUUAAGCAAUUUAUAAAUACAAGUUUUAAUGGUUAUCGUAAUUUCAUCUUGUAAUUUCAUGUCUUGAAUUUAAGAUUAAAAAAAUAACACUAACAGCGAACCAAACACCUCCACAACUUAUUAUUAUUAUUAUUAUUAUUAUUAUUAUUAUUAUUAUUAUUAUUAUUAUUAUUUUAAUUUGUUGUGAGGUUUGAAACAUUCAACUCAAUUUGUACUUACUACAGAAUUUGAUUCUUUGAGAGAUUUAGAGGAGCUAGACAUUGGCUGGAACAAGAUUGACAAAUUUGUGGUCUCAAAAGGUACUACAAAUACCAUAUAAAAAUGCUAACUUAUACAAAUUAGUUGGAUUCUUUGCCAUUUGGUUUAUUAUUUUACAGGUUUGAGUAAGUUGAAGUCUCUCGGUUUAAGUGGUAUCAAACUCAACCGUAGCAUCUUAUCUUCUCUUUCUUCAUUAAGAGAAUUAGAUAUAAGUGAUACGGGAUUCAAAGGAACAUUCGAUGUUCGAGGUAAGCCUAAGCCUUGCUUUCUCAUUUUAUAUAUGCCAACUAGAUUUGUGUAUCAUCGACAUAAUUUAAUAGUUAAUUUGAUAAGUCUGAAGGAAUUACAUGCUAAUUUAAACAUACUUUUAUUUACUUUGUCAAUUAAUUAAUUUAUUAAUUACUAUUUGGCUUGGUUUGGACGAAAUUCUCAUGAUGUUUUAAUUUCUUUAAAUUAAUUAAUUAAUUAACUCUGUUUUUAAGUCUUAAGUCUGGGCAUGUUUGCAGAAUUUGAUUCCUUCAAUAACUUAGAAGAAAAAUAGAAAAAGUCGAGCAAGAGACUCUCGCCCUAUUUUAAGAUGAGAGUAGCGAUCACUUACCUGAUCUACGACCUACUAUCUACGCGUACCAGCCUUCCUUUGUUUUGCAUCACGAGAUGGACUCUUCGCCCAUCCCCUAAGGUCUUUCAAAUUAUACCUAAUUGGGGAGAGGACCCACCAGGAGUCCAACUCCAGAUUGGUGGCUAAUGGGCCUCGCGUAUCCUGCCUUUUCGUAGAAUGCAACGCUUAUACGUUCACUGAGGAAUGAAAUCCUAUCUUUUAUCCGAGCUAGGGAUCAGAAAGCAAGAAGGUGGGGGUCAGAAAUGAGUAGCGUAGGUGAUACCGAUAGGGUGGUUGGAUACGCGACAGCAACGGCAAGGCACUCUUGACCCCGUCCGUAGAGGGUCGGUACGAAUGAGACUGUGCUAGAGAUCGCAGUGAGCAAGUAUGCCUUGUUGACUGGGUGUUGGUUUUGAAACAAGGAUGAGUCCCUCAGGGAGUCCGUCCAAGCUUCAGCUACUAAUGCCUGGGCUAACUUCUUGGGGGUGAACAAAGUGCUCUGAGUCUGAGAUCGAUACUGGUUAACGCCACAAGUGCUCUGCCAUUGGUCUACACACAGAGUCAUCAGGUAAAGUCAGAGCUUGGACUGGGAAUGAGAUCAGAAGAGGCUAGGCUACUAGGGAAGAUAGAAGCGAUCCACAAAUCAAACCACUAUCCCAUUGGCCGCUUCAUGCGCCGAACACUCUUAAUAAGAAGCUUUAUUUUAUAAGGUAUGUGUCUAUGCUCUCGAUACACGGCUUGAGAAGGCGGCUCCUUUUUAUUCUUCCUAUAGGAGCUACUCCUGAUUCAGUCAAUCAGAACAAGCCUUCGGACCUACCAACCAAUCAAACUAGCUUGAUGCGGAGGCAAAUACCCAGGGAUACUAUAGCUCAACACACGCCUGGCCGGGGGGAAGGAAGCCCUCGAAGCGAGCUCCGUACCAAAUAGCUGUGGAGAGAGAGAAGCCAAACUCUACCGCACUGAAGAGCGAGAUAAAUAACUGACAUCCUUGGUUGAUGAUCCUCGUCGGUGGAAGGGAAAGCGCGAUGAAAGGCAAGUCGGUAGUAGGUCCAAUGGAGAGAGGAAUUGAGAAGAGAUAGGGUCCGCUUUCUAGGCUGACGUUGGACAGCUGUUGGAUAGCCCCGACCUACACAAGUGGUUUUAGAAUGAACUCACAUUUUGAAAUGUUCUGUUAGGUUCUUAGUAGCAGUCGGCGAUCUUUUCUUCUUUUACUUCACAUAGCUUUUCGUCUCCUUGAUAGCUGGAAGUUCUCCAAAAGUAUGAAAAGCUGGAGGACUUUGUACCAUCCAUUCCGGUGUGGUUGGAUUCUGUUCAACAGCCCAAGGACUUGGAGCACAUCUUUUGUUAUUUCCACUGCUUGAAGUGAUUGUUACGACCACGAAGAAACGACGAAUCCCAACUACGGAUAUAUAAGAGCCAAAACUGCUAAGGGCAUUCCAUCCAGCGUAAGCAUCUGGAUAAUCUGGAAUGCGACGUGGCAUACCCGAAAGCCCUAAGAAAUGCAUGGGAAAGAAGGUCAGAUUAACCCCGAAAAAAGUGAUCCAAAAAUGGAUUUGCCCUAAAGUUUCAGGGUAUGUCCGACCAAAGAUUUUACCACCCAAUAGUGAAAUCCUGCAAAUAAAGCAAAAACGGCUCCCAUAGAAAGUACAUAAUGGAAAUGUGCAACCACAUAAUAAGUAUCAUGUAGAGCAAUGUCUAGCCCAGAAUUUGCCGGGACUAUUCCAGUGAGUCCUCCUAUAGUGAACAAAAAGAUGAACCCUACAGCAAAUAACAUGGGUGUUUUGUAUUGUAUCGAACCCCCCCACAUGGUAGCGAUCCAACUAAAGAUUUUGAUUCCAGUGGGGACAGCUAUGAUCAUGGUAGCUGCGGUGAAGUAGGCACGGGUAUCAACGUCUAAGCCCACAGUAAACAUAUGAUGAGCCCAAACAAGAAAUCCAAGAACACCUAUACUGAUCAUGGCAUAAACCAUGCCUAGAUACCCGAAGACCGGUUUUCCCGAAAAAGUCGAAACGAUAUGACUUAUGAUACCGGAUCCAGGCAGAAUGGGAAUAUACACCUCUGGAUGACCGAAAAACCAAAAGAGAUGCUGGUAUAAUAUGGGGUCUCCCCCUCCAGCGGGAUCAGAAAAGGUUGUAUUAAAGUUUCGAUCGGUUAAUAACAUGGUAAUUGCCCCCGCCAGUACCAGAAGUGAUAAUAAAAGUGGGAAUGCUGUCACUAGAACGGACCACACAAAUAGGGGUGAUCUAUGCAUAGUCAUUCCAGGUCCACGCAUGUUGGAGAUUGUUGUUAUAAAAUUGAUAGAACCUAAAAUGGAUGAAACACCAGAUAGAUGAAGACUAGAAAUUGCUGAAUCAACUGCUCCUCCAGAAUGGCUGGUAAUACCACUUAAGGGCGGAUAGACCGUCCACCCAGUGCCGCUACCCACUUCUACUAAGGCUGAGCUUAAUAGGAGCAAGAGACUUGGUGGCAACAACCAGAAUGAAAUAUUAUUUAAUCGUGGAAAUGCCAUGUCAGGUGCACCUAUCAGAAUCGGAACAGACCAAUUACCAGAUCCACCUAUCAUCGCCGGCAUAACCAUAAAAAAGAUCAUUAAAAAAGCGUGAGCCGUUAUUAAAACAUUAUAAAGUUGAUGAUUCCCACCAAGAAUUUGAUCGCCGGGAUGUGCUAAUUCCAUACGAAUCAAUACUGAGAAGCAUGUGCCCAUCACUCCAGCAAUGGCACCGAAGAUGAAAUAGAGAGUCCCUAUAUCCUUGUGGUUAGUGGAGAACAGCCAUCGAACCGGAUUUGUCAUAAAAUUGAGAUUCUUUCGUUUCCUUCCUUAUCAGAGAGGGGCCCCUUAGGGAGCGGGGCUUCUUUAUUGAAAAAGGGGGAGUGAGGGGGGAAGGAGCGAAGCGAAAGCGGGGGGGUCCGGAAAGCCCUUACUUUAUUGAUGGGACAUUUUGAUCCCCUUUUCCUCUCACCCCCCGUUCUGGUUCAGGAUUCAGGAAAGGGUCAACGCAAGGAUCUUACUUCGAAGCAAUCUCUGGAGUUUUCCCUUAUCCGAACGGGUCUUGCAAGAAAAUAGGAUUUCAUAUUGAGCUCCAAAUAUACGCUAUUGGGAUAGGAUGGCUCCUACUAUAUCUCCCCCCCCCCUAAGAACCGCACGUGCGAGUUCCCCUGCAUACGGCUCAAGUGGCGAAGGCACUUUCCUUCGCGCUUGAUAAGCGCUUCGCUGUAGCCAAGCUUACUGCUAGCCUAUCGGCUAGAGCCAAGCUUCGACCCCGACUGCUCGUCGCUUCUGGCCGCCUUAUUCCGUCACCCGAGAUCCAAGUCAGCACCGGAAAAAAGAUCUUGAUUCCUCGCGGCCGGGCCGGCUUGGAAGCAAGCUACUUGUCGCCUAUCUCACCCCCUUUCUUAUUAUUAGUAAGAUAGGGUGCCCCUUUCUCUAAUAAUAAGGUAAGCUUCUCUGAAUUCCGCUGGGUGAGCCUUCGCUUUUUGGAUCGUCUUCUGCCCAAUGCGGUACCCUCCCGUUUGUUUUUAGGUUCCCAUUGGGUUUACCUUGUUUACAGGUCGAUCCCAUGGCAGCAAGAAAAGGUGAUCUUGUGCUAUACUCCGGUGAUCUCUUUCCUACCGAGGCACGCAAACUCCCAUCGUGUCCCAGAUCAUAUUUCGUGAAUCGAAAGGGGAAGCCUCCUCAUCCAUCAGCUCCUCUCGUAGAUCAGUGCGGUUUUACGAAGCGUCUAAGCACAGUUCACUCGCGUUGAUCAAUCAAGAGCUUUGCCGCCACUCCUUAAGGUUACCUGUUGUAUCAUACACUUCUUGCAUUCUUUCCCACGCUUCAUACCCCCCUCUAGCUUCCGCACGGAGCGGUAAGGUAAAGGGCCAGGCAUGGUGGGGUCGGAGCAUCCUGUCAGCAAUCUUUUUGGCUUGACCAAGAAGUCUUAUGUCCUCCGAGUCGCGCGGCGUUUUAACCGAAAGAACUUCUUGCGCAAUUCAUGCCUUUCUGUUUUUAUGACCAGAAAUUUUUUCUUGAUUUCCAUUUCAAAUUGUUCUCUGGACUUUUUAUCAAUAUGAGGUGAUCGUAACACAGUAUAUAAGACUCGUGAUUCAGGCAAUCCAAUCUUUCGUGUGUAAGGCGGAAGAGCCUGGUUUUCCAAAAAUGGGUGAUCAAAAGAUCGAAUCACUAUGCGUAUCUUGGUGGUCGUUACUUUUGGUGGUCUUUCUUUUCUUUUUGGCUGACUCCUCCUACUCCUCCUUCUCUUAUCCUCUAUAUAGCUCGUCGUUGGUCCUUUUUUUUUACAUAACAUUCUCAGCCGCUCAAGAGUCAAGAGACUGACUAUCUCUCUCUUUACGCAAUUUCAAAAAUGAAGUAGCAGAGUGACUACUGAUUUUGGACGCGCUGAGUUAUUUAAGCAAAGCCUUUUUUGAUCUUGUUAUUCUAAAUUAUUUUAUUGUCUUUGCUCAACUUCGUCGAGCCUUGUACCCAGGUACACGGAACACUAACAGAAUCUCUGUUCAAACAAAAACGACAAGCAAACCCGAAAACUAAAGGGUCACCUUCUCUAGCAAGCAAGUAGACUUUUCUCUGAGCCCCAGGGUAGCAAAGCUAGCUCUUCGUAUCAUUGGCAUUGGGCAGGUGAACGGGAACCUGGCUACACAACUACUCUUACUCUAGCAGAGGAUCUAGUUCCACACCAAUCUGCUUAUCUUAUAUAAGAUAAAAUAGAUAAACUUAGCGUACCUACAACCGCUUGUGCCCUCUUGCUUUAGCUACUUACUCGGGAACUAGCUUCGCACCUCACCCCGGGAACUCAAGGGUGCGUAGCUUGCUUGUUGAAGGGGUGUUUCCGUUCCUCCGUUGUGGGAUAGUUUUUCCCUAGUUCGGUCCUAUAAGAAGAGUUCUCUAGAUAUCAACUCAUGGUACUCCCCGGGCCCCUAACAACAAAACUCAUAGGUUAGCUACAGCAGUUCUAGCAUCAGCUUCUCGAGGGCCUAAAAGAACCUCUUUCGUCAUUCGAAAGUGGCAUUUUAGCUCCUUUUCGUGAAACAGAUCGGAGAUCAGGUCUUAUCGAUUCAUACGAUUUUCAUACGUCUUUUUCCCACAUUAAUAAACCCCUUUUUUCUUUAACACGCUAGUGCCCAGAUCUUCUUCUUUUGUCUUUGAGCCUGCCUUUAGGUAGCGGCAUGGAAGUCCCCCUUCUUCUCAAGCAGGAAGCCCGCGUAUUCUUAUUCUAAUGUCCAUUGGAGCUUCUCUUUUCUUCCCGCUAUCUGGCUGUUCUAUUUAGACGUCUGUUCCCCAGUCUUACUUUCUCAUGCCCGCUUUCGCUUCACUCCUUUCUACUUCUGUUACAGUAGCUAUAGUUGUAAUGGCGGUUAUGCAGGUCCCCUUCUCAUUGAGUAGCCUAUACUCUGGAAUUGAAGUAGCGAAAUCGGCCUUAGCAUAGAACGUUUACCGCUUGCCUUACUAUUACUAAUAAUCGGGAAUCAGAACAGGCAACUAUGAGACUAAUUUAUCAUUGCCCCGAGCAAGUUACUGCGUACCUGAAGUGAGUGUGCCCAUCUUGGUCUCCUUUCUUUUUUCUUUGCAGCUGCCAUAAAAGUAAAGCCUUAGAUUCUAACAGGAAUCUCACCGCCUGCUCCCCUUAUAAUUAUAAGAUACUCGCUACUAAGGUUCUGAAAGAAGGCAGCUAAAUCAGCAAUAGAAGAGAACUCCAGAUCUAUGAAUAGCCAACAAAGAGCCUAGCUUUAUUACUGGAACUAAACAGCAAGCUGCUCCUACCUUACUUAUCGAGAAGGAGUACUUGGACUGAGUAGACUUCUUGUAGUUCUCUUUCCCCUAGCAACCUUUCCUGCUUUCCCGGUUGCAAGGUUUCGAGCUAACUACAGGAUUUGCUUCCUAGCUAAUAAUACUAAUUAGUAGUAUUGAACUUCGAACUAAAGAUUUUUUUUAGUUAACGGGCAGGUAAGGGCAAUGAAGGAAGCCGUUAGGCUUGAGACGAAACGGAUUCUAUGGAUUGAGUCUGGCAGUGAUGUUAGUUAAGUCCACUACCUGGGGCUUGUCUUGCUUGAGAACCCGUUUGGAACAAUCUGGAUUUUCCCCUUGUGAGUCACUCGAAUUCUUCUAUUUAUCAUUCUUUCAUGAAUAGAAAGAGAAAGAUCUCCGCUUCGUCUUUCUUCCAAGAAAAGAUCCCAAGCCAUUGAUAUUGGUCAUGCGUGGGCUUUCACUCAAUCUUUCACUAUGAUAUGAAAGGCAAGCAGGAAUUUCACCACUAAUGGGCCAGCGCUUGGCGCUUACUCUAGCCCGUGUUUCUAGGAUACACCUAUUAAUUAUAUAUAAUAGUUUCCCCGAUAUUCGUGGCUUUCCCCUUACUUAUUACUUAUAAGUAGAUCGGUUGAGAUAAGUAGAUUGGUUGAGGCCCGACCCUUUCCUUUGGGGUUGCCGACCUUGAUGCCAUAGUGUUUAGGGGGCUGAGCGGGAAACCAACACGUUGUGGAAACGGAAUAGAGCUUUUCCCUUGAUGGAUGUUAUCCAAUAAAAGCACACAAUCAGUGAGAUGAGCCUGCCAGCUCAGCCUUGGCCCUAUGCCUUUUGGCCAGCUUGACUUCUGACCGGUCGAUCCCGCCCCCUCUUGCAACGAUUCGGCGCCUCCACUUGAUGCUUGACGCCCACGCUUCGUUCAGGCAGCGCUCCUCGGAUAUGUCUUGCCAAUCGCCAGAGCGGUGCCACUUCCAGGAUUUGGUGCGGCCAGCUCGGGAACCUUCCCUGGAGUGAAAGGGUACAUGGAUCGGUUCCUCCACCAGAGGUCAGCUGAAGCGGAUUGGUCAAAAAGAAAUUUUCUGGCUUUGCCUCAUACCCGGUAUAACUACCAUUUUUACUUUGAUAUGCUUCUUACUUCCUUACAAAGUUGCAAGGAUCCCUUCUUGCAUUCCCUCCUUAUUCAAAAGGAAUUUAUUCGAAUAUCUAGUUGAUAAAUGUUCAUGAGCACGGGGUUGCCUUGCCUGAGACCUCUACUACUGCCGUGGAGGGUAAUUGAUAACAAUGGAAUAUUUUAGGUUAGUAAUGCAGACCCUUAUCCAUUCGAUCCACUUCUGAGGGAAUCACAUAGCCAGCAUGGCAGCUUCCCGGAAUCCCCAGUCAACACUGUCGAACGCUUUCCUCAGGUAAAUUUGCACACACAUCCUGGCUUUCCCUUGCGGAAGGUGGAAUUUUUUUAGCAUAUCGUGACAAAGCAAGAUGUUAUCCUGGAUGCAUCGCCUUUGUUGUUUAUACCUAGCAGGAGCAGCAAAGACGAAGGCUGAAGCAUCACUAGAGGUAUCUAUUGAGCUUUCUCCUCUUUUUGCAUUAGCCCAGUCACUUCCUUUAUGGAAUGGGUUCACCAGCACGCGGAGGUAAGUAGUUUACUGACUCAGUUCUUUUACUAAAAAAGGAGAAGGGAAGGGGGUGCUAUGAAUAGAAAUUUUGAAUUGCAUAUGCUCUCGAUCGACCUAGGCCUAAAAGGAAUCCGGCUACUCAAUCGCCAGAGAUAGAAAUAAAAGAUCUAAGCUUGCUUUAAUCAUUCGAAAGCGAUGCUCAUUCCAGGGUUUCAAGGCUUGGAAAUAGAUCUUAUUUAAGACAAAAAGAAGUGAGCAUAACCAUCUUCAAGCUCCACCCCGGGAUUUUAGGUGUGAACUCACUUUAGGGAAAUGAGGCUUAUAACCAAUCGAUUCUUCACCCACGUAAGCUCGCCCUGUCACCCUCGCUCUGGUUCGAGAAUCAUGUCACCCUCGCUUUCCGCUUCUGGAAGAUCAAUGACUAAUAGAUAAAGGGCUGUGGAACUAUAGACAAUAGGCGGUAACCUCUCUUGAUCCGCGAGUAGAGCACUUGAACUACUCAGAAAGAGCUGGUUGGCUCAAUUCAAAUAGAAAGAAAAAUAGACACCCAUCUUCUUGGCGAGCUAAUCAGGAGACAUACAAAACCAGCAAUCCAAGUUUUGAAGGGAGGCGGCUGCCUGCAGUCACUAAAGGAAGGGGCUUGGUGGUCUUAUUUUAUUAUCUAUAAAAGAUAGCAUCUCUUCCUGCUGUUCGAAUCAAAACGAUUAGGGACAACCGCUCGCUUCGAGGCAGGUUAAAAAGCAUAGGCCAUAGCUUCUACCUCUCCUGGAUCAUUAUGCUCAUCUGGAAGCGGUUUUUGCUAGGAUGAAUGCUACUUCUAUGUAUUUCCCAUCGCAUUUUCAUAAGGUUUCAUAUCCUUCUUUUUCAAUCUUUUAAUGAUGCUUGCCAAUUCUAAUCCAGGGGAGCACUUAGAUCGCAGAUUUUCGCAAAACGACCUCGCGUAGCCAGUUCAGGUAUAAAUUUGAAUAGGUUUACCAAAAGUUUUCCCUAUUUUGAGAAGAACUUCACUGUCGAAGUACUCAAUAGGGAGCUCAGGUAAACGGAUCCAAAGCGCAGUUUUAGUGACCGUUGCCAAGGAAGGCCUAAAAUCAGGGUGCUUCGAAAAGUGAGAUAAUGGUUUGCUAUCAUCCAAGGUCCCCCAGUAAGAGCUCUUUUGUAAUCCUCCCCAUCAGUUAAGGAUGGUCGUGGCCCAGGUCAAUGAAGUCAACUCCCCACUUGGUCUCCACAUUUUAAAAAUUUUCUCAUGGAUAAAUUUGUACUAAACUUUCUUACCCAGAACCUUAACUAUAAGAAAGAGACUUCCUCCAUGGUUGAAAAAUUCUCCUUUUCUUUUAGUUUCCCCAUUACCAUUAAUGUUGAUCACAAGGGGACAAUUCGAAGGGCCCUGGUUAUGGAUUUGCUGCUGCUGCUCAUCUUCUUCCUACUCGUCUGAUUUAAAGCCUUCAGACUCCGGUUCCGAGAUCUCAAGAUAGUAUGAGCCCUUGUGCUGUACCUGCAUGAGAACGAACAUCACGAAAGGACAGUGGUUGAUUACCGUCUUCCUUUGAUCGCUUCCAUGGUCCGGGACUCUUCCCAAGGUCCGGAGGUAGCUCACAAAGGUCGCCAUUAACUGUUUCAGUCGUCACAGAGGUCGCCAUUCCUUAGCCCCUCAUUGGUUGUUAGGCAUUUGUCACUUCUUCUAUUUCAUUUCCAUAGCGAUUCACUCAACAUAGAAAAGCAACUAGAGCAGAGCUCGUAUCCGGCCUAAAGCUCUUGAACUAUAGGAGGGGUCUAGCAUACUGAAACAUAAAUGUAGCUAUAAAGCCUUUUUGAGCAUCUUCCUUGCGAUCUCCUUAUCCUAUAUCAGAACACUUUUUCACUUUUUUUUGCUAUCACAAUAAAUUGCCAUAGAUCGAAAGUGAGUCCAGGCUUAGUGCUUCCGCCUAUCCGGCAGCCGUUACCAGCUGUUCACCACUCCUCCCUUCUAUGCUCCGUGGGUCUUUUGUUACCUAAUUCCCUUAAACACGGAAUUGCUCCUAGUCUUUACCCAAGAGAUGUCCCUGAGACUCAAUAAGAAAAUUGUCUCUUUGCUUAGCUUAAGCACAAGAUUCGACAGUUGUGAUUCCGUCUUGGAUUGAGCUUUCUCACUCUUUCUAUGCCUCUUCCUGAAGUGAACGAAUACAUCUCUUUCUGACGUGAAUGAACGCGAUUCUCUAAUAAGACCCAAUCUUAUUGAGUCAAGUAGAAGAUUCUUGUAGAAAUUUUUUUUGAUUGACUUACUCCAACAUCAAGGUGGAUUUAGCUUGGAUUAAUAGAGAUUAAUAGAACAGACGGGAACUAAACAGAUAGGAAUGCCCGACACAAUGCGGCUACUAGAAAAACGUAUAUUAGAUACACCAUUUCUUUGUCACGUGCAUAGCCCUGCUCCUUGUCUUUGAAAGUCCGUAGCAAUGGACACUAUAUAAUUCCUUGUCGCUCUCGUACGCACCAACCCUUGCCUUGUCUCUCGAACCCUUGCUUCUCUCUUGUGCUCCCUAGAGCUAAGUAAGCAAUUCUCUCUCCUCUCUAGCCGUGGCCGCUAGGAAUUGCUUUCGCUCUUCUCUCUCUGGGGUGCUGGUGGUCGAUAGUUGUAUGUAAUGUUGAGGAAAGAGAUUCGGAUGAAAGAGGUACGACGGGAUAUUCCUCCCCGGUUCGGAACUAAACGUUGAGCGGCGGAUCAAGUAAAAGCUGGCAAUCCUCCACCUAACAACUCCUCCUUUACAGUAUCAGCUGUUAAUAAGCUCUAAUAGACAACCAACCCCAUCUAUUCUUGAUAAACCGGGGCACCUUUCCUAUGUGUCAGUGCCAUUUUUCUCUAAGGCUUAAAGUGAAUCUGUCAUAGCUUGUUGCCAGCAGAGCUGGCCCACGGCUUCCGAAAAGGUUUGAGGUUCCCGCAUGAACACUGGCAAGAAAGGCACGAUCUUUGGGAGAAAACGAGUUAUAGGAUCCAUAGGAUUUUUCAUGCGAGAAGACCUACGUACCUCAGUAGAGGGUAGAUAGGAUCUGGAGACAAGGAAGAUGAUGUAGAGGUAGUAGGUUGGCCAGCCUGAUCCAUCUCAGAUGCCUUGCACUUUUUUAGCGCCUAGUGUAAACCGGAGUGGCAGGUCGGCUAGAAGGAGACGGCUCCUCAGUGGGACCAGAUGAAGAAAGCUCCCCUUACUAGUAAAGGGGGUCCGAGGUUCAGGAUAUGAAAUAAAGCAACUUGACGUAACAGAAAAAAGCGUAAACCGAGUUGAAUCAUAAAAUCAAGUUUCAUCCCCAACUGAGGAAAUGUAAUUGUUAAGGUCGGUAACCUGUGGCUACCUCAGGACUAUCUGACUACACUACUUGCGUUAAGGCGCUGAAGCCGGAGUUUUCUUGGUAGGGGUUAGCUUAUUCCCAGACGAACCAGCCCAGUAAGAGAGAUUCCCCCAGACACCAAUACCUGCGGGAACUAGUAGCCACACUACGGCGUAUGAGAAAUUCCCUGACGGCUUCCCUUAACCGUAGGCCACAGUUGCUUCCUUCGCUCUUGAAUCUAAAACCAUAUCUGGUUUCGCCUCCCCUUGGAGCGACCCUUCCGAAACAGCAUUCUAGCAACUUCGUUUUCAUCCAGCGUUCUCACCAACCAGUGAGCCGUCACAGAGUCUCCCGCUAACUCAUGCCAAACCCUUAUGAAGGUAUCCGACUUUUUCCAAUUCUUUGUGACUUCAUCAGUCUAGCAAUAGCAGCAUGCCAGUAUUUUGCCCUAACUACGAAGCUUGAGUCAUGUCUUCGCCCGUGAACGCAACAGGACGCGGUCGUCUAACUCGACUUCCGCAGCGAGUCUCAUUGCAGCUCUCUCCUGCAGUAGUGAAUUUUUUUUUAUUUUACUUCAAAGAUUUUUUUUCUCACAAGAUGCUUGUUUUGCAGAGGGGUGAAAGUUUUGAAGAAAUAGAAGAAGAAAGAAAGAGUAGUAGCCAUGAUCGAUUUCCUCUGCGCAGGAGCUUGGGAUUUGAGAGUAAGCAUGACUCUGAGAAGAUCUCUGAUUGUGAUCAAUUGGGUCUCACUCAAAUCUUGGUAAUAACGAAUGACUUGCUUGAUUUCUCUGCAUCGGCUCGUGAAAUCUUGGAUGAUCUUAUCAAGUUCAAUUGAACUAAGAAUGUCGAUUGCUCUGUCGUAAUAGUUUGUGGUCACUCCAAAGCUUCCAUGGCGGAAUCAGUACCCCCCUCCACUGAACUACGGAUGCCUGUACGCAACCCCAUGAAGCAACCGAAGAUCCAUUGAUCGCUUUUUCGACACCCGUAAUUUUCCUGUAAAAGAAAGAAAAUCCCGGAAACUCAGAUUCUUCAUUGUUGAAAAAUCUUAUAAAAAUAAGUAAUUUAGGAAUUUUCAUUACUGGGAACACGUCGCUAGCCUAAGGCGGGCUUCGCUAUCCUCCCGAAGCUGGUAUUUUCCAAUGUAAUGGUUUUUGACCACUCACUUAUAUGAGUACAAGGGGCUUGACUAUAUUUUUUUUACUUUAUGUAAUUAAGUUUAGCUGGAGGGUCCAUCUAGCCACCCUAAUUAACCCGGUUGAGGAUAACACAUUAUUAAAUCCGAAUGAUGAUUUCAUAAUCAAUCAUAGAGGUGUGAAAUGGCGUCUUUUCAGAAGUCAGAUAGCCCUUGAAGGUGUUAGCGCACACCCUUUUUCUAUCAUAUAAAUUUAGCUCCGAAGGCAACCCGUCGCGUCCUCGUCACGGCGUUAGCAGCCAUUGACGAUUAUUGAAGACUAAGCUAGUUGGCCUAGAAUGGAGCGCAUACUACUUCUUUGAAAUCGCGAACAUCUUACUCUUACCUUUCUUCUUAGUCUGAUCCGGGAGUGUUGGACAUGAGGUACAAUGAAAUCGACAAUCUUGUGGUUCCUCAAGGUAAACAAUUAAAAUAUUAUUCAAUUACAUUAUUUUAAUUCAUUUGAUUAGGGAAGGCCAAAAAGGUCCAAAAUAAUAAUAAUAAUAAUAAAGAAACAAAUAAUUUGUAUUAUUUAAAAAACAGAAUGUAAUAAAGAUUUGAUUCCAGUUCUUUAAUCUUUAAAGCGAUUGAAAAACAAUGUUGGACUUUUCCCAAAGCAUAAAAUACGAAUUGAAUGCCAAUUAACUUAAUCAUUCAUUUCGUUUAGCUCUAAAUUUAGACAAUGAAUUUUUAUAUUAUUUCAAAAACAGGACGUAAUAGAAUUUUUUUUAAAAACAGAUUGUAAUAAAGAUUUUAUUCCAAUUCUUUAAUCUUUACUGCGAUUGAAAAACGAUACUACUUCCCAAAGCAUAAAAUACGAAUUGACUCCCAAUUAAAUUAAUCAUUUAUUUUGUUUAGGUCUAAAUUUUAGAGGAAUGAAUUUUGAUUCUCUUCAAUCUUUUCUUAAUUAUUAUUAAUAAACAGGUUACAGAGGUUUGAGGAAGCUGAAAAGCCUUGAUCUAUCGGGAGUUGAAAUUAGAGAUGGAAGCAAGUUGUUACAGUCAAUGGGAUCAUUCCCAUCCCUCAACACUCUUUACCUGAAGGAUAAUAAUUUUACCGAUAUAGCGACAACUACUACUCAAGGUAAGUAAAAGGUACAGAUGUGGCCAAAUUUAUAAAUAAAUUGUUAAUUAAUUAAUUUUUCCAUAUUAUUAAUUAAGCUAAAUUUGCUAAAUAUAAACAAACAGAGUUGGACAAUUUCACCAACAUGGAAUAUUUGAGAUUGGACUUUUCCUCUCUCCAUAUAAGCCUUCUGCAAAGCAUUGCAUCAUUAUUCCCUUCGUUAAAAAAUCUGUCGAUGUCUUUCUGUGAAGUCAAUGGUGUCGUACGCGGUCAAGGUAAAAGAAAAGUGUUGAUUGUGAACUCACUCACUGGUGUCCUAUGUGUUCAACAUUUUUAUUUAUUUAUUUUAUUGUUUAAUGUUUCUGCUAGGUUUUCCUUAUUUCAAGAGUUUGGAACAUUUUGACAUGGAUGACACGCCCAUUGCACUCAACACCAGUUUUCUUCAAAUCAUUGGUGUAUCGAUGCCUUCUCUUAAGUACUUAUCACUGUCAGAUUCUACUCUUGGCACUAACAGCAGCAGGAUUCUUGAUCAAGGUUAAUCAGAUGCUCCCACCCUCCCUUCUUAAUCUAUAAUAUUAAUUUUCAAUUAAAUAUUUAAUUACACAAACGAAUCACUUAUUAUAAAAGAAUAAUACUCAUUCAUUAAUUUUUAUAUUGUAUUAAUAAUUGAUGAAUUUAAUAAAUUUUUAGGCCUCUGUUCGUUGAUGCAUCUGCAAGAGUUGUACAUUUAUAAUAAUGAUUUGAGAGGCAGCUUGCCUUGGUGCUUGGCAAAUAUGACAUCCCUCCGAAUAUUAGAUGUUUCUUCCAAUCAACUUACUGGAAGCAUCUCCUCAUCUCCCCUCGUUCAUUUGACAUCCAUUGAAGAGUUGUAUCUUUCAAACAAUCACUUCCAGAUCCCAAUUUCACUUGAACCACUUUUCAAUCAUUCAAGACUCAAGAUUUUUUAUGCUGACAACAACGAACUAAAUGCAGAAAUAACUCAGUCACAUUCUUUGACCGCCCCAAACUUCCAAUUAUCACAUCUCUCAUUGUCUUCCGGUUAUGAAGAUGGCGUCACAUUCCCCAAAUUCCUUGACCAUCAACAUGACCUGGAGUAUGUUGAUCUCUCACACAUAAAGAUGAAUGGAGAAUUUCCAACUUGGUUGUUGGAAAACAACACAAAGUUGAGACAACUUUCUCUCGUCAAUGAUUCUCUUGCAGGACCUUUUCGGUUGCCAAUUCAUUCACACAAAUGGUUAAGAAUGUUGGAUAUAUCCAACAACAACUUCCGAGGCCACAUUCCAGUAGAAAUUGGAGAUGUUUUACCAAGUUUAUACGUUUUCAACAAUUCCAUGAAUGCUUUAGAUGGUAGCAUUCCCUCUUCAUUUGGUAAUAUGAAAUUCCUCCAAAUUCUGGACUUAUCCAACAAUCACUUGACUGGUGAAAUCCCCGAGCACUUGGCCGUCGGUUGCGUCAACUUGAAGUCUAUUGCAUUGUCAAAUAACAACCUACAAGGUCACAUGUUCUCUAGAAAUUUUAACUUGACAAACUUGAAAUGGUUACAAUUGGAGGGCAAUCGCUUCGUAGGUGAGAUCCCACAAAGUUUGUCUAAAUGCUCCUCACUAGAAGGAUUGUAUCUUAAUAAUAAUAGUCUUUCGGGUAAGAUUCCACGAUGGUUGGGUAAUCUCACAUGGUUACAACAUAUUAUAAUGCCCAAUAAUCAUCUUGAAGGCCCUAUUCCAGUGGAGUUUUGUCAGCUUGAUUGGCUUCAGAUUUUGGACAUUUCAGACAACAACAUAUCUGGAAGUUUACCAUCUUGUUUCCAUCCUCUCUAUAUCAAACAAGUUCAUCUUUCAAAAAAUAUGUUACAUGGACAGCUAAAAAGAGGUACAUUCUUUAAUUGCUCUUCCCUUGUGACAUUAGAUCUUAGCUAUAACCGCUUGAAUGGCAGCAUUCCAGAUUGGGUUGAUGGGCUUUCUCAGUUAAGCCACCUUAUCUUAGGUCACAAUAAUCUUAAAGGUGAAGUGCCAGUUCAAUUGUGCGAAUUGAACCAACUACAAUUGUUAGAUCUUUCUAAUAAUAAUCUUCACGGUCCUAUUCCUCCUUGCUUUGAUAACACCACACUUCAUGAAAGUUACAGCAAUAGUUCUAGUCUUGAUGAGCAAUUUGAAAUAUCUUUUUCCAUCAACGGCCCUCAGGGAGGUGUAGAAAAGCAAAUCCGUGAAAAUUUUGAGUUCACAACAAAGAACAUUGCGUACAUUUACCAAGGAAAAGUGCUUAGUCUCCUAUCAGGACUUGAUCUUUCUUGCAACAAGCUAAUUGGUCAUAUUCCCCCUCAAAUUGGAAAUUUGACAAGGAUUCAAACAUUGAAUCUAUCACACAACAACUUGACAGGAUUGAUCCCAUCAACAUUUUCAAACUUGAAGCAAAUCGAAAGUUUGGAUCUUUCCUACAACAAAUUGAAUGGGAAAAUCCCUCAUCAACUUGUGGAGUUAAAGGAAUUAGCUGUUUUCAGUGUGGCAUACAAUAACUUAUCAGGCGAAAUUCCAGAAUGGAAAGCACAAUUUGCAACCUUCAACGAGAAUAGUUAUGAGGGAAAUACUUUUCUUUGUGGACUGCCAUUGCCCAUUUGCAGAUCACGAGCAACUAUGUCGGAGGCGUCAAUCGGCAAUGAACGAGAUGAUAAUUUAAUUGACACGGACAGUUUCUUUAUCACAUUUACAACAUCGUACGUAAUAGUGAUAUUUGGAAUUGUUAUUGUUUUAUAUGUAAAUUCUUAUUGGCGACGUAGAUGGUUUUACUUUGUUGAAAUGUGGAUAACUUCAUGUUAUUAUUUUGUUGUAGACAAUCUUAUUCCAACAAGAUUUUGUCAUUGAAAUUAAUUAGUAGCUUAAUUACGAUUCUUUAAGUACUAAUCAAGUUUGGUUAGGAAAUAAAUUUAUUUUUAUUUUUUAUUAAAAUUGUAGUAGUAUUUAGCGUUAUAUAGCUUCCAACUUCCAAGCACUUCACAUUUGUCUCCACACUUCCAAACCCAUAUCUAUCCACCAUAACUUAUACUUCCCUAUACUGUGCAGCAUACUUAAAUAAGAGAACCAUCUCCAAUUUUAAAAGCAGCCACUCUAUAACAUUCAUUUAGAAACUAUAUUCAGAAUAGUUUUAUAAUCAUACACAAGAAAUGAAACACCUAGAUGCACUUGAUCGCCUAUUUUACUUUAAAAAAUAAUGAUUAUGGUGCUAUCAUCAUCUUCUUCGCUAGCAACAUUAACACCAAAUCCAGCGAUGGACCCAGACAUUUUAUCAAGAAAGGUAUAUAUAUAAUAAAGUUGAAGCUUGACAAAAAAUUUAGGAAGAUUAAUGCCUCGCCACAACAAGGGGCAGCACAACAUCAAAGUAGAGAUGAAGCAAUAUUCUCAAAGCUAAAACUCUCAAAUCCACCCACCAGAAUUUCAUAUCUCCUCAACAAUUUUAAGAACUAAAGAUAAUUAGGAUCUAACAUUAGUUUUUUAUAUAUUAGUUUCAUAAUUUACAAAUCAAUGAAGAUGAAGAUUAUGCUAAUGAAUUCAAAUUAUACCAUACAUUCUCGAGAUGUUACCAAAAAUUUCUAAGUCAAUCCCACAUAUUUCAUAAUUUUAAGACUAGAAAAUUUCAUUAGUUAGAAGUUUCAUUACCUUCAAGUGGAAGAUGAAGAACAUUAUACAAUUGAUUCAGAUUAUAUCAUACACACUCCAAAUGCAACUAGAAAUUAACAAGUUCAUGCGCACAGAUUUCAUAACAUUAUGAAUGGAAAGUUUCACAAAGAGAAAUUCUAAAUUCAAUCUCUUGCAUCGAGGUAGUUUGAUUGAUUUGAGUUACUUUCUGAUCAAGCUAUUAAUAUAACAUUCAAGUCAGGGAGAAAGUAAAUUAAAACUGGGAAGAAAUAACAGUAAAAAUUUGUUGCUAAACAUGAUGUGUAUUUUUUUUUUAAGGCAAUUUGGAAACACAGUUGUUACUACAGAUAUUCUCCUCAACUUAGAGAUAAAUACAAAUAUUAAAAUGCAUAUGAUCGCACAUAGUACUUGGAGCUUAGUAAGAUUUCAUUAAGAGAAGCAAUCAAACCACUUAUCAAUUGUUGCAAUCGUUCUAUAAGCUAAAAUAGCAAUAUAAUACAAGAAAAAGAACAUAUAGAUACUUGGCAAGAGUUCAUUAAGAAGUCGCAUCACAUUCGGGUGAGGAGUUUGCUUCUGAUAUCUUGCUAGCUGGGGCUUUUUCUUGUCUUUCUACGUAUGCCGAGGGAAACCAACCAGCUUGGCCCUUGCAUUCACCUUCCGACCAUCCAAUAGGAGCCACCUUGAGAAGUUAUAACUAAAACGGUGAAUUAAACAAAAGUUGACCGUUCAAAGACCUAAGGGGAAAACUAAUUCUUUUACGUAGGAGGAGUGAAUUAGUUGUGAUCACUGAAAUAACAGCUUAACUAUGGAAGCAUAACAAGAUAUAAAUUCACACGUCUAUAAGGGUAAACUGGGUGGUUUAGAACUGAGCUAGCAACCCUACUAUAUUCUGAUUUGCACUUCAAUGUAAAAGGGAAUAUAUGGUAGGAAGAAAGAAAACCAACCAUCAUUUGUUAACUCAUUGCUUUUCAAUCAAAAUUUUAAGAACCAAAUGCCAUGUGCUUUGAACAUCAAAUAAGUAUAAGCAUUAGUUCUAAAUUCCACAUAUCAUAAGUUAGAAGGAUAAGUUAAUAGCAUAGUAGAAAAAUCUGUGUUGUUAUUUAGAGGGGAAAGUACCUGGCGAACCACAACAUAAUCAUCAAUUGAAAGACUUAGCUCUCCAUUUGCUUGUGCAUCAAAUGGAUGCAUAACCUGCAAGAUAAUGGGAUAAAUAGAACUUAAUCUUAAAAAAAGCAUAACAAAAGCAGCAACAGUACCAGCAACGUUCAUUGUAACCACUAUGAUCAUGGCCAACAAAGAUAUAUUAGAAACAAAAUUCCAUUUUUACUAUGAUAUCAUGACGAUUGGGUUACCAAGAGCUAUCAAAGUCCAAUAAGUUCUGUAUAACUUUAUGUAGUUAUUCAAAUUAUGUAUCAGAUUUUAAAUCUGAAAUUUUGACUGCUCUCCACAAAACAUGGCCUAUGCACAAGAAAUUCAUAGAUAAUGAGGAUUGCAAGUGUCUGACAUCUUUUGAGUGAUGGAUUUAACAUGAGAGCUUAUGGUCAGUCAAUUUCCUCUGCCUAGCAAUAUAAGCUUUCUCGGCCAAAUUUAUCAUCAAAUACAUAGAUUGCCCCAAGUCAAAUCCAUAUAAACAUAGUUUUUCUAGGUAAACCAAGCAAGGAGAAUCAUAAUUCAGACAUAAUCAUAAAAAGGCCCAUCUAACUUAAGAGAAAAUCUCAAAAAGAGGGAUGUUGAGCUAUCAGUCUUGUAUCCAUAAGGAAUGUCAAGACUUUACAUCACCUGCUACAUCGUGAGUGGCUACACAACUUUCAGUGGUUUGUCUUUCUUUGGCAUGCCUAACUCAGCUUUGAUGUUGCUGAGAUAUUGAUAGUAGAGACACAUGAGACUUCUAGCUCAUGCAUUCUAUCUAGCUCAUCCGACAGCUAUCUCUUUUUUAAUUCAUUAGUGUUUGCUAAGCCACAUGCUUAAAAGUCCUGUUGUUCUAAACAAAGUUUCCUAAGAAUGACUUCCUCAGCACCACAUUUGGACAUUUUUAGAGCAAUUUUAUUUGGGGGAAAAGAAUUUUCAAGGUGUUAACUAAUAAAUUUUAAAAAAUAAUUACAAUUUGUCCUACGAUUAUAUGACAAUUUAUCUGGGAUGAAAGGAUAUAGACAGACAUCUUCCACUUUCAAGACUAAUCACUACUUCCGUAGAUGUUUUGCAAUAAUACAAAUACUUGACCAGAUGGUAGUGAUGGUAGAAAAAAAUUUUAUUGCUCCAAAAUUAAAAUAAGAAUGCAAUGUGUUAAGCAAAAGACUAUGCAACAUCAAAUUAAUUGAUAAGUUUGUAAUUCAGUAAAUUAACAACUUUCAUGGUAAAAUACAACAAAUUUCUUUUCAAAAAAAAAAAAUCUUAAAAGACAGCAUUCAAUUUUGUGCGCAUCUUAUUUCUUAAGAUUUUCUAGGAGGGCAAUAGAGGGACUUUCACCUAUGCAAGAGAGCAGAAGCCUUACUUUCGCUAUAAAGUAGACGUCAUUCUGAUUAAUAUGCGUUUGCAAAUCAGCUCCAUUUGAAUCAGUAUUCUGAUAGACACAUGAGGCAUUUACAUCCAUUUCCAAAGUCACAUGUUGCGAGGAGGACUCAUUUGAUUGCUCCUCUAGGAUCAUCUAAUUCAAGUAGCAAGGGUUGGAAGAGAAUAAAAAGUCACAAUUAUUCUUUUGCAUAAGUGAGACGAAAAUGAUAUAUGCAAUAUUAUCAGCAGUAAACAAGAAGAGAACACUCCAAGGAAUAGAUAGAUGCGGACAAGCAAGUUAAAAUGCACAGUUCCAAACCUCCGCAUACAACUUCUCUGAAAUAGCAAUAACGUGUUGAUGAUAUGUUUUCUCGGCAUCUACCUGCAAAGGCCCGAGACCAGGAAAACAACAAUAAAACCACUAGCUAAAGGAGAAAGUAAAGAAAGAAAUACACUUGACAUAAAUCUUGACAAGAAGCACAAUUUAAGACAUAACAAACCCCAAUCAUAUUGUUUAGAACUACCAUUCGUUAUUUCGUUAUUGUAGCAUUUCGAACAAGUGUUGACUUAAUUCAACAUUGUUGGAAAGAUAGGCUUUUAGAAGCGGAAGAAAGCCACUCAAACCAAAGUGAUUCUUAGGAUGAGUUUUAAUCACUCCCCUGAUUUAUUUGGGUUGCAGUAAAACUAAGCGAGCAACUGUUUGACUUUCAAGCAACAUCUAAAUCAGCUAUUAAAAUUCAAAUAAAAUUAUAAUUGAAUAAUAACUGGCCAUCUUGCAUCAAAAAUUAAGUUUAAUUUGUGAUUUUUUUUCUAUAGACAUGUUAGUUCCUGCUAUUGAAAUGUUAAAAGCAUUGAAAAAUUAUUCAAUAAAUUAUGCAAACAUUAAAAUAGAGGACAUAUUAAAAAGUUUCUAAUUACAAUGUUAAGAUUUCCUAUAUUUUAGCAUUUGCAUAUUUUAAUUUAUUUAAAAGCUACGUCGAUCAACUUUGGGAGUGAAGAUUUUAGCUUCUACGAGACUUGAUUGGAAUAUGCAUAAGGAAGAGUGUUAAAAUAUGAUGCAUCCAACGAAAGACAAACCACGUGUAGUCUUUUAAUUAAGCCAAAGUAGCAGCUCAAACAAAUGACACUUGGACCAACAUGCAAUCAUGAAGUGGCCGGAAAAAGGACAAAUGCAACUUUGGCUUAAAUAAAAAAUAACAUGUGACUUGACUUUUGCCGGACAUGCAUCAUGUUAUUACAAGACAACAGAAAUCAGUAUGAUAGUACUAAAAGUUGACAAUAACAUGAAGAUAAGAGGCAGAAUGUCAACACAUGCAUAGGCACACACAAGAAAGUAUUAACUUAUAUACCAUAGCAAAAAGUCUUUGAUAUGCAUCUGUUGCUGCAGUGAUUCAACUGACAGCAUGGCAGCUGUUCCUUCUCUACCAAGAGCCAUUAUUGUAGAUUUAAGCUCGGUCAAUCUUGCUUCUGCAUUUCGAAGCUUCACAGCACUCUCUGCUGAUAUAUCAGAUUCCUUAAUCUUUGAUCGGCGCCUAAAUACUUCAGCUGCCUGGUGAAAAUAUUCAAUAUAAAUCUAACAUAAUUCUAAUCUUGCCUUAUACAUGCAUAUGUUAACUCAAAGCUUACCUGGGCUUCAACUUCAUGUCGAAGCUUGUCAUAACGAUGAGUCAGGUGUCGAGCAUCUUCCAAAGGUGCUCCGUUGAUUAACGCCCGUAGUGGCUCAGAUACCUACAUGUCCAAAAACCUGUAACAUAGUUAGAAAAAUGAAAAGAAAGAGCGAAACCUCAAUUAAAAAGUUCCUCCAACAUAAUCAUGGAAUUUGGGCCUACUUCAAGGAUAUAUAUAAGGAUAAUUUAUGCAAUUUUGGGUCUUAGGAUGAUUCAUAUUAGGUUAGUGUUCUUCUCUUCUGUAUUUAAGGUUAAAAUAGAAAUAAACCUAUGAAAAUAUCUAAAUUAGGGCUGUAAGACUUCCACAUGCAUCCUUCAGUCUCAUGGAUUUGAUUUUACUAUAGAUGCAAGUGUCUUUAUUGAAAAUGCUUGGAGUCAAUUGAGAGAACUCACGGCCAAUAACUUGUCACACGCUAGUCUUUGCUAGUGAUGUAAGAAGUCACAAGGUCUCUUCAGCAUUUGAACCAAUAAAAUUAUUAAGUCAUGGAUGUCACUAGCAAUGAUUUUAAUAUAAAACAUUAAAUAUUUCAGAGUUGUAACUUUAAAAUGGAUUCUUUUAUUCAAUAUCUUAGAACUAAGUUUCCUUAUGAGAAGAUAAUAGUUUCAGUAGUAAUUUACAUAUAAUUUUCUAUAUUUGAAUUAUUUUCUAGUUAGGGAUGAACUAACCUGAUCACGAAGAAUCCCAAGCAAAGUUUCCCUCUCAUUUUCCAUCAAAUCAUGUGAAGUGCCAAAUUGAAGAGCAGCUCUUGCAACGCAAGAAUUGUCACUUUGAUUCUCCGCUCCAUACUUGCAACAAUCUUCGGCCAACUUUCUCGCUACAAUAUUUGAAUACAAAAAUAUUGUACACAAGAACUAGUCAAGAAAAUUAAAAAAAAAAUCAAAUAUUAAAACGAGAGCAAGAGCAAACAAACAACCUAUUUCCAUUUGUUUCAAGUUUACUGCAACAAACACUUCAACGCCACGGACAACAUUCCAUUUGUUUUAUUCUUCUUAUACUUUACGCUUGCAUCAGCCUCAAUCACUUCUUAAUCGCUUGCUUUAACUGCAUCGCUCUCUCUGUGCUCUUCUAUAUAUGUAACGGUUAUGCGGUUGUAGUUCACGGCUGAGGCUACGUGUGGGUUUGACGUGGCAGUUACGUUACAAGGGGAUAAAUAAGAUUGGUUACAACAAACCCACUAAUUUUAUAAAAUUCGAGUAAUAUAGAAUAAAAUAAAAAAAUAAAUACAAAAUUGGCUUUUAUUUUGUAUGGUUGACUGUAUUUUGUGUUCUCUUCCGGCACUACUACAAUUGUUCCCUAUAUAUUAGUCACACCCAUAUAUCAUUAACACAAGAAAUGAAAUCUAAUGUCACCUACUUAGUUAAAGAAUCACUCAUGAAAAAUUUUUACCAUUUUGAUUUGAGGAUCCAUAUUUUGAACUGCAAGCUAAUGUUCAUCAAGAAUCACUGAUGUUCAUAAAAAUCAGAGUAUGGCCGUUGAGUAGAAAAAUUAUUUUUGGACAAAUUAUUUUUGUUGAUAGAAUCUGCCACUUUCUCAUGAAGAAAGGCAUGCGGAGCAUACCAUGGUACCAUACGGAGAAUGUUAGAACCACCCUAGAAUAUCUUUACCCUGAUGUUUCUAACAAAAAUCUGCAUGUGGCAGCAAUUACUAGAUCUACAAUUUCCCAAAUAAUAUUUUGUGUUUCUUAAAAAAAAUUGAAAUACAUAGUUGCAAUUGCACACCGUGAGACAGUGCUACAAUCUACUGAGAUCUAAAUUAUAUGAGACUUUAAGCUACUAAUGUUUGCAUAUUUCUACAUGUCAAAUUAACAUUACCAUCUAUAAUCCGAAACGACAGAUGAUAAACGGCUUUUGGCCACUUAUUACUAGCAUCCACAAUUAAUUUUUGUUCAGCAAUCAGCUUAUUUUAUAGAAAUUGAUUUAGUCAGCAACAAACACUAUAAUACUUGAAAUUAGUUCUUGUUCUUUGUAAUUUUCUAUGAUUUUUCAUAUAUCAAUUAAUCUGCAGUGCCAAGAUGAGGUUUAGUUUUCAAACUAAAUAAUCAAGUAAGCAAAAAUACAAAUUCAGAGAUUAGCGGGGUAAACUAGCUGGGUGGUUUAGAACUGGGCUAGCUACCUCCCUGUAUUCCUAUUUGUAAGGUGAAUUAAUUGAAUCAUGAGAAAACAAUGUGACCAUAGCUCAAUAUGAGAUGAUUUCGGAGAGGCAUAUUGUUUUCGAGUGAAUUUGAUCCAUUAAGAGAUGAAGUGGAUUGAAGUGGAAAGUUUAAAUAACAAAUCCUUGUUCUUGAGUUUUACGACGUCGUUACUCCUUCAGGUGGCAGAUUAUGCAAGUGAAUUCAAAAACACAAUGCAUCAAUCACGGGGACAAAAGACGGGAUCACAGUCUAUGCAUUGAACAGUUACAGUUGCUGCUACCAAUUGUUCGGCAAAGAUCAAGAAGACUGAACGGGAAGCUAAUGCCAUCAAUGUCGUCUUCACUAUAUCUGCUGGGAAUGUAGGUGAACUUUCCUCAUUUGCAGCUGUCUAUACAUAGGCUUUUCCCCAGCUUAAGUACAAAUAAAUGAAGCUGCCUUGAAGGCUUUAUUAUUGACCCCAAUAAGGAUUACUAAUUGAAGAAGACUAUACGGAGUUAAUCUCACAUUUUAGUUCUCUCAAUUUCUUUCAGAAGUGCCUCUGAAAAUAGCUGCCAAACCGUUAGUCAGCUUGUAUACUCUGUUUUCUGGAAACAGAGUAGCAUAUUUAAUCGUUUUAAUUGAAUUGUCUUCGUAGCGAUCAUCAACAAACUCAUCAUAAGAUUUUUGAAGCACCCAAGGACUAUCACUGGGUUUCUCUUCUGGUUGAUUUAUUAAUUAAUCAAAGAACGGUUGGAUGAAGUGCAAUGAUGGAGCAAAAUUUACAAUGUCUCCGGUUUCUCCUGACCAUCGGACUUUUGCAGUGAGAACAUAUAACAAAAAGACCUUCAUCAAAAUUUGUAGACUCCGGGUAUGGAUUGGAUCGAGUUUUUUGUUUGAUAUUGAAGAACCACUUUACUAUCGCGAUAUAGAUUAUGUGCAAGGGGUUGUCUACUGUUCUUUGCCUUGUGCUAUGAUCGGUGCUUUUGACGUUGCCCCGAAACAGUGGAAAAUACUUCGAUUUCCUCCGUUUGAUGAUGCAAAGAACUGGUUAAUGUACGAUUACCUAAUUGACUCAGGAUCAAGUAACAACAACAAUUUAUUAAUAGUAGUAUCACAAACGAAGAAGAUUUCGGAGAGGGUGAUGUAUGCCUAUACCGUUUACAGGUUUGAUCCACAGGGGAUGAAGUGGUCUCAAGUGGAAAGUGAUUUAUUAAACAACAAAUCAUUGUUCUUGGGUCAUACCUCAUGAUGUCAUCAAGUGGAAGAUGAAGAUUAUGCAAGACGAAGAUCGUUUGAUAUUGAAGAAUUUGAACAGAAAGCCCAUAGAAAGUACUUAAAUAAGCAUAUUCUUGUUGGGGUAGAAUAUUAAGAAAGGAGUUGUCUACUGUGUGUUGCGUGAUUAGGCUAUGAUCUGUGCUUUGAACAUUGCCCUCAAAACAGUGGAAAAUACUUCAUAUCCUCGACAUGAUGAUGAAAAAUUGGUUACCGAUUACCUAAUUGACUCAGUGACAACAAUCUAUUAAUAGCACAAUUUGGCGUGAUGCCGUUUAGGUAUAUGGUUUUCAAGUUUGAUUCAUCAGUGAUGAAGUGGACUAAAAUAAGAUGUUUAAAUGAUAAGUCAUUGUUCUUGGGCAUAUCGUCAUUACUACUUCUAGUGAUCAAAGAUGAAGAUGAAGAUGAAGAUGAAGAUGAAAAUUGUGCGAGUUCAAGAUUACCAUCAACUCAAUUUUAUGAUUGGAGUGUCUCACCGUGACUCAGACAAAUUCUGAUUCAACCUCCUUCACCAAUGGAUUUUGAUUAGUUAUUUUGUGAUCAAGCAACUUAAUUAAACUCACAGUUUGUUAGUCUAAUUUUAGUUUUACUGUGACCACUAUUCAAGGUAAGCGAAAGUUACAGAUGUGGCAAAAUCAAUAAUUAAAUUCAUAAAAUGUUAAAAAAUAAAACUUAUAAAUUUUGCAUGACUACUUACUAAUAAAUAAAUAAGUUAGAAUGUAGUUAGUUAAUUUUACACCAUAUUAUAUAUUAUUCGAUAAUAAUAUAAAAUAAAAAGAAUUAAAAAAUAAAUAAUUGAAUAAACAAAUAUGACUUUCUAAACAGUAAAAAUUCUAGAGUUAAAAUUUAUAUUAUUAUUUUAUUUUUUAAAAUUGACAUAUUUCUAUUAUCUUACAUGUACACAGAUUUUGAGAGUUGAGAAGAAUAUAUUUAAUGAAGCUUGCUAACAUUUGGUGGGAUAGCAAGUAAGGGUAAAUAAGAUUUUUUUGUUAUUUAUUUGAAUUAUAUCUAUUUUGUUCAAGUUAAAAUACUAAAUAUAAAUUGGAGGUAGACAUUUUAACAGAUCAUCUAAGCUCUCAAAUCUGAAAUUUUGUGUAGAUUUAAAUUCAUAAUUUUAGUUAAUUUUCAUACAUUCAUAUAAACAAAUUUAUGAGAUUUUUCUUUUCAGCAUGUUAUAUUUUGAAACUUUCAAUGUAUUAUUCUAGCUUUAUUUAAAUAAUUAAUUUAUUUAAAAUUUAUUUAAUUUUGAAUUUGAUCAAUAGUAAAAUUAUUUUUAUAUCAAAUUUUUUUAUUUAAAUAGUUCGUGGAUUGGACAAAAUUAAAAAUUUUUAAUCCACAAAAUGGUGGAUUAGAUAUGAAUUGGGUUAAAUACACAUUCGAUCCGCAGUCGUAUGAAUUUGAUUUGGAUUGAAUUUCAUCAAUCCAUGGAUUAGAUUGGAUUGAAAAAUUUAUUAUCCGCAAAAUCGUGGAUCGAAUAUGGACUGAUGUCCAAUCAGCAAAAUCCAAUCCCCGAACACUCCUCUAUCAAAAUUUUCAAGAAUAUUUUUUAUCUUACAAAUUUUUUUUAAAGUCAUAGUCUAAGGGCGGCCCAAUUUCUACUCCAUCCAUAUAAGCGGAGUUCAAAUCUCAUACCUCUUAUCUCCACACAAGAGAUUUAACCAAUUGAAAUAGCUAGCACCCACAAGUAUACUAGUACAGCAUCUCUUAACGUUUAACAUACGUAAAAUUAACGCCAUAGCUAUUGAUAAACACAUUGUUCAAUAUAUAUGAUCAAGAAUCUGAUCCUGCGAGCAACAGCAGUCAGAAGAACCAUUAUAAUGCCUAGCUCUUAUCCUGGUUAAUCCUCUGGCCCGAUGCUUCAUCAUAGUGAUUUAAAAAACCAACAACAGCUCUCUAAAAGAGAUGAAGAUAUCAUCUACGUAAAGAACAUGAGACGGAGAUUCACAACCCAUAAGAACUGAGAUAAAUUGGACCAGACCAGUAAUCUUGAGAUAAGUUAAACUGUGACUUAAGUUGAAAUCAGAGGACAGGAAUUUUAAAAUCUUUCGGCUAAGCCCCUGAGGAAUUUUCUAGAGUACGACUUCUGCUUACCUCUGUUUAAUUUCUCUUUAUAUUUUUCUUUCAUUUCAUUAAUAAAGUCAAAUAAUAAAUCAAAGAACGAGGGAAGAUUUUUCCAAGUCAUGCAUUAUUUGAUUACCAUCAAUCAAGAAACCGACCAAAUUAAUUUCUCUCCGUGAUUUUUAAAAAUUAAAAAAAAAAUAUUUGAGCAUAACAUCAUUAAUUAUAGAGUGGAUCAAACUGCGUUAAUCAUGAACUUUGUUGUGUUAAUUAUUUCAAUCCCCGAUUACGCAAUUUUUAAAUUAUAGCCUAACGGUGGUCUCAUCACCACGUGUGUGAUUUUCUUUUGCCAAUAGGAUCUGUAGAGAGCUUGAUCUCACCCAAUAGCAAAAUAAACUUCCUAAUAAGUGAAGGCAUAGUAUAAAUAAUUCACCCCCAUAUUAUUUAUUAGCAGCUUGAUUAUUUUAUAUGCAUCUUUGAUUUAAAUUUUUUUUUCCCAUAAUUGCUACUAUGUUCGAACUGGUCAUGAAUUAUCUAUAAGAUUUUUCAUGUUGCUUUUAGGUGCAUUGGAUUUUUUUUAGUUUAGUGCAAGAGUAGAGGAAGGCAAAUUAAGAAAAAGGAUAAAGAUCUAUGAUUAGCUAUUUUGGGAUGUCUCAUAACAUAUUGAUGGUAACAUUAUACAUAUGUAUAUCUAAAUAAUGGGGUUGGAUCAAGAGCCCAUUAAUAAUCAUAGAUUAGCUUAUAUAGCAAUUUCACAAGCACAUGUUAGCCUAUGUUGAGCUUUAUUAUCAAUAGUUCAUAGUUCAUCGGUGCACUGCAGGUUUACUAUUUGAAGUAAAUGUUAUGGUGCGUGCAUUUUUCAUAAGGCCAACCGCUGAAUUUAGCAUUGAAACUUACAAAAUGUAAUAGAGAGAGGUAGAUAACAGCCACAAAACACUAAGAUUGGAAAUCAGGGCUACUAAAUACUAUUACAAGCCCUUAGAAAAGACACUGAUCAUCCUGGAAUAUAUAUACUGAAAGUAAGAAAUAUUAAUCGCAAAGUUAUGUGCCAACAAAACUAUUGACCACUUGUCCCUAGCAGAAGGUAUAUAUUUUUAACUUCAGCUCUCUACUUUGUUCUAAGAACUAGGCAAAAGAAUGAAACUUCACUGUCUAAAGUUUGCCGCUUGGAAUAUUUCACUGUCUAAACAUUCACUCACCACUAAUUUCACAAAUGAAUUUUGUCUAACUAUAUGUUGAUAACGAUAUUAGAGGUAAUAUAAUGCAUUUAAGGCUUAACAUAUAUUUUUUAUUAGUAGAGUGUAGAAUUUUUAAGAAAUAAAUUAUUAAAUUACUAUAACUAACAUAUUAUUUUAAAGUUAUGUUAAGAAAAGAAUGAAACAAAAAAAAAAAAAAAAAUAAGGGUAUUCUAAAACUUUGAUCCUUUUAAAAGUAGUUUUUGACGUAAAUAAAAUAAUUUUUAUUUUUUUAAAUCACAUACUCUAGUUAAAAUCAAAUUUGUAUUUAUAAAGCUUGUAAAUUUUUUUUAGCAUUAAUAUUUGAAUACUUUCAAGAUAAGAAAUAGGGUACUAAUUAUGCUACAACAUUAUUAUAGCAUAUAAAAAGACAAUACCCUUUAUAUUAUUAUACUAUCGUUUUUGUUAUGAUAGUAUUUUGUUAGUGGUCAAAUAUUACUUUUUUAAGUAAAAAAGUAGACAAAUGUAAAUCAAUUUUUAAUCUCUCCUAAAAUUCUAAUUCCUAGUUACCAAACAAAAUUGUUUGAAAAUAAUUUGGCUAAGUGCAUGGGUUCUUAAAAGUUAAAACUAUAGGUGAUAGAAGUUACUAGCACAAGCAAUUUUGACGGUCCAUUUUAUAAAAAUUUUUAAUAAUUUUUUAUUUACCAUUUUACCACCUAUAUAAAGAGUGCCACAUCGACAUAUCAAUUCAUUUGCAAAUUAUAUUAAUUUUGUAAAAUUCAUUUGACUUGCUAAACCCUUCUUAUCCCCUUUCUCGACUGUCAUACCCUAACCUUAUUAAUCCAACUGGCAAGUGCUCACAAUGACCGACAGCCUCUCCAUCUCCAUUUCAAGCUUCCUCUUCAACUGGCUUCUGCUUCCGUCGUACGCUUCCUUGGAUUCGGAGUCCGUAUUCGCUCGACCGGUCCGGCACAGCUCCCUCUCACUCCAAUUGUCACCCAACAAGACCAAUUGCUUAACAUUGAUCGUAUGGCAAUUGUCCGUAUUUCUUGGAUUCAGAGUCCGUAUGGCACAGAACAAGAAGAGUAUGAGAGAGAGAUUUGGAAAUCGAAACGUACGCAUUGACCGUGCCUUUGAGGGCAAUUACUUUUCUUGAGAAUUGAAGUUUGGUAAUGUAAUUUGUUCUCUAUCUGUGUCCCCUUUGUAGUCAUUUCAUUUAUUUGUUUGUUUGCUUUUAUUUGCACUUACGAAGUCUCAGAUAUAUCUACGCAAGAAUGAUGCAGGAGAAAUUGAUCCUCGAGCUUACAAGAAAAGUAAAUUUCGAAAGCAUAAUUUGGCUCCGAUUGAGGUAAUAAUUGUCUUUAAACUCAUUUAGUUUUAUAUCAAACAAAAUCAAGGCUGCCUUUCUCUUCAAUAUUUUUUAUGAUAAUAUCUUUAGAAGCAUCUCAUUGACGGGUAAUCAUGGUAUCCCUUAAAGAGUCUAUAAACUCAAUGAUAUUUUCUUCUGCAAAUGGUUCAUUAAACUUCUUAGACGUAGUUAAAUGUACACUAAGAACAACGAGAAGCUAUGCCGCUGUAGCAUGUAGUGAGAUCUUGUUUGAAGUUGUUUUCUGAAAUGAACUGCCAAAUGGUAGUUUUUUUUUUCUUGGGUGCAUUUGAUGACUCUUUUCUCCUCAUUUUAAACAUGUACCUGCUUGGAAUGGGAAGGAAUAGGCUUCCGAGUUGUUAUAUAUGUUGACAUGCUCUGGUCAUUACACAAAAUGCUCAAAUUGGAAAUUAGAAUGAGAUAUUUGUCGAUGCUUUUUGAGAGAUCUGCAUUCUAUGCACCAUAACAUGAUUAAUGAAAACAGGUUUAAGGACUGGAAAGAUCUGUGGCGGCCCAAGCUUGCAGGAAGGAUUUCAAUGGUUAAUUCUCCCAGAGAGGUUAUUGGUACAAUUUUGAAGUAUCUGGGAGCAUCAUGCAAUUCAAACGACAUUGAUUAGCAACUUGCUGCUGGGAGGAUUGUUGUCAGCAGAAUCUGGCAUUACUGGGAAACCAGGUACUCUUAAAGAAAUGAUAUCUGGUCAAUGCAUAUUAUUGCCUGACAGCUGAUUUUGUUUGUAAAGUCUGCCUCUUCAUACAUAUGAAUGCAUAUGUUAGUGUUUUCUUCUCCUUUUAAUACACAUGAAUGCAUAUGUUAGUGUUGUCUUCUCCAUUCCAUAAAUAUGAAUGCAUAUGCUCUGGGUGUUGGUUACUACUUCAAGUGGAAGGUGAAGGUGAUGCAAGUGAUUUCAGGAGUACAUAUAUUCCAAGGAUGCCGGACUAUUAUUGCUUCCCCCCAUAUUUCAGAAUUUUUUGUCAACCUCCUCCACUAAGGGAUUCCAAUUGAGUUACAAAUAUAUUUUCUGUAGCUCUGUUUUAAAUUUUUGGUCUCAUGUUAAUUUUUCUAAUUACUAUUCUUCAACAAAUCUCUUUUACUUUAAAAAACUGCUACAGUUUGAUUUUACUGCCUUAUAUCAUUGAACAUUGAUACAUGGAAUUUGAAAUCAGACUUGUAACAACAGAUAAAUAGAUAUAGAACAUGCAUAUAAUCUCCAUUUCGAGCUCCCUCUCCAACUGGCUUCUGCUUCCGUCUUACUCUUUCUCGGAUUCGGAGUCCGUAUUUGCUCAGCCGGUCCUGCCCAGCUCCCUUUCACUCCAAUUGUCACCCAACAAGACCAAUUGCUUAAUCAAGGCACAGAACAAGAAGAGGAUGAGAAGUUGAAACAAGAAUUUGAGAAUUGGAAAUCGAAAAUGUAUGCAUUGACUGUGCCUCUAAGGGUUGUUUCUCUUCAGAAUUCAAUGCCUCAAUCUUGGGUUAAGGAUUUUAUGCGAAGUCAAGGAAAGAGAUUGAAGUUUCAGAUGAAUUUGUGUGCUAGCAUUGGUGGGAUCUUUAACAAUUUAUCUGUGCCCUUUAACAAAGUUAAGGGUAAGUCAGCUUCGUAUACGGCUGCUGAUUUGGUUAGUGUUGGUGAUUCAUGGCUCAGUUUUACAAUUAAAAAGAGAUUGAUUGAGCCAAUAGCUGAAGCUGAAGAUCAAGACUGGUUCAAAUGCUUAUGUCACAAAUGGAAGGUAACAUCAUUAUCUUUGACCCGAUAAUUUUUAUUGUCUUACAUUGAAAUUUGGUAAUGUAAUUUGUUCUCUAUUUGUGUUACCCUUUGUAGUCGUUUUAUUUAUUUGUUUAUUUGCUUUUAUUUGCACUAACGAAAUCUCAGGUAUAUCUAUGCAGGAAUGAUGCAGGAGAAAUUGAUCCUCGAGGUAAAAUAUGGGCGGCACCAUACAGGUGGGGCACAACGGUGAUAGCCUACAAGAAAAGUAAAUUUCGAAAGCAUAAUUUGGCUCCGAUUGAGGUAAUAAUUGUCUUUAAACUCAUUUAGUUUUAUAUCAAACAAAAUCAAGACUGCCUUUCUCUUCAAUAUUUUUGAUGAUAAUAUCUUUAGAAGCAUCUCAUUGACGGGUAACAAUGGUAUCCCUGAAAGUGUCUUUAAACUCAAUGAUAUUAUCUUCUACAAAUGGUUCAUUAAACUUUGUUGUUGUAGUCAAAUGUACACUCAGAGCAAUGAGAAGCUAUGGCACUGUAGCAUGUAGUGAUGGCACUUAAUAAGUGAGUUGCUAGGAUGUGAACUAGAAAAAUUAAAUAUUGUCUCCUUGGGUAUGCUAGCUUGUAAGUCAGGGUUAAUAUUAGAGCUUAAGUUACUAUAACCAUGAGACGCUAUUGACUGCCAAUUAAAAUAUCCAUUAAAUUGUCUAGGAAGUUAUGAAAGUGGAGGUAUCUUCCGAUUUCUAAGGCCAGAUAGUAGACAUCAUCCAGGAUCCUAGGAAAGUGCAGUUAACCUCCUGCUCGAUGCAAUUAAUAAAUUUGGUCAAUGCCACUGAAACCUGCUAACCGACGUCACAAUGCGAGAUGAGCACUUCAAAAUGGGACAGACGGUCAGUAGCACUAAAUUUUUCUUUCCUAAGAUUGAGCAAUUGGUCUAACUACUAACCCCUAUUGUAGGUUGAUCAUUAUUUUUCCAAUUAUGUUCAGUUUGACCCAAAAAGUUACAGAAUCUUGAGCUGAAUAUUGUCACUGAACACUGUCAAUGUCAUUUAGCAUACCCAACUAACUUGAGUUUGGUAAAACAAACACACUGUGCGUCUCAUCUCUCACAAUUCAAAUUAUCAUCUGUAAUGAUGGAGAAUUUUUCCAAUGUAUGAAGUAUGCUUUGAUAUGUGUACCUUGGAGAAGAUAUCUCCAAAUAAAGAAUAUGGAGAGAAAACGGUUCAGUAGUUUAUUAUUCUGUAGGCAAGUCUUGUCUCGAAAAUGGUCAAAAUUUAAAUGAAUAAGGACAGGGGAUCUUCAUUCUUUUUUCCCUUUUUUAUACCAAGAUAUCUCUCAACCUUUAUAUAAUCCCCACUGGAUAUCUGCUUCUAAUAAUUAAAAUAAAAAUUUCACUCACACAAAUAAAUACUGACCAAGCUCUAACAAUAUAAAGUAACAUCUUUACUCAAGUAAUUUACAGUUCCUCAUCAUCUUAGUGUGAGACUAUCAUUACGUUCCAAAAACAAAAUAAAACUGGUUUGAUCCUGUUUAUUGAUGUUUAAAUGUUGUUCAUUGUGACAUGUAGAAAUGAUGAAGCGAAGUUUAUUUGGUCAUCAAUUAGUAAGAUCUUGUUUGAAGUUGUUUUCUGAAAUGAACUGCCUUUUUUUUGGGCAUAUGAUGGCUCUUUUUUCCUCAUUUUCAACAUGUGCCUGCUUGGAAUGGGAUGGAUUUGGCUGCAGAGUUGUUAUAUAUUUUGAGAUGCUCUGGCUGUUGUGAAAAUUUUAAUAUACUCGCAAGCACACGAAUCUAGAAAUAGAAUAGUGAUAACGAGGUCGAACCCACAGGGAUUAUUGAAAAGUCUAAUUUAAAUCUAAAAUUAAUAUUAAUUCUAACCUAGUUGAGCAAAUUGAGUUUUAAGAGAAAUUAAACUAAUUAAACUAAGAAAAUAAUUAAAGUAAAGGAGAAUUCAAUAAGACAAAAAUUACCAAGGUUUCAGAAUCCACCACUAUUCAACUAGUAAUUAUCUAAUUAUUAAUUAAUCCCCAAUUUUAGAGUGACAACUCGAAAUCAAUCUAUGUCAUCUCAUGGAUAUAACAAUUAAGCCCAAGUAAUUAAAUCUAAUGUAGGUUCUUUUUCUACUUAAUAGUAUGAUAUCUAAGAAUCUCAUGUAAACAUAUUGAAUAACAAAGAGUCAAAGUUUUCUUAAGCACUCUAUGUAAACAAUUUAAUGAAAGACAUAAAAUCAAAGAUAAUCAUGCAUAAACUUUAUAGAUCCAAGCAUAGAUUUAAUCGAAUAUUAAUCCUAACAAUCAAUAAUGCAUAACAGAAUUGAUGAAAAGAUUUUAAUAACAUCCAACUAAUCAUGUGAAAUAAAAACCAUAAUCAUUAAAGAACAUAUAUAGGGAAUUAAAUAAAUAAAAAAAUAAUUAUUUCAUUGAAUAGGGUUUCAUCCUUAACCUCAGUAUAAGAAAAUUAGUUAGACAUACUUGAAUUGGGAAAAACAAAAGAGAUAAAACCGGCCAUGAGGAAUAUUGAACUGUUGGUGCCGAUUGCUCUUUUCCAGCCUUGCGUCUGCUUUCCUCUGGCGGCUACCUCCCCCCUUGCAAAAGCCAAAGUUCGGCUUUUAUAUUGUAACUCCCCCACAAAAUCCUCAAAUCAAAAGGUUUUAAAACAAGCCAAGCACAACCGACUUUGAGCCCAUGCAUGUGAAGCCCAAUUGGAAUUUUCAUUCCUUUUUUAAUGCCAUGCAAUUGCUUUCCCACGUGCUGGCCACUUUAGCUUUAAAUUUCUUCUUUGUUUGCACUAGCAUGGAGAAUUCAAUUUAUUGGCUUCGGCUUCUUCGGAUUGAAUUUCAUACACAUCUACUUAAUUGCUUCCACAAAUUGACUUGAUUUUUAAUGUUGUCCAAUUGUUAUUCUUUAUGUACUUUUCAUCCUUAAUCUCCAAUUAAUUCCCUAUUCAAUAAAAUUAACUUAGCAAUUAUAUAAUAAAGGGUAAAAUAUGUAUAUAAAUUAUGCUCAUCACUGGCCAUUGCACAAUUUGUUCACACUGGAAAUUUGAAUGAGAAAUUUGUUGAUGCUGUUUUGAGAGAUCUGCAUUCUAUGCACAAUAACAUGAUUAAUGAAAAUGGAUUGUAGGACUGGAAAGAUCUGUGGCAGCCUGAGCUCGCAGGAAGAAUUUCAAUGGUUAAUUCUCCCCGAGAGGUUAUUGGUUCAGUUUUGAAGUAUAUGGGAGCAUCAUACAAUUCAAACGAUAUUGAUUCGCAAGUUGCAGGUGGGAAGAUUGCUGUUCAGCAGAAUCUGGCAUUACUGGCAAACCAGGUACUCUUAAAGAAAUGAUAUCUGAUCAUUGCAUGUUAUUGCCUGACAACUGAUUUUGUUUGUAAAAGUCUGCUUCUUCAUACAUAUGAAUGCAUAUGUUAGUGUUCUCUUCUCCUUUUCAUACAUAUGAAUGCAUAUGUUGGUGUUGUCUUUUCCUUUUCAUACAUAUUAAUACAUAUAUUGGUGCUCUCUCCUGAGAUGGAUGCAAUAAAGGCUUUUGGUCCUAAAUUUAGGUGAAGAAAUGGCAAGGGAUGUGAGAUUCUGUCUCAUUAAAUUAACAAAAACCCAAAACAAUGAAAACCCAUAAUAAUGUGGUGGGGGUAAAUUGGCACCAUUUGGUUUGUUUACUUAAUGUGAAUACACGAGCAAUAGGGACUAACAAAAUGAAGUGACAACAACAAGUCAGUGUCCUUUGAUGGAUGCAUUUUAGGCAAAAAUAGGUUUGUAAUUGACCAAUUUCAAAAAAUUUAAAUUAUGUGGUUAUUAGCUGUAAUGAAGGGGAUAGGAGGUGCAAUCAGGUGGAUCCAGGAAAGUUCAACAAAGUUCUGGUAUGGCAUAGUGAAAUUGGUUUGUGCAACUCAAGAGUCUUUCAGGUGAACGAUGAUAUGUUUUGAUUUAUAAAUGUUAUAAAUCUACCGUCCAUAGUAUUCUAGUAGAAUCAUCUAUAAGUUCUAGUUAUUGAAAUUGUCUACUUUGUCCAGUUUGAGUUAAGGGCACAUGUAAUAGGAAAAAUAGUUGUCACAUCUUUUUGGUUACCUAACAUUUGAUCAAUCCUAUUAUGAGGGCUUCAAGAUGUCUAACAAUAUGUAGAAUGCCCAUGCUCCUCCCCAUUGUUUAUCUUAUACAAUAAUUUGUUUUAGAUGCUAAUAUAUUUGUCGAUACCGGUAACGAUAUUACAAUAUCUGC
rnacentral:lncRNA from 1 species